rnacentral:lncRNA from 1 species
AAGUAAAUUUUAACCUAUGAAAUUGAUUUAAACAACUGAAGAUUAAAACCUAGUAUUAGAAAGGAAAACUAAAUUAACACCAAUUUGCCCAAAAUUAAACCAUGUAUUAUACUAAAUUAAUUCACAAGAGAGUUCCACAUCACUCAAAUAUUAUCUCGCACUCAAAUUCACAAAACUCACUUUCCAGGUACAAAGUUUGUAGCAUAUGACCAUGCAUUGUUUGCAACCGGGUCCGCAAGAUGGUCAGCGAGGUUCUCCAAUGGUCCCUUUCCGGUAACAAUGGCUUGAACAAAGAAUCCAAACAUAGAGAACAUGGCUAGUCUGCCGUUCUUGAGCUCCUUCACUUUCAGCUCAGCAAAUGCCUCUGGGUCAUCAGCCAGACCCAAUGGGUCGAAGCUACCACCAGGGUAAAGUGGGUCAACUACCUCACCAAGAGGUCCACCAGCAAUUCUGUAACCUUCAACUGCACCCAUCAAGAUCACUUGGGUAGCCCAGAUGGCUAAAAUGCUUUGUGCAUGGAUCAAACUUGGGUUCCCCAAGUAGUCAAGACCACCCUCACUAAAGAUCUGGGAUCCAGCCUUGAACCAGACAGCCUCACCAAACUUGACACCAUUACGCGCCAAGAGUUCGGGGAAGACGCACCCAAGAGCUCCGAGCAUGGCCCAUCUGCUGUGGAUGACCUCAAGCUCACGGUUCUUGGCGAAUGUUUCAGGAUCAGCAGAGAGCCCAGCAGUGUCCCAACCGUAGUCACCGGGGAACUCACCGGUCAGGUAAGAUGGGGCUUCGCCGGAGAAUGGGCCAAGGUACUUAACACGGUCGGGGCCGUACCAUGGACUUCCUGAUGGUGCGACUUUCUUGACUGCUGUCUUCCUCAUGGAAACCCUUCCAUUUCCGGUAAUUUCAGAACCAGAUGGUGCUACUUUCACCGCCUGUCCGACGAAAGAAGAGGAUAGUGCCAUGGUGGAAGCUGCCAUUUUUGUGAGAUUUGUUUUGAAGAUGUUUUGAUGAUAUGAUAGUAUUAUGAGUGAUGAAGAUGUGUGGAUCUGGAACGUAGAUUUAUAGGGUGGUUUUUGGGCCAGGUAGUUGAUCAAUGCUUAUCUUGAUACACUCUUUAACUUCAUUUUGAUUGGCUACCAAGAUUUUAGUUCUAUCAGAGGGUAUAUAAUUUGUGUGGUUCAAGUUCUCUGGUCCACGGGAGAUAUUUGAAGGGGCAGCGAUAUUCAUGGCUCUGGCUUAUUGAGCGAAUAUAAUGGCUCGCAUUCUCAGCCACUAGCUAGUCUUGGUGGGGUUUUAGCCAGUCUUUGUGCGGUUUUUCAUGUUUAACCAUUACCAUAGUAUCGACUAAGUUUAGUCCAAACAUGCAUUGAAGUUCAGUAGAUUUGUAUUAUCAUUUUGUUUUUUAUACAAAUUUAUCAUUUUCGUACAUAAUAUAAACUCUAGGAAAAUUAAAUAGAAUAUAUUUUGAGAUAUUGACAACAUUGACCAAAUAAUAAAAAAACGUAACACACCAUUCUAAAAAAUAACAUAUAACCAUGAUGUCCGAAAAAAAUAUAACAUAUAACCAUGAUUUUCGAAAAACAAAAUUCUUGAAGAUGUACAAUUUUCGAAGGUACUAUUUGGUGACUAAUUUUAAAAGAAGCCAUUUUCAAAAUGUAAUAUUCUCGAAGUGAUUAUUUCAGCUACUUAAGGUGAUGUUGAUUUCAAAUCUCUAACAUGACAAAAAGCUUCCCCAACAAAUCUGAAGCAUGGACAUUUCAACCUAAAGAUGGGUGAGGGAAGUUCUUUUAUUGAUCAUCUUUUGUUUUCUAACAGCUUGUAGAACAUCUAGAAAUAUUGGAUGCCACAUAUGAAAAAGAAGACUUGCCGUUGUUCCUAUUGUCAUCUUUAACAAAUUCAUAUGAUGACUUUUGUGAUAAUAUUAUCUAUAGCUGAGACACCAUUGUCUUGGAUGAGAUCAUGACCACUUUAGACUUGAACGAAAGGAUGAAACUUAUCAUUAGUGAUAGUAAUGGUGAUAUAAAGGACGAAGGUCUCCAAGUAAGAGGAAGAUAUAUGUAGGGAAGUAACGAUUCCAAAUCCCUUAACAAGUCAAGAUCCAAGUCCAAAGAGAAACGUAUAUAGUGCAAAUAUUGUGUGUCUGUUGAAGCUGAUGUGGCCGAGAUCGUCUUUGAUGGCGAGCUUCUAGAAUUAUUUCUGACGAUGGUUAUUUGAUUACCACGAACGGUGGGUUCUUGAAUUUGUGCGUGCUUUUCACAUGAGUCCAAACAAAUACUAUUGUCACACCACAUUGAAAAGGAUAGUUGAUGCCAAGUUUUAAUAGGCAACGUCGACACUUCCUCCCUUAUUUUAGGACAAGCCACAAUUAGAUUUUGAAUGUUCGAUGGUGUAGUAAGUGUUGGGUUUCUAUAACAUCAAGUACACACAAACAAGGUAGUGGAAACAAUGAAAUGAUAUACCUAAGUGCAUAUGCUCUUUAGAUCUAGGUUUUACUAGUUUUAGCAAAAUACUUAAAAAUCAACAUAAAAUAAAGAUAAAACACUUACUUUUUGUUCAUUUGUAACGUCAUAAUAAAUACUCUCUCCGUCCCAAAAUUAUUGUUCACAGACAAAAAAAAAACACACAGAUUAAGAAAACAUUAAUUACUACUAACUUUAUUCAAUAAAAUGACAGUUAUGUCCUUAUUUUGCAUUUAAUGUUCGAUUAAAUGCUUAGUUGGUUAAGUAAUAAUAAUAAAGUGUAUUUUGGUAAAAAAGUUAUUUAUUUUUAUAAGUGGACUAUAAUUUUAGGACAAACCAAAAAGGAAAGAUGGACUAUAAUUUUGGGACGGAGAGAGUAAUAAUUACUAAAAUAAAAUCCUAAAAUAGGAUAAUCUAUAGCCGUGCGCGCUGCGGACUAUAUAAUACAAGUUUCUUAUUAAGGAAAAAUAGGAAAAAUCACCCGAGUCGUCCGUAAGUCAUAAAAAUAAGUGUGCCAAAAUGUAUAUAUUAUUAUAUAUUCAAAAAGUACAUGUCGUCCUGAUCCCGAAAAUAUAAAUUUCGUAGAAAUCUUAGUUCAUAUGAAGACGAUAUGAAUUUUAUAAGACAUAAAAAUCAACAGCCUAACUAAAAAUUAUUAACGUCAAAAUGUACAAAGAGAAUGGUUGACCUUUGGGUAAAGUCACCAAAAUGAAAAUCAUAAUGCUCUUUAAUGUAAGAAUUUUGGUAAAAGAAACACAAAAACUCGGAGUCCGUAUGGGAAAGUUAUGAUUUUUGCAAAAUCAUUAAAUCAUAUAAAAAUAAGGGCUAAAAACAAAUUCAGAAUUAGCCGAUGGAGCCUAAAGGAAAGUUGUAGUAUUGUCGAGAGCUACAUGUGGAAAAAAAGAACGUCAAAAGCAGAGUCCGUAUGAAGAAGGUGAAAAUGCGACCCAAUGAGAGCUUGACACGUGACACAAUGUGGCUAGGGAGAAGUCACCUUAAAAUGCACGACGUACACCCCCAUUGCACACUGUGCACCCAAAAUCGGCUAUAAAUAGGAGGUCAAGCCUCAUUCACUCCUCAACACCGCUUCUAUCAUUCUCUUUCGAUUUCCUUUGGUUCUGGCCCAUUUUAUCUUAGUUUUAGCAUUCGGCGAAGCCCUGCGAUCCCUAAAGUAGUAGUAGUUAGCGAGUAGAAGCUUUGCCAAUGCAAUUUCCUAACUUUGUUAGGAAGAACCUUUGUAAGUUAAGCUAUACUCUAGUCUUUUCAAUGUAAGUUAUAUUUAUAGUCAUAAGUCAUUAUUAUGAACCUAUAAAUAAGAUUUAUCAAUAAUUCUAUGUCGUUAUACUGAUUGAUCUACUUACGGGAGAUGUGCCUAGAAUGGUCACGUUGGCUUGGUUGUUGGAUUUCAAAAAAGAUAAUGAUUCUGCCUCCCAACUGUCCUGCUUGGAUGAUCCUUAAUUGAUAGAUCUUGAUUUAGACAUCAAAAUUAAUGAGGAAUCUAGUCAUCAGGACCAUUAGACUAGAACUUUAUAUAAAUUAUACUUAGGUAUCGGAAAUAUCUGAGGUGUUAGGCAAAGCUCUGCCCAGAUCACCAGCCACCCACCUAAGUCAAGUGAGUACAUAGUCCCCUUCAUGAACACGAUUUAAUACAAGUAUUAAUUGAAAUAUUAAAAAUCUGCUGGAAGUCGUAUGUGAAUUAUAUACUUAUUGCCUGGAUUGUAUGUUAGGAUAUAUGGUGCUAUGUGCGAACUAGAUAUGGUUCUAUUUUAUGUUAAGAUAAAUAGAUAAUAUUACAUAAUAAUAUUCAAAGCAAAAUUGUUGAGAAGAUAAAUGAUUAAUAACACCUAAUACUCUUAUGGAAUAUAUAUAUAUAUAUAUACUAAGAUAGGUUAGUGUCGCCCAAGAAUAGAGUUGGUAUUAAAAAUUUAGUUUCAGGCACGGUAUUCUAUUCUAGGAAUAAACUUAGACUUAUGGAAGAUACCUAGUUCAAUUAAGUUGAUAUUAGAUAGUCUCAUUAGGAGAAUGUGCGUAACCUAGGAAUGGAGAGUAAAGUUUUGUUCCAUGACACUAUUAGGUGUCGAUUUGUUAUAGCUUCGUACUAGAUGACCAGAAAUGGUGGGUCCUGAUCAGGCAACUGUUAGCAGUAUGUCUAGUCACGCCACAUAGUAUUUUUGGAUUAGAUGUCCAAACCCAUAACUAUAAUUGGUAUAUACUUGACCCGAGAGUAGCAUGGUCCAUUUCAGGUUGCCUUCAUCAAAGCAAUUUGACAAGAUAGAUAUUUGAGAAAGAGGUUAUUUGUGAUUUACUAAUAUUAUAAGAAUAAUAUAUUAAUUAAGAAAUCAUAUUAUUUAAGUAGUAUUGUUCAAAAAUUAAUUUGGAAUUAAUUUAGUAAUCAAAAGAGACUAAUUAAAUUUGCAGGGACUGAUUAGGUAAAUCAGUGAUAUUUAUAGUUUGGGGCCUUUGGGCUAAUGAUCAAUGUUGAUUAGGAUUGGACUAAUUCUUUGUGAGAGUCCAUGAAGAGUUAGUCCAAAACGCUAAUGAGUUAUUGGAUUAAAAGCCCAAGUGAGUUAGGGUUUACAAGUUGAAUCCCUAGGAAUUCAUAACAUUAUUGAAGCAACAUACUAUUGAAUAAAAAAACUUCUAAACCCUAAUGGAAAUCACAAUUUUCAGAAGAAUUACAUACCUCUAAUUUGUUAUUGUAAGCAAACCUUUGAAUCCAACAAGAUCAAUCCAAAAGUCUCUUUGAAAACAAACUUCAAUUGUGAGCGAGCCUCUAAUGGUUCGCACUCACAAGACAAGAACCCUAGAAAGAUUAGGAGAGAGGUUCAAAUUUUUGGAUCUACUAUCUCAAUAGAAGUGGCCAAAAAUUUCAAGGUACAAGACCCUAUUUAUAGCUUAUUAGGAAACAUCUAGAAACCCUAAUUUGAACAUAAAAUAAAAUUAUCUCAAAUAAGUCAAUUAUUUAGUUUCUUGAUUAUCUGCAUGGAGGCUUCCUGAAACCUUAGUGGGUCUAAAAAAAAGGUCCACUGGAGGAAGGUUCUGGAAUCUCUCCUCUGCUCAACUCUUAAAACAAGUUUCGCUUUAGUCCUUCAACCUUUAAUUAAUUUUAAUUAACCAUAAAUUAAUUCCAAACCAAUUCUAAAUUAAUCAUAACUAUUUAUAAUUAAUAUAUUAAUCAUAUAAUAUAUUAAUAAAUCAUUUCUCUCUCUUCUAAAAUCAAUCUAAGCAAUUUCUUGGUUAUGAGGGCAACCCAAAAAGGACUUUGCUUUUAUUUAUCAACAUUAUAUCAAUUUAGUUUGGAUCUUAGACACCUUAAUCCAACAUAAGGUUCGUAAUACAUAUACAUGUUGUGUAUGUCCAUUAGCAAAACAAAAAUGAUUACCAUUUGUUUCUGCAAACAAUGUAUCUCAUACACCUUUUCAAUUGAUUCAUUGUGACAUUUGGGGUCCUUAUCAAAUCAAUUCACAUCGGGGUUAUAGGUUUAUCAUUACUAUUGUGGAUGAUUACACUAGAUUCACUAGGAACUAUUUGAUAAGACACAAAUCUGAGGCACAAUUUGUUAUUCCCCAUUUUUUUUUUUUAAAAAUGGUGCUCAAAUAAUAUCAUACUCAUAUAAAUAUUUUCAGAUCGGAUAAUGCAAAAGAACUUCAACUCAACGUGUUUUUUAAACUAAAUGGAGUAUUACAUCAGUUCUCGUGUGUUGAUAGACCACAACAAAACUUUGUUGUUGAGAGAAAACUUCAACAUCUCUUAAAUGUGGCAAUGACAUUGUUCUAUCAAGCUCACAUUCCUUUUAUAUGUUGGCUUGAAUGUGUUUCAACAAGUGCCUACAUGAUAAAUAGAACUCCCUCAAAAGUUCUUGGAAAUAUUUCUGCUUAUAAAAAUCUCUAUAAAGAAUAGCCUCAUUACUCAUAGCUUUGAAAUUUUGGUUGUUUACCUUUUGCAUCCACACUUCAUUCUCAAAGACAUAAGUUUGAUCAUUGAGCAAGAGCAUGUGUUUUCAUUAGAUAACCACAAGGAAUGAAAGCAUAUAGAUUUCUUGAUAUAGAAACAAAUCAAAGUUUUGUUUCUAGAGAUGUCAUAUUUCAUGAGGGGAUAUUUCCUUUUAAAUAAUGCUCGCCAUCUUCUCAUACAAAUCCAUUUAUCUUUCAUGUUUUGCCUAUACUUUUACCUAGAAUCACUCAUUCUUUUACUCCUUCAGAAAAUCUCAAUCAAUUUGAUUCCCAAAUUGAUACCUUACAAAUGAAAUUCCAAAUUCACAACCAAUAUUUCUAGACCACGAAGACAAAGAGCUCCUCCUUCAUAUCUUCAGGAUUUUCAGUAAUUUGAUAAAUCCAAUUCCAGAAGAAACAUCUAUCAAAUACCCAUUAUUUGUUGUAUUAUCUUAUUUACAUCUUUCUCCUUCUUACCAAGCAUAUACUUAUGCCUUAUCUACUCAAACUAAACCCACUUCUUUUAAAGAAGCCAUUCAACAACCUAAAUGAAAGCAAGCAAUUGAUGAAGAACGUCAUGCUUUAGAGUUAAAUAAUAGUUGAACCAUUGUAACCCUAUCUCUUGAUAGAAAACCUUUGGGCUGAAAACGGGAUUUUAAACUUAAAAAGAAGGUUGAUGGAUCCAUUGAAAUCCAUAAGGAUAUAAUGGUAGCAAUGGGCUAUAGUCAAUAAGGAGUGGAUUUUUUUGGAUACUUUCUCACUUGUGUAAAAUUUAGUCAUAGUCAAACAUUUGCUGCUAACAAAGCUUGGCCACUAAUCCAAUUAGAUGUUAAUAAGCUUUCCCAAAUGGGGAUUUAAAUGAAGAGGUUUAUAUGCACUUACCACAAGGAUAUACUCCAUCUUUGUUUCUAAUUCCAGUGGAAAAUUAGUCUGCAAUUUUGAAAAAUAUUUAUAUGGUUUACAACAAGCUUCAAGGCAAUGGUAUGAUAAAUUUUCAAAAUUUUCUUAUUUCUAAAUAUUUCAAGCAAUAUCAAUAAAAAAAUUCCUUAUUUUUCAAAGGAAAAGAUGAUAAUUUUAUGGCCUUAUUAGUAUAUGUAGACGAUAUUGUCCUUACGGCUUAUUCUCUCACAACCAUUAAUAACAUCAAACAACGUUCAAGUGAUGCCUUUUAUCUCAAAGAUUUGGGUAAACUCAAACAUUUUUUGGGUUUGGAAAUUGGAAGAUCCCCAAAUGGAAUUGUCAUUUCUCAAAGGAAAUGUGUUAGAUCUAUUUGAAGAUGUUAGCAUGUUGGUAUCCAAACCAACCUCUCAAUUAAUGGAUCCUUGUCAUAAAAAAUUAAUUUUUUAUGGAUAACCUGUAUAAGAUCCAUCUCAUUAUCGCCAUUUAGUUGGUCGUCUUCUUUAUCUCACAAUCACACCUCCCGAAAUAGCUUAUGUAGUACACAGAUUAAGCCAAUAUAUUUCUGAUCUAAAAAUACCACAUCUUCAGGUAGCUCAUCAUGUGUUAUGAUUUUUAAAGGAUAACCCUAGACAAGGUUUGUUUAUUUCAUCCAAACCAUCUUUGCAAGUCAAAGCAUUCAAUGAUUCUGAUUGGGUUGGAUGUAUUAACACUAGAAGAUCUUUUACAGGUUUUUGUGUUUUUCUUGGAGAUUUCUUAAUCUUGUGGAAAUCCAAGAAAAAAACCACUUUUCCAAGAAGAUCAAUAGAAGUAGAGUACAGGGCACUGGAUCUGUCAUAAAUGAUGUGAUCUGGUUAAGAUAACUUAUGCGUGAUUUUUUUUAUUAAUUUGGAUCCACCAACAUUUGUUUUUUGUGAUAAUAAUUUUGCAAUGCAAUUAGCUGUCAAUCCUAUAUUUCACUAGAGGACUAAGCAUAUCUAAAUCGAUUUCCAUUUCAUAAGGGAAAUGAUUGUGGAUCACACCAUCAAACUCAUGCCCAUUCAUACUUCAAAUUAACUAGCGGAUAUAUUUACAAAACCCCUUGCUUAUUCUAGAAUUGCUUUGAUUUUAUCCAAGAUGGCACUUAAAAGUAUUUUUUAGUGUACAUCUUGAGGGAGGUAUUAGAGCAUAUUGACCGCUUAGUUGAUUAAAUAUCUAUUACGAUGCCGUUUUAUAUUUGUCAUUAGAAAUAAAGGUAGUGAAACUAUGUCAUUUACUUGUGUAAAUAAGUUGUUAAGUUAGUUAGGUGCAUGUUAGCUAAUGUUGUGCAAGAUAAUAGUUAUAUAUAAUCUCAUUUUAUAUUUAUUGAUGAAUAAGAGAAGAUUAUAUUCCCUUUUCAAUUCUUUUUCUUCUUGAUUGUAAAUCUUUCCUCUACCCAUACCUUUCAUAACCCCCUAAAACUAUUUAAUCAAAUCGGUCACUGAAUUCUUGUUUCCAAUUUUGAUUCGAACGACGGUACCUCAAGCCAUUGUUUCAGAUCUUGAGGUAAAUACAAUUGCUCUAUUUCCCUUAAUUAUAAAUUGCAUUCAUGAUUUAUUGUUGAUUGAUGGUGCUAAAUGUUCAGAUGUAAAUCAUACACAUUGUGAACUUAUAGAAACAAUAUGUUGUUCCUAAAAUUGGUAAAAUCCAAAAUCCAAGAUGAUGCAAAUAUCGAUGCUCUACUAAAACUCAUAUAUGUCAAUGGCGCUACAUGAUGGAAAAAGAGCCACUUUUAGUUUGUUGUCAAAAGGCAAAGUGAAGUUAAGACAGUCUUCUCUCAAAUACGACCUCUAGCCUUAGGCUUCAAGUUGUUUCUCGUGUGAGUUUGGGUCUUUCAAAAUUCAACAAAUUUGCUACAAUGGAUACAAAUGUUCUUUAUGGAUACAUCACUAGACUGUAAAAUGAGAUUGAUAACAUUCACGAUGUUGUUAGAUUGCUUACAUUCAUGAUGUUGUUACAUUGGUAAAAGUCCGAGAUGACAUCAUGGUGGACGUUGGUAGAACGAGACAUGACAUUGUGUUCCUGCUCAGUACUACGCUUCCACCAUACUUAGUGUCACUUAUAUGUAGAAAGGUGUUAUCUAUAUCAAUUUUAUAUAUUAUGUAUAGUGUAGGGAGACAAUUUUAACAAUGUAUUGUAUAAAUAUAUUCUGCAAUAUACGCCUCCAAAUGAUGAGGUUUUUCCCACUUUAAUAUGGUAUCAAGCUACGGUUUCUACCCUCUUUAAUCAUACGUAUGGAUCAAACCUUUUACCGCCUCACAUUUUUUUUUCUGGCCAUUAAUCACGUUGUCGCUGCUCUUAUAUGCCACUAUAAUUGUCGACUGCUUCUCAAUUUUUCUCGACGUGCUCUCCUCCGUGCAUUAGGGUCUUCCUAAAAUAUGGUUGUGGUUGAUUCUUUUAUGUUUCCAACAAUAUUUUACAAUCUCCUGCUGUGAUCACAUAAUUUUGCCCUCAUCAUUAUUGUGUGCGUUUCUUGCUCCUUAAGGUAUUGCCUCCAUGACCACUCCUGGUUCAUCCUCUACCACCACUCCCAUGAAGUUAAGUCUCGUUUGUACUCUCACCAACGUUUACAAUCAUUUUAGUUUCAAAUUAAAUGUUGAUGAGCCAAACUGUAAACUAUGGAAUCAGAUUUUUUCAAACAUGUGUCGAGGCACAUUGUCCUAUGGUAAUAUUUCAUAGAAAUCGGUUCCAACCAGAGAUGAUGAGGAAUGAUAUUCGGUUGAUGCAAGGCAUCAAUUCUUAUUUUUAUAGUAUUGUGAUCCCGAGUUUCUUCAAUUCAUCUUGAGCGAUGAUUACACCACCACAAAUCUUUCGAAAAAAUUAGAUGAAUUUUUCGGAACAACAAAAUAUCUCGAAUGUUGCAAUUACAGGAUUAAUUUCGCAAUACGAAGAAGGGUUCAAGCUCCAUUACCGAAUUUUAUCACAUUCUCAAGAACCGUGCCAAUGAUCUCAAAGAUGUUGGUUCCACCAUCAUCGAAAUUGAGCUAGUAAUGCCAAUCUUGAGACAAUUACCAUCUCAUACCAUAGUAUUACGGAUGUCAUCACCAACAUCAAGCCUUUUCACUCUUUCCUUGAGGCCAAGAAUAUGCUUUUACUUCAUGAGUCUCGAGAAACGGCUUAAGAUUCCUUCACAAAUUCAUCCAUGUCUCAUAGUGUGGCUCUAUUUUCCUCAUCCAACAAUUUGGGAAAUCCAAAUACCGAUGGUCGAAAAACUGGAACAAUUCCCGAAAAAUUGAAAAACAAUGCACAUGGAAAUCAUUUUGAUUCGCAACCGCAAUUUAUUAGAAUUCUUGGAAAUGCUCUGUUGCCACCUCCGCGUGCUGCCUCUGGUUACGUUGCUGCUAUCCCAGCUGCUUCGCACUUAAUCCUACUGUCUUACAGCUCCUAUCUGUAGGUUCCAUUCUCGCCGAAUCAGCAGCCCACGUGACAACUGUCAGUGCCUCCGCAACCCUCUUCUCAACAUUUCACUUUUCAUCAGCAUCUGACUCAUGUUGUUGGGUCUUCAUCAUCAGCUACACCCCUCAGACUUGUUUCUCAACAACCAAGUCAGGUGCCUCACGGUCACUUUUCUCAACAUCAAUUUUUUGGUGGAUCUACUUUUGGUUGUCACGUUCAGACUACUCCUUAACAAUUCAUCGAUAUCGCCUCUGCCUUUCAAUCCAUGUCUCUUCAGCCGCCUCUCGACAACAACGUUUACGUGGACUCCGGUGCUAGCUAUCACAUGUCCUUCAAAUCAGUUAACAUGCCUUGCCUAUCACUACGUAAUUCUAGAUCUCUAAUAGUUGCUAAAGGUGCUAUACUUCAUAUUACUCAGACUGGUCAAAUUUUUUUUCCACAUUCACACAACUGUUUAGCUCUAAAUAGCAUACUUGUCUCAAAUAAAAUUGUUAAAAAUCUCAUUAAUGUAUGUCAGUUCACUGUUGAUAACUUUGUCUCUGUAACUUUUGACCCUUUUGGUUUCACUGUGAAGGAUUUUAAAACAUGUGCGUUUAUUUAAAGAUGUGAUAAUGGCAGUGAUCAUUGUCCCGUUAUCCCCAUGCCAACUCCUUCUUUUUCUAACACUAGUUGUGUUGUUGUUUCUCUCCCAACUUGGCAUAUGCGUCUUGGUUACCUUGGCUCAUCUAUUUUGAAUUUUUUACAUUCUUGCAAGUUUAUUUCCCAUACUACUACUAAACUACCCAUCUAUCAUGCUUAUUAGCUUGGGAUGCAUUGUCGUUUACCCUUCUCUUCGUCUAUAAUUAAAACUACUAGUAUGUUUGAAUUGGUGCAUUUAGAUUUAUGGAUAUCUCUUAUUGCUAGUCUAAGUUGUUUUAAAUAUUAUAUUUUUUGGAUGAUUUUACUCAUUUCUUAUGGGUUUUCCAUCUUCGUGAAAAAUCUGAUAUUUUUGAUGUUUUAUCUAACUUCCAUGGAUGUGUCCAAACUCAAUUUAAACCUGACAUCAAAUUUUUUCAAUGUGAUAAUGGUUGUGAAUUCAAUAACAAAUCUGUUCUCACUUUCUGUGCCCAUAAGGAAAUCAAAAUUGGCUUCUCUUGUCCGUAUACGUCCCAACAGAACGAUAAGGUUGAAAGAGUCAUACGAACCAUUAAUAACAUCCUUCGAACUUACCUGUUUCAAGCCUCCCUGCCUCCAACAUUUUGGGUUGAAGCUCUCCUCAUUACUGUUCAUACCCUUAAUCUCCUUCCCACCUCCACUCUUGCGUUUCAAACACCCUUUGAGCUUCUCUUUGGUGUUUUUUCCCUCCUAUGAUCACCUUUGAGUAUUUGGGUGCCUUUGCUACCCAAAUCUCUCAUCCACGACUCCCCAUAAGAUCUCUUAUAGGUCUUCUUCAUGUGUAGACCUCAAUCCCUCCUCUAAUCAUUGUGGCUUUUGUUGCCUUAAUCUCAUCUCCCAACGAGUAAUUAUCUCUCGUCAUGUCAUCUUUGACGAUCACUUCCAUUUCUCUACCUUUCAUGAUAAACCCUCAACCAAUUACUAUGAUCCUUUCCUUUCCGAGGAUAUACCUCCCCUCCUUACAGUAUGCACUACUCUUCGCAUCACUGAGCCCUCUCCUAGUGAAUCUUCUCCCGCUCUUUCUGAUAGUAGUUCCCCUCAACCCACUGCCUCCUCCUCCUUUCCUAAUACUAUUCCUACCCCCUCCUCCUACCCAUCCCAUGGUCACUUGCUCUCGCACUGGCUUUCUCAGGCCUAAGUAGAUUUUUAAUCUAUUUGCCACUUCUGAUGUCUCCCCUAUCCCUCGCUCUAUAUCUCAAGCUCUAUGUGAUCCUAACUGGAUUUUUCCAUGGACUCUGAAAUGCAGGCUCUUCACUCCAAUCACAAAUGGGAACUUGUUCCCCUUUCUCCAUGCCAAAAUUGUUGGUUGUCGCUGGCUUUAUUGUCAUAAGUUUGACAGAAAAGGUAACCUAGAUCGCUAUAAAGGUUGCCUUGUUGCUUAGGGAUUCUCUCAGCUUCCUGGUCUUGACUUUGAUGAUACCUUCAGUUCUGUUGUCAAACCUGAUACGAUUUGUACUGUUCUAAUUAUUGCGAUGUCCAAGCAUUAGCCAAUUCAUCAACUAGAUAUCAAAAAUGGUUUCCUACAUGGUUACCUAUCUGAGGAAGUUUACAUGAAACAACCUCAUGGGUAUGUCCAUCCCUCCCUUCCUAAUCAUGUAUGCCGACUUCUCAAAGCUCUUUAUGGUCUCAAAUAGACUCCCAAGCCAGGUACCAACGCUUUGCUGUUUUCAUCACCUCUCUCGGUUUUACUAGAAGUCGGUCUGAUUGUUCCUUAUUUACUUAUCACUCUGGUUUCGACCAUAUCUUCUUUCAUUUUUAUGUUGAUGAUAUCAUCCUCACCUCCUCCUCUUUCUCCACUCUCAUCACUCACAUUAUCUCAUGUCUCUCGUCUGAGUUUUCCAUGUCCAAAUUGGGUCCUAUUUCCUUAUUCAUUGGCAUCGAUGCUUUUCGAUCUGAGGAGAGUCUAAUUUUAUCUCAGGCUUCCUUUAAUGACAUCUUAGCUCGUGCUGACAUGUCUUCUUGCAAUCCGUGCAGUACCCUAUCUGACACUAAAUCUAAACUUUCUCCUCACGGCUCUCCUGUCUCUGAUCCCACUCUCUACAGGAGUCUUGUUGGUGCCUUACAAUAUCUUACUUUCACUCGUCCUGACAUUGCAUAUGUUGUACAGAUCUCUCUUCAUGUUUGCGUGAACCUCAUCUUCUUGCUCUUAAACGUAUCCUUCACUAUCUUCAGGGUACUAUUUCUCAUGAUAUGUUUAUUCGACCUUCCUCCAUUGAUCACUUGGUCUCCUAUUAUGAUGCAAACUGGACCGAGUGUCCUCAUACUCGUUGGUCUACUUCUGGGUUUUGUGUUUAUCUUGGCAAUAAUCUCGUCUUUUGGUCCUCUAAACAUCAACAUGUUGUUUCUCACUCCUCAGCUGAGGAUGAGUAUUGUGGGAUGGCUAAUAUGGUUGCUAAAGCUGCUUGGCUUUGUAAUCUCCUUCUUGAGUAAUCUUGUACGUUAUCUAAAGCAACAUUUAUGUUUUACUAAAUGUGAGUGCCAUGUAUUUAUCUUCUGAACCAUUAAAACACGAACGUAUUGCUCGUGCCGUCGAUUCACUAAUUUGCAGAUAUAUUUACAAAGGGUCUUCACCGGUUUAAAUAUUUGUAAAUCUCAUGCUCUAACUAGAGGGUGCCUUAGUUUAUAUUAGUUUAUAUAUAUUAUGUAUAGUGUAGGGACCAAUUGUAACUUUAUAUUGUAUAAAUAUAUUCUGCAGUAUAUGUCUCAAAUUGAUGAGGCUUUUCCCACAUUUAACAAAAGGAAAACUAAAUUAACACCAAAUUGCCCAAAAUUAAACCAUAUAUUAUACUAAAUUAAUUCACAACAGUUCGACAUCAAUCAAAUAUUAUCUCGCACUCGAAUUCACAAAACUCACUUUCCGGGUACAAAGUUUGUAGCAUAUGACCAUGCAUUGUUUGCAACAGGGUCAGCAAGGUGGUCAGCGAGGUUCUCCAAUGGUCCCUUUCCGGUAACAAUGGCUUGAACAAAGAAUCCAAACAUAGAGAACAUGGCUAGUCUACCGUUCUUGAGCUCCUUCACUUUCAGCUCAGCAAAUGCCUCUGGGUCAUCAGCCAGACCCAAUGGGUCGAAGCUACCACCAGGGUAAAGUGGGUCAACUACCUCACCAAGAGGUCCACCAGCAAUUCUGUAACCUUCAACUGCACCCAUCAAGAUCACUUGGGUAGCCCAGAUGGCUAAAAUGCUUUGUGCAUGGAUCAAACUUGGGUUCCCCAAGUAGUCAAGACCACCCUCACUAAAGAUCUGGGAUCCAGCCUUGAACCAUACAGCCUCACCAAACUUGACACCAUUACGCGCCAAGAGUUCGGGGAAGACGCACCCAAGAGCUCCGAGCAUGGCCCAUCUGCUGUGGAUGACCUCAAGCUCACGGUUCUUGGCGAAUGUUUCAGGAUCAGCAGAGAGCCCAGCAGUGUCCCAACCGUAGUCACCGGGGAACUCACCGGUCAGGUAAGAUGGGGCUUCGCCGGAGAAUGGGCCAAGGUACUUAACACGGUCGGGGCCGUACCAUGGACUUCCUGAUGGUGCGACUUUCUUGACUGCUGUCUUCCUCAUGGAAACCCUUCCAUUUCCGGUGAUUUCUGAACCAGAUGGUGCUACUUUCACCGCCUGUCCGACGAAAGAAGAGGAUAGUGCCAUGGUGGAAGCUGCCAUUUUUGUGAGAUUUGUUUUGAAGAUGUUUUGAUGAUAUGAUAGUAUUAUGAGUGAUGAAGAUGUGUGGAUCUGGAACAUAGAUUUAUAGGGUGGUUUUUGGGCCAAGUAGUUGAUAAAUGUUUAUCUUGAUGCAAUUUUUAACUUCAUUUUGAUUGGCUACCAAGAUUUUAGUUCUAUCAGUGGGUCCAUAAUCUGCGUGGUUCCACUAUUCGAGUUCUCUGGCCCACAUGAGAUAUUUGAAGGGGCAGCGAUAUUCAUGGCUCUGUCUUAUUAAGCGAAUAUAAUGGCUAGAAAUCUCAGCCACUAGCUACCAUGCACAAACCGGUUUUUUUUUUGAACCGGACCGCUUCAAAAAUCCGGUUCGGUUCUAGUCAAUUUAGUCAAAACCAGUUUGGUUCCAAACCGGUCCAGCUUCAAAAUAAUUCAAACGUAUGUAAACUCGUUAAAGAAAAAACCGGUUCAAAAAGGGUUCAAAACCAGUUUGACGGAAAAAAGGUUUUUUUCAAUUUUUAUUUUGUUUUUAGGCUAAUAACUGAAAAAUAGGAAUUUUUUUUUAUAAUAUUGCUUUUAUUGUGUUUAAAAAAAAAGUUUCACACUAGGUUUUUUGAAAAUGGAAGUGGAAUGAAUUGGGAAUUCAUAAGCCUUUUUUUUGGUAAUACACACGUACACACGUCCAUAUGCCAAAAGGUUUUUAUUAUUAUUUUUUUUAUUUCUUGUUUAAUCUUUUGAUGUAUUAAAUUUUUUUUUUGUUUCAGAUUUGAUGUUUUAUCUUUUUUUUUUUCAUUUUUUUUGUUUUUUAUAUUGGAAAUACAUAAUACAACUUCAAACAUAAAAACACAAAACAUCCAAAUUGUCAAACUAAUACAUCUUCAAAUAUAAAACAUUGAUGUCGUCGUAGUCUUCAUUCCAAGUCCGUAGUCAUUGUAUUUAUUCGUCAUCCGCCAUGUCGUUGCGUAAUUCUCUCUCAUACUCGAUCUCUUCUAGGGUGAGUGACACCGACAUUCCCAUCGCUACUUCUUCCUCAUGUACUCGUGCUUCGACAUGCAACGAUGUGCCUUCUAGUGCUUCGAUGUCUUGUAUCCUUUCCACGCCAUCAAGGUAGUAUUUCAAGCAAAUGCACACUUCCACCGACAAAUGGGUUAGUUUUGUUCUUCUUGGUGAUAUUACCCUGCCACUAACAGAAAAACCGAUUCCGANUUACCCUGCCACUAACAGAAAAAGCCGAUUCCGAAGCUACCAUAGAAGCUUGGGAGCUUAGUAGAUCACGGGCCAUAGCGGCUAGAAUUGGAAAUUAGGUUUCCUUUCCUUUCCACCAAACCAAAAUAUCAAAAUUUUCAAACUCUUGAAUACUCAUUUCACUACUAGAAAAAUAGCCUUUUACGACGCGCGAACAACGACACGCGCUGUUUUAUGAUACACAAUAGUGUGUGCCCUAAAAAUAAUGUCGGCUCUCCAAAAAUUAGAAGGAUUUAGGGUACGCAUUUUUGCGCGCCCUAAAAUAAGUGUUACAUUAAAAAAAAACACGGAGGGCACAUAACAUAAAACGCGCGUCCACUAAGUAUGUCGCUUUAUAUUUUUUAAAUGAAAUGCGGGUCACAUUUUUUAGGGAAAACGAAAUUCCAAAAAGUUUGAAAGGCCCGCCAUGUUCCUACCUUCUUUCCACCGUUCUUCUCUCCCUUACUCAAAAUACCCAAAAAAAACCCUAAUAUACUCAUCGCUCCUCUUUUCUCCCAUAACAAACUCGCACCAUCACCAAAUCUCUGAUCUCCCACCAGCAAAAGGUCUCCUACCGAUGUCUCCACCUACUCUCUGCCCUCUCACUAUUUCUCUCAAUUAAAAACGCUAGAUCUCUCAAUCAGAGAACCAUGGCUACUUCUCCUUUCUCCCACACCAGUUGGCAAAAAGUGAGGAGUCUCGAGCCUAGCAGUUGAUAUUCACAUGCCCUCUUAAAUUGAAGGAAUCAGAACAUUGUCGACAUCAAUUCGUUAAUCAUCACUAGAGAAAUCAGAUACGCCAUCUGGUUGAUGAGUCAAGAGAAAUCACAUAUGUCAUCGCUUCAGCAAUCAUCCCUCCUUUUAACCGUAAGUUUUCAAUCUUACACUUUACAAAUAUCAUAUAAACAUCUCUCUCUCUCUCUCUCUCUCUCUUUCUCUCUCCUGCUAUACCUUGAUGAAUUAUCGCAUACAUAUGGAGGAACUGCUUUCUAAAAGCCAGCUAUCGGGAGAGUCAACAGGGUCAAUUGGGUGUUCAAAAGGUGCUUCGAUAUCAUCUUCCCGCCAGCAAAUCUCUGUUAAAGUUGUCACAGAGUAAUCCAUUUGAGUUUGGGCAUAUAUUUUUUGUUAUUAAUUUAGGGGGAGACUGUGUUCCAUGAUUUUGGUCAUGCAUUUCUUCAGCACACGCUAACAAGACAAGAUGAAGGGCUUGUUGUUGGUAUUCGUGGCAUAGAGUGGAUGCUGUUGAGUUACCUUUCCAGUUCAUGGAAAAUUGGUGCUACCGUAGGUAGGUAUAUAUAUCUCCAAUUUCAAGAUGUUGUUCAACUGCUGCAGGAACGAGGUGAGGGUGGCUGAUGAGAAUUUGUGACAGGAACUAUCCGAUUGGGGAUUCCAGCUCAAGUGGGGCAGUUGGCGCAUCAGAUCCAGCAGAAUCAGAAGAUAAUGAGGCCUUUAUUGCAAUUCUCUUCUUUUGAAUAUGAAAAGAUGCACUUUUCAGUCCUAAUCUGGGAUGUGAAAAUGAAAGGAACCCCUGUUUAGCCAACAAAACAAAGUAAAAUUCAGUUACAACACUUACCCAAAUAUAGCAUUCUACCUUUAAUUUUUCUCAUCAAGACAAAAUUGAAUCAGUUAUGAAACCGACCACAUAAAAGGCUGUUUUUCUAGAGUUGCAAUGUUAGGAAUAAAAGUCACAAUGGUAUGUGGUCGGUUUCAUAACUGAUUCAAUUUUGAUGAGUAAACAGGUUAGAUUUCAUAUGGUUGUUUGUUCAGAUUGGUAUUCAUCCUGAUUUUCCUUCAAUUAUGCAACAACUAUGCUGGAAUUUGCUAUGUUCCAUACUCGGAUUUUGAAUUUAUCGGAAAAUUGAAUAAUUAAUCUGGAAAAAUACCAUCUUUGAAUGAUUUUUUUGUCAUCUGUAGAUAAGGAAUACCAUCUUUGGGUAAUUAGUUUAUCUAGUCUACAUGAUUAAAUUAAUGGACAUAUAAUUCUCUAUUGAUAGAACAAAAAACAUUGCUUUGUAGUGAAGAUAAGGAAUACCAUAUUUGGGUAAUUAGUUUAUCCAUACUCGGAUUAUGAAUUUAGCCCACCAUCAGCAGGGGAUUGCUGAGUUUUAUGUGACCAUAAUGCCCUUUCGGUUUGUAGUGAAGAUCCAAGCAUGUAAUUAAUAACACCUCUAAUUAAUUAAUUAAUUAAUCCCCUAAAACUAACUAUGGUUAAAUUAAACUGGUGGUAGGUGCCAGUGUACAUAGGGGCACAUAUGGUCAAAUAUGUUUUAAUUAUUAGUCUAAUAUCUUUUGAUACUUAUCAAUAACAACAAAAUAAUGUAAAAUCGUGUGAAUACAAUUCAAGGGUAUAAUGGUCUAGACAGAGAUUAUUUUUAUUAAAGAUAUUUAUUUAUUAAUCAUCAGAGAAGAAGGAAUUAAUAUGAAAGAAUCACUUACUGCAAAAUAAUCUUCAAAUGUAAAAUCAACAUAGCCUAAGCCCUGAUUUUUAUUUCACCACAGGUUGGCGAGCUGGCGGGAAUAGCUUUGGGAGCAACUGUCAUGCUUAAUAUUCUUAUAGUUGUGUACGUUAUGGUCAAAAUAGUUCAGCAAGAACCUCUGUUGAAAUGAUAUAGGCCACUAAUUAUUUAAAACUAUCACUGGCUCCUCAUUAUGGUCAAAAUAGUUGGUCUGUUAAAAAUUGUGACUAUGAGCAAUUUGCCACUUCUAAAUGGGUUCUUUGUAGUUUUCCUUUCUAUAAUUCAGGAAAUAGGAUCAUAUUUUACUCUUGCAGAAAUAGUUAUGGUCUGUGAGCAUUCUUCCAGAUUGUAAGAACGUAAUUUUCAACACAACAAAGGUGAAAUUAUAUCUAUGUUUUCUUGUGUAUUUAACUUCACAGGAGCUGAAACAUGAUCUAAUUUUUUUUAUCUAUUGGUUAUGUUGAAUAUGGAUAAAAGGUUGUGGCUCAGAAAAGUGUUGGUGAUGCUUCUACAUUUGUUGAGAGUGAAUUUUCACUGUCAAAUUCAAGUUGGAUUUGGUAUGUAGAAAAAGUGUGUGUUUAGAGUAAGGACUUUUUCCUUGUUGGACUGUAAUAGUAGACCAAUAUGAUUCGUUUUAUAAAACCCUUAGACAGAUCACAGUUGGUUCUGCAAUUGCAUGGUCAGGUAAACAUUCUAAACACAUUUUCAAUUUAUUUUGUGAUAUUUAAUUUCUCCCAUAUUCUUUUAAAUUAUAUUAUAAUAUGCUUAUAAACACUACUUUCCUUUCAUGUAGCCAAAAAAUUGUCCCAAAGUUGACUGAGGUACUUUGGACAAAAAUACAAUGUUAGCUUACAUCUUUAUUAGUUAAUAUAAUCAAAUUUCUAAUUUUAGGUGCUAACUGAUACGCGUCCGCAAGUUCAGUCUGCAUGGCAGACAACACUCCAGCAGGUUUGACUAUAUUCUUAUGGGUUGUGGCAUUCACAUUCCCAUAGUGAUCUUGAUAAAGUUGCUUCUAUUUCCAUGCUAAGUUGGCUUUUAUUUGUAAUAUAGGAGGUCCAAAAUCUUGCAAAGAAGGCUGCAGAAACUGUGGUGUUGGUAAUUGAUGAUGAAGGGACUGAGUAUUUGAUAUCAGAACUUCUCAAGUUGCUUCUAUUUCCAUGCUAAGUUGGAUUUUAUUUAUCUUACUGUUUAUUAUCAUUUUUUAUAUAAAAUUUCAUCAUUUAUAUUAUAUAUAUAGUACAUUAUAGACUUUGCAUCAUAAUUUGUUGAAUGUUACAAGAUAUAAUUCAAAAUUCAAUUUCCUCAUGUUGUUGCUGAAAUGACAGCAAUUGGUUUUGGCCUACCAAAGAAUGCAUUCACCGCUUUAAUGAAGAAUGUAAGUGUUUAUUUUUCUUUUCUGUUUGGUGAAAAUCAUCAAAUGACAAUCUCAUUAUAUAUCUUAGGAUCUUAUCAGUUAAUAAACUUGAUCGUGGGUAUGAUCAAGCAUAGGUUUACAUUUAUACCCCUGCUUUUAUCUUUUAUCUUUUAUGUUAUAUAAUUAUAUUCCCCCUUUUUUUAUCAGGUUAAUUUGGUGGUUAAUUAUGAUCUUCCUAUAAGACAUGAUCAUCAAUCUCACUACAAGAAAAAUACCCUUUUACGACGCGCAAAACACGACGCUCUUUGAUUUAUGUUACGCAUUAGAGAGCGACAUUAAAAAAGUGUCAUCUCUUAAAAAAUUUUAAGGAUUUAGGUCGCGCAUUACUGAGUGCCCUUAAAUUAGUGUCUCAUGUAAAAAUAUUAAAAACACGGAAGGCACUUGUGCGUCGUCUGUGAAUGUCGUUUUAUAUUUUUUUUUAAGAAACACGCGUCUCGGAGGGAAAAUGAAAUCCCCAAAUUUUUUAAACCCCCACCUUUUUCUCCCUCGUCUCCACCCCUCAUCCACAUCCACUACCUCCGAUCCUCAUUUCCUCUUCUAGCCUCAAACUACGGCGAUGCACCUUCCUUCUCGAAGAAUGCUUCAUUUACCACCAUCGUCCGAUUAUGUGAGCCCAAGGAAUUGACCAAGACGAAGAAGAUAAUGGAUCAAUUGCUUCACAUCAUGUUUAAGGUUAAGGGUUUGAGUUAGUCCGCAACAGGUAAUCGAAUUUUGCCUAAUAUAUAUUUCUACUCUCAAACUGUUUAUUCGUCCGAUUGGAUGCAUAUUUACUAUUAAAUUUGGGGAUUUUCUUUUAAAACCCCCGCGCCUCUUCUUGUUUGUAGCUAAACAACCGUGAAUUUGUUAGAGUGAUUGGAAGAGGAAAAAUAGAAGAUAGAAGAAAAAGAAGAAGAAGAAAAGCGAACAAACGGGAUUUCUUGACCUGAUGUGUUAAUCCGUGAUCAGGUCUUCUGAGCGAAGAGAAGAUCUGAGGCUCAAUUGAAGAAAUAUGAGCGCUUCUAGAUUUAUAAAGUGCAUCACAGUCGGUGAUGGCGCUGUCGGGAAGACUUGUCUCUUGAUUUCCUACACCCGUAACACCUUCCCCACGGUAAUCAUCUCUUCAUCAACCGCCUUCAGUUUCUGCCCAACUAAAGCACGGUUACACACUUAUUUCUCUUCGGACGUUUCUGUGGCUUCCAUGGGAACGGAGGAGGAUGAUAUAAAUGAGGCAACAACUUCAUUCGCUACAUGUUUGAACCUUAAAUUGAAGGGAUUAUAUAUUGAAAUUUGAAUCUACAACUUCGAAUUUCAGUCAUCUCUCUUCUCUUCUACAUCUCACCUGAUUCUCUAUUGAAAUUUCUAGGGUUUUUAAUUGAACCUACAUCUUCAUCUUAAUCUUCUUUUCUGAAGUUAGGGCUUUUUUCUUAAGAACAACUAAUUUUUUGCAGUAAGUAAACCUCUAAUUUUUUCAUUUCUCAUUUCCUUAGACCUCUCCCCUUUCCAUCUCAUAUCGAGGCAAAAUCAAUUUCACUUUGGUGGCUUCGAUUUCCUAGCACAUAUUAUGUUAUUAUAUGGAUUUGUAGGAAAUUAGAAAUCAUGUUAGAAUGUUUGAUGUUCUGUAUGUUCAUAAAAGUACAUCUAAAACAAAAAUCUUAGAUUAAACAAAACUGAAGCAUUUAAUGAGAUGUAAUUACUAACUUUUGUUGGAGAUGCAAAUGCUAAAUAAAGAAAACUGAAGCAUUAAAUGAGAACCUUUAUAAUUCGAUUUCAUUCAGAUCUUCGGUGGAUAUUUAGGGCUAACAAAGAAAACUGAAGCAUUUAAUGAGAUGUAAUUACUAACUUUCGUUCAAGGUAACCCCUGUUAUGAAUACAUGUAAGAAUUUAUUUAUCUUUUUCUCUCACCACUUGCUAUCCAUGUGCUGCUCUCUCAUAGUUGAUAUCUAACAACAAAGACCUGAUCAGUCUAGUUUGCUUGUUUUUUUUCUUUUUCUUAUAAUUCUUGAAUACGUGCAGAUUUUUUAAGACUUCUAGUUUUGUUUUUUGUUCAGUGAUAUUGAUGAUGAGGCAAGUUUAUCAACACUAUGGGAGAGAUAUCAAAGUGUCUCUGAAAAGGUAUUGCGAUAUCAAAGCAUAAAUUAUUUAUGGAUUAAAAUGGGAAAAUGACUUAUAUGGGUAAGAAAGUUUUAAAAACUUUUAAAAAUGACUAUCAAAGUAUUGUUUGUAUAAAAAACACCAACCAAGUUUACCAUUUUGUCAAAUCUAACAGGUUGGUAACCUGCAUCUGCCGGUCAAAAAAAAUUACCUGAUCAUUUUAAAAACUGAAAUUAUAAAUGACAUGGCAUCCUUUUUUAGUCUUACGUGGAUUAAUUGCAAGGGAAGAUCCAUUUUCUCAGCGUUCUUUCUCAAAAUCAGGAGGGAGUCAACACAGAACCCUCUCUAGGGUUAGUUUCUGCCCCUGUAUACAGUUAUUUUUGUUUAAAUUGACUGAUUUUAACAGUUGACGAAUAUGCUCCUGCUUUGGGCUAAUCACACAUAUGUCUUUUUUAUGACCAAAUUGCCCCUGUAUAUAGUUUUUUUUUGUUACAAUUGACUGAUUUUACCAGUCAAUUAAGGUGUUGUUUAGAAACUGUUAGUAUCCAAGACCAUUUACAUGCUCGUGCACAAAGACGAAUUUGCCCUUGAUUGUGACCAAACUGCCCCUGUAUACAUAUUUUUUAUUACUAAAAACACCCCCUGUCCUAGAAAAAUAUGACACUUCUAUACAAAAGCUAAUACCAAUUUCUCACUACAAAUCAACUAAUAAGAAAAGAAGUGGGCAACUCUCUAAAAUGACCAAAAUUUGAAUUGCAGUGUCACAAAUUGACAAUUUUUUAAAGCUAUAAUGAAAUAAUGCUUUGUUUUGUAAAAUAUACAAAAUCCGUUUGUUGUUGUGUGCAACUAAUCCACAAACAUUUACAUAAUUCUCGUUAGUGUACUUUGCAAAGUGGUGCUGAAGUAAUUUGGGCAACAAAAGUACAUAUAACUAUAUUAAUAUUCUCUAAAUAAUCAUAUAUAAUGAAAUAAUGGUUUGUUUUGUAAAAUAUACAACCCAUACUGUAUUUUUGAUAAAAAAAAAUAAUGAUUUUAAGAGAUUUUGUCCGAAAUACCCUUAUAUACUCUUUUUUUUGGUAAAAAAUUAAUGAUGUAAUAGUUUUUGACUAAAAUGCCCGUAUAUACUAUUUAACAGGUUUGACCCCAUCUGAAUUAUGAUUCAGCUUAAAAUUGAAUGCCAUUUUGACAAUUUUAUUGCUUUUAAGACUAUUUACUGCUGAAAAUAUGUCAAAUUUGUUACAUUUUGCUGCUAUAAAUAGUCAAAAAAUAACUAAAAGUCUACAAAGAUUCAAGGUAACAGUAAAUAAUACUGGCAUUUCCAGCAGCAAAUCUUCAAUUGCAGGGACUAAACUUUGUCAUUUUUAGCAGAAAACUUUAUCAACCAACAAAAAGAGGUUAAUAAAGAAUCUAAAUGGCAUUCCAUUGUAACAGCAUCAAAACACGACCUGCACUCAAAACCCUCCAAAAUAGCCCCUACACUCAAUUGUAACAGCCCCUCUGUUGUGAUUCCUUUAACUGUGACCAAAUUGCCCCUCUAUUGUGAUUCCUUUAGAUUCAAGGUAACAUUGUUUUAAGUGAAAAGAUCAUUUCAUAACUUGUUUACAUAAAUUCUUUCUUAGCUUGUUUACAUAAAUUCUUUUUCUGUCAAUUCCUUUCAAGACAAAAAGAAAGAAAGCAGGAACUUAUAGCCAUGCAAGUAAUUUCAUUAUUUUUCUCAUUAACGAUUGUACUUCCUUUGCUCUUUCUUGCAUAAUAAUAAACAGAUUUAAAGAGGAGUGGAGCCAUAUGACCACCUGAUGCCCCCAAAUCAAUUUAUUUGAGCUAGAUUUGAACGAUUUACAAGGAGAAGAAGAAAAUCAAUUGUCAAGAGGAGAGGAGAUGUAUGACCACCCACCUGAUGCCCUAAAUCGAUUUAUAAUAUGUAUUUUUCAUUUAAUGCUGAGUAGAUGUGCAACACACUACCUAAAUAUGCCAACUAAUCAUUACUUUUGCCAACUCAGCCGUUCACCUGGAGAUCCGGUUACCACCGGGUCAUAUUUGAACAAAAGAUAAACUUCGUUGGUAUUUUUUGUACGACGCCUAUAGUUAAAUGGUAUUUUUGAACAACUAAAACUUCAAUGGUUUUUUUUGAAUGUUUUUGAAACUUUCUUACCCUUAUAAGUCAUUUUCUCGAUUAAAAUUGAACUUUUUUCAUACAUUACCUAACAUUGACUUGUCUUAAUUUGCAGGCAGAAAUACAAAAGGCUUUUCAUAUAUUUCUUAAACAAUUUUUUGUAAUAUACAAGAAUUGGGAGCCAUUAGAUUUAGAUAAUUCCAUAGAACCUUUCAUUGAUUCAAGGGAUCCUCUUUCUGAAAAAAAGAUUGCAGUGGCAUCAGAAGGCAGUCAUAUCAGUGAUGGAAGCUGGUGGUCUUAAUUGGUUAGUAGGUAAGGUAUGCAUCUUCAGAUUUAAUUUCUAUUGAGAACUAAACACAUUUGAAUAUCUGAGAACUAAACACACUUGAAUAUUUAUAAAUGAUGCACACAUCCAAAGGGAUAAUAGCAAUGUUUCUAAUGGCGUCAAAUAGACCUGAUUGUGACCACUAAUGGUUCAUCAGGUUUGUUGAUUUUUAUUUUAUUUUAUUUGAAGUGCAUUAUCUGGUUUAAUAUGAAAUGAUUCAUGUUGAAAUUGGUUUCUUUUGUUACUCCAUAAUACUUGAUAUCUUAUUUUUUGCAUGCAGGUGCUAACAAAUAUGGUGUCAUUAUCAUUGUUGUUGUUGUUGUUGGAUACGGAUAUGUUUGGUGGAAGGUAAAUAUAAGCUCAUAUAUUAAUAUUAUUACUUUUUACAGUUAACUUGUACAUAGUUUUUCUUCAACUAACAGAAAUGGUAUCAUUAACAGGGUUGGAAACUUCCUGAUAUGAUGUUUGCUACAAAAUGAAGUUUAUCUGAUGCCACAUAUGCUUUAGCUAAAUAGAUUGACACUGUUUACUCAUCACUUGCAGUAAGUUAUUUAAAAACUUUGUUAUUUUUUUGUUAUUAAUUUGGGUUGUUUAUUAUGUUGUUUAGGCUACCAAGAGACAUUUAUCUACAAGGAUUGACCGUGUUGAUAGUAGUUUAGAUGAGGUUGCAGAAAUUACUGCUGCUAAAAAAGAGGAGGUAUGACAAGAUAAAGGUUGUUCUAGAUGUUUAAUCUAUACAUAAUGCGGUUUACACCCUGGUGUGGUUCUUUUCCAUUUUGUCUUGUGACUUUGAUAUUGUUUUCUGAGUUGGAUAUGUGGUAUGAUAAAUUAUUUUUACAUGAGAGUAGGCUGAGUAGGGUUGAAUUGAAAUAGGUACUGAAUAUUACCGUUUGACAUGCGAUUUUUUCUAGCUUAAUGAGAUAUUUAUAACAAAUAAUUUUGAAUUUUUGUUGUCUUUUGUAGGGAAAUCCAUCAAGUUCAUCAAGGCCAGCUCUUGAAUUACCAUAGAGAGUAAACUUCUAAUCUUAUACAAAUACAAUGAUUUGCUAAAUUCAAGAAAUAACAAUGCACUUUUAUUUAUUACUUUUAUUAAAACAUCCUAGUUUAAUUUCUAGCUUAAUGAGACAUUUAUUACUUUUAGCAGAGAUCGAUAUAUAUAUGAGCUUUUUGCUUUCAAACAUUGUUGGGGAAGAAUGUUGAAACUUGCUCUUUGUGAAGGUAAUUUUUUUUCUUAAUGCAUUAUCCUCUAUAUUCUUGAUAUUUUUCCCACUUUUUAAAUCUUUUAUCAAAUUCUCACUUUUGGAUACAGUGCUUGAUGAGAGAAUGUGUGACCUAAAUCUUUUAUCAAAUUCUCACUUUUGGAGUUGGCCAUAAGAAAAUGUAGGCAAAGGGUAAUUUGUUAUAGUUCAGGUUGACAAGGUGCUGUAUUUUUCACAUAAUUGACAAGGAGCUGUUGUAUCUAUUCAGACUAGACUUAGAGCAAUGGUUGCAAGAGAUGAGUUCAGCAGAAAAAGAAACAAGGCUGCAACUAUAGUUAAGGUACUAUGGAUGAAUUAUGUUUGUAAAGUAUUUAAGAAAAUGAUUAUAAACAAGGGUGAAUUUGUACAAAUUAGUUAGCUACUUGCANUGAGUAUUUGAUAUCAAAACUUCUCAAGUUGCUUCUAUUUCCAUGCUAAGUUGGCUUUUAUUUAUCUUACUGUUUAUUAUCAUUUUUUAUAUAAAACUUCAUCAUUUAUAUUAUAUAUAAUACAUUAUAGACUUUGCAUCAUAAUUUGUUCAAUGUUACAGGAUACAAUUCAAAAUUCAAUUUCCUCAUGUUGUUGCUGAAAUGACAGCAAUUGGUUUUGGCCUACCAAAGAAUGCAUUCACCGCUCUAAUGAAGAAUGUAAGUGUUUAUUUUUCUUUUCUGUUUGGUGAAAAUCAUCAAAUGAAAAUCUCAUUAUAUAUCUUAGGAUCUUAUCAGUUAAUGAACUUGAUCGUGGGUAUGAUCAAGCAUAGAUUUACAUUUCUACCCCUGUUUUUAUCUUUUAUCUUUUGUGUCAUAUAAUUAUAUUUCCCUUUUUUUAUCAGGUUAAUUUGGUGGUUAAUUAUGAUCUUCCUAUAAGACAUGAUCAUCAAUCUCAACCUGACCAUGAAGUGUAGUUGCACUGAAUCGGAAGAGCAGGGUGAUUAUGGGAGAUGUUAAGUAGUUAUAGGGCUUUAGAUGCUUUCCCUUUGGGUAGGAAAUGUUUUUAAGACAUGAUCAUCAUUCUCUACCCCUGCUUUCCCUCUGGUGUUUAUCUCCCAUAAAACCCUAAAAUGUGGAUGUGCUAAAACUGAAGAAAUUAGAAGACACAUACUGGAUUUUAGCAAGUCGGGUAAGUUUAAAAAUAUCUUAAUACGAUAUUGAUUAGAUUACACAACAUGUAAUGUAGAAAAUAUCAUGAAUAUUUAUGAUCAAUAUUCAACUUUUGAAAAUGUAUCCAGUUUGAUGUUUAUCUAUUUGACAUUUUUUUGAUAGAAAAUGAGAAUACCGGAGAAGAUGAACCACAAAUUUACAUUGAAAUGAUCAAUGGAAUUAUCAAAUCCCUUCAGGUAUCAUCUCAUAUCACUUGCUUAUGAAAUUUAUUCAUCUAUACUUGAAAAGAUAUAUUUAUUUUUGUGUUGUUUCCAGGCUAUCCUUGAUGCAGUUCUCAGCACAACAAUUAUGAUUUUAUGAUGUUAGGCUAAACUAUAAAGCAAUCAUUCUUUGUUUUAGGAAACGUUUCAGAGCUUCUUUAGGCAGCUUAAUGAUGAGUUAUUGAAACAAAAUGGUGCCCCUUUAUAGCAAUGUAGUAUUAGGUUAUAUAGAUAGGAAAAACCUCUUAAUAACAACGUACAAUUAGAUCCCCUUAAUAUCAAUGUAUUACAAUUUUAUGACAUGAUGUUAUUGAAUGAAAUUGAUUGUGUAAUGGAUUGUAUUUUUUGUAUAUGGUAUUUUAUUUUCUAUUAUGAGACAUGAAAUGCAAAUUUAAUUUGAAAAUUAGUAAAUCUAUAAAUAAUUUUUAAAAAAAAUAAAAUAAAAAUUAUGAUACGCAAAAAUGUGUGUCAUCUUCAUUUAUGACAUGGCCUUUCUUGACAGUGGCUUUAAUGAUACGCAUUGCGUGUCAUAAAUACGUGUCGUCUAUAGACGACGCGCAAAAGCGCGUCGUCUCUCGUUAUGACAGGGCCUUCCUUGACGCGCAUGCGCGUCGUCUGACCGUUUUACGACUCGCAAUGAGCGUCGUAAAAGGCAUUUUUUCUAGUAGUGUUUGAGACAAGAAAUCAGAACCAAUGUACCUUCCGAGCUCGCUACUUGGCGCGUUAGACCGAGCUCGUUUGGAAUUUUCAUUCCUCAAAGUAUUAUAAAGCCUAAUUGUUUCGUUAUUUUAGUGAAAAGUGGAUCCGGGUGCCCCCAUAUUUUGCAUCACGUCAUGAAUGUUUGUUGAACCAUAUUUUGUUAAAUAAACUUCAAAUAAAUUUUGAAAAACUUUGUUAAAUUUUGAAACUUCCUUUGAUGCAUAAUCAAUGUCAUCAUCCAAUAAACCCAAAUCGUAACAAAUAUUUUCAAUUAAAGUCUCAACCCCCCCAACAUUUAGAGUUGGAUUCAAAGUGGCGGAACAAGUAAUAAUGGGAGCCAUUUCUUGAAAAUAUUUUUUUAACUUUGCUUUCAUCGGUUUCAUCAUAUUAGCAAACAUUGUGCUCCUCAUUUCAAACUCAUUUAUUUUCGCACACAUUAAAAAAAUUUGGUUUAAAACUAAACAACUUGUAGGAUAAUAAACCCCCGAUAAAAAAGUGGUUGUUUUUUUUUUAAAAAAACAUCAAGCAUGUCUGUAACAAGUUUGAUAGUAUCCCAACUUGAUUCCGGAUAAGCCGUAACCUUAUUACGGUCCGAAGGUUGUCAUGUAACAUUUUUAAAGUAUGUUUUUGACGUAAGGCACAUUCAAAAAUUUUGCAAGUGGAGUCCCAUCGGGUAUUAUUUUCCCAAUUCAGACCUAAAAAGAGGGCAUUCGCAUCGACACAAAAUUGCAUAUAAUUAUGAUAUCGAGCGUUACUAGAACUAAAAAUAUCUUUUAGCAUGUCUUUGAAACCAUCUUUUAUAGUUUCAAUGUGAGUUAGUCCAUCUUGCACAACCAAAUUAAUCAUAUGUGCAACACAUCGACUAUGAAAAAUAAACACCAUCACAAAUUGGUUUAUAUUUUAGUUUUAGUUGUCCAACCGCGACGGUGUUGUUUGAAGCAUUAUCAAAAGAUAUAGAAAAAAUCUUUCCUUCAAGUUUAUAAGUUUUGAUCACACAAUCUAAAAUUUUAAAUAAAUUUCUAUCGGUGUGCGGGUACUCAAACAAUUCAAACGUAAUCGUAUGCUUUAUCAUUACCCAAUUAGUUGGAUUAAUCCAAUGAGCGGUAACACAAAGGUACGCAUCCGGUGAACCGUCAGGAGCCGUCCAAACAUCACAAGUUAAAUUCACACCGGUUUCUAAAGAUUGAAAUCCUAAAAUCAAUUCAUUUUUUGCAAGUUUCCACAUUUCAAUACAAUCGCGUCUAAUAGAAGUACGACUCACAUGGCAAUAUCGUGGUUGGAGAGUAUCUUGGAUGAGUGAAGUCAAUCGUUUGUUGUCGAAGUGGUCAAAAGGCAAGCAUUCUUGAAUCACGAACUUCGUCAUCCUAUCCCGAACUUUAGCCAUAUCGUAACUCCACAAUGUUGCAUCAUUCGUCAUUCUUGUUUGAAUAUGUCCCGACCCAAAUUUCACCGUGGGGCAUCUUUUGGUCAUAUGAUUUUUCAAUGUCGAAUUCUCAUCUUCAUUAAAAAAAGCACCACAUUUCUUGCAUUGCGCUUUUUUAUACCGUUCGACAUUACACACAAAUCGUAGUUGCACAAAAUAGCCGGAUUUCUAUUUGUUUCUUUGAUGCUAACAACGGUAAGAGUGUUUGAUGAAUCUCGAACACCAACGGAAGCCGAAUCCAUUGUUUGAAUUAAGAGUGGUUUUUGAACUAAGAGAGGUUUGCGGUUUUUGAACUAAGAGAGGUUUUUUGAGGUUUGGUUAAGGUAAAGUUGAGACCUAAAAAUGUAAUACAUAUAUAUAUACUAUAAGGAAUAGUUAAUAUGGUAAAAAAGAAGCAAAAAUCGAGUCUUGAACAGCCUCAAACGACUAUAUAGCCGUUAGGAAAAGACAAAAAAACGGUAACAUUACAAAAACCGGUUCACCAACGGCACUUUCGAAAUCUGGUUCAAAACUGGUUCAUCACACCUGUUCAGAAUAAACCAGUUCCAAACCGGUCUCCAGGGUAAAACAUGCGAACUGGUAACAUCCGAUGGUUCGGUUCACUAUGGGUUCGGUUCUUAUGUGAACCGGUUCAAGGCUAAACCGGUUUCCGGUUCACCAACCGGUUCGGUUCCUAAACCAGUUUUUUUGCCCACGCCUACCACUAGCUAGUCUAGGUGGGCUUUUAGUACGGGGGUUUUCAUGAGGAAUAGGUUGAAAGGAGUGUUGGCAUCUCACUGCCGUCAUCUGUUACCAUUUCAUAAGGAGUGGUAGCAUUCCUAGCACAUUAGAUUUUUUUUUUUUGAUUUUUUUUUUUGAACUUAAAUAAAUUAUAUUUUUAUAAAACACAAACAAUUCAAUAUUAAUCAAGAAACUAACUACAUUUUAUAGAUAAAUUUACCUUAUUUAAACAAGGAUUAAUAGAAAGGUCAAAUAAAAUUUAAAUGGUUAACGACAUGCUUAAAAUUUUACAAAUAUAUUGAUUUUGUAACGACACAAUUUUCUACUCUAUCAAGGUAAAGAAACAUUUAUGUUAAUAAUAAAGUGACACUUUAAUAUAUAUCUUCAAAUAAUUAUUAAAAAUAAAUAAUACUAUAAAAAAUUACCAAUACUAUCUAGAAACAAAAACCACUCACAGCACGGAAUUUACAAAACAACCAUCCAACUUCCUUAUUUUUUUGAAAGAGCUUUUACGAUCUCCAUUUCCAUUUCCUUUUUUUCUUAAAAUUACAUCUUACAUCUUCCAAUUUGCUAUUAUCAUUUCUUAAGUUUGUGAAAGUAGACUAUUCCACAAAACUACUCCUCCAAUUGUGUGAAACACGAAGCAAAAGCGAGACCUUUGAGCUUUUUCUUAAAAAAUAAUCCUUGUUUGAGAUGGAGACCACACCAUUGAUGGGAGAAAUGAAGGUUCUAGAGAACGAUUGUAAGAGGAAGAUUAUUGUAUCCACAGGCCAAUAUCCAACAAAUCUCUUUCUCUUUCUUCUCGCUAUGGUGUUGACGAGCCAUGGCUGGCGACUUCCUUGGCGCAAGCCAGGGGGCGGCCUUCAGCGCCCUUGGCGACCGGUGGCGACCUCCAUAGCGAGGCCCACUCCCUAAAGCCUUAUAACACACCAUUUAUUGACCAAGUUUACCCAACAAUGCAUCCCAAUUCAUUAGAUUUGUCUUAUCAUUAUACUUUUUAUACAAUUUCAUCAUUUUUCUAUAAUAUAUUAAAACUCUAUGAAAAUUCAAAAGAAUAUACUUUUGAAUUUUCAUAGAAUUUUAUUAUAUUAUAGAAAUAUGGUGAGAAUCCUAGAUGCUUUUAUCUCUCUUUCAGACUUAAAAGCCAGUAUGCGUUCAAUAAGUACGUGGCCAACUCCGGACCUAGCUUUUGCGAACGUGGGACGUUCACUUCGGAUAGCCUCGAAAUGAGUACCUCUUACUUUAAAAAUUUAUAACUUUGGCAUACGAGCUCCGUUUUCGACAUUCACUUUCAUUUAGACUCUGUUUGCUAAUUUUGAUUUUUAUUUUUAAAUUUAUAUUUUUUAACAGGCCGGGACUGGAAAAGCCCGUUAAAAAUUCAUAACUUCUUCAUCCGACGUUCGUUUUCGUAUGACUUUUUACCAUUAAACUACUAUCGACGAGAUUUUUGAUUCUCAUUUACAUUGUGUUGGAUAAAAAUCGCUCGAUCUAUACUUCGAACUACGGGCUGCACAAUGUUAUGCCAAAUCUUAGAAAAUUCAUAACUUCCUCAUACGAAGCUAGAUUUGGAUUUCUUUUUUAUGCACGCUCUUGGUUUAACGUAUACUACGAUUUUCAUUUAGAUUGCUAAGGCUAAAAAACACUUUAUCGUAAACUCACUUUUCACGUCACACAAUGUCAUGUCAGUUUUGUCGCGAAACUUCGAUAUGUCAUAAAUUCUUCGUGAUCAGGGCCGAUCUUGAAAAAUGAAAUAUUCUUGGAGCCCCAGGACGAGCAAGAAAAAAAUGGCCCUUAUCUUUAUUAUAAUUUUGUAAUUUUAAAUAAAAAUAUAUAAUGAAAAAAAUUAGGCCAUGUGCAGCUGCCCACUUUGCCUCCUUCUAAGCCCCCAUUGUUCAUGAUAACUCGGAUUUCAGCGUUCUUUAUAUUUCUGGAGUCCUUGUCACGACCACUACAACUUUCUUCAUAGAUAUCGGGUUUAUAUAACAUUUUAUUUUUGACGCUUAUUUUUAUUCUUAAUUAAUUAUAUCAUUAUAAACAAGUAUAUAAUCACAUAAAAUCACGUAAUUCACAUAAUACUCAAGUAAUUCAUCUUUAUUACAUUAAAAUAGGUUACAAUGGUUGACCUUGACUAUUACAUCAUCAUACUAAUGUGAAACAACCUAAAAUACGACCCAAUUUUUUUUUUGUUAAAAUAAUACUAAAGAUAUCAACCAUCAUAAUAUAUCAUGAAAUCGUACGUCAUAAAUCCCCAAAAAGUUAUAAUAGAUAUGUCAUGACAAAAGAGUUGUAUCAACAUACCAUAGUAUCUAAAAUAAACUCCCAGGACAAAAGUUGAAACUGUGGUGUGUGCAAUGUCAUCAUCCUGAGCUCUUUCCUUUGCUUGCGGAAAUACCUGAAACCAAAACUGAAACUGUAAGCACAAAGCUUAAUGAGCUCCCCCAAACUACCACAUACCAUACAAUAGCAUAUACAACACAUACUAGGCCUUGCCCACUGCAUCGGACCGAAGUCCGGAAAUUGCAUCGGACCGAAGUCCAGAACUAACCAAGGCCUUGCCCUCUGCAUCGGACCGAAGUCCGGAACUACAUCAGACCGAAGUCCGGAAACUAACCAGGGCCUUGCCCUCUGCAUCGGACCGAAGUCCGGAACUAACUGCAUCGGACUGAAGUCCGGAACUGACUGCAUCGGACCGAAGUCCGAAAUUGUCUGAACAUAACAUAUCAUAAACAUCUCAACCAGUAUGAACACAUAAACUGCAUAUCGCAUCAGACCGAAGUACGAAACACAUAACACAAAUACAUGCUUGAAUCACAAAGACAUCAAGCAUUCUAAGUACUGCAACGGACGGAGGUCCGAAACUUCUGCUAACUAAACCGACCGGCAUUGUAGCCGUAGACCCGUUCCUACUGGAAGGAAAACUCACCUCGUAAUGCUGGCUGCUGAGAUGCUAACUCUAAAAGUGACUGACCGCUGCUUCGGAACUGUCCGACUACAAAUCCCAGAAACACUAGAUUAGUUACUUGCAUAUACCCUCAGGGUAAGAUGACUAUUUUGCCCCUGGUCAAAGUCAACUUCUAGUUGACCGGACUCGCCGACUAUGGGCGCAGAACCGCCGAGUCCCUCCUUUACUAACUCUGACUUUAACUCACCGAGUCCCUUUCCCACUCACUGACUCUCUCUGAACUCGUAGGUCGAAGAAAAAAGGGGACUCACGACUCGACUCGUCGAGUCUGAAGAACAACUCGCCGAGUCCUGCCGUGCAUAUUCCAAACAAACGAAUUCAAAACUAUUCCAGAGCAUCUGACUUGAAGAUCUGAGCCCUUGGAACUAUCUAAACACGUGAAGUUUCUAACUUUACGUGCAACUAAGAAGGAAUGAAGCUAUUUCACUCAAACACUACUUUUCUUGGGAAAACUCAUCCGACUCGCCGAGUUGUAUGAACAACUCGUCGAGUCUAAGGUGAUCUUCAUCGGACUCGCAGAGUUGCUCAUCAAACUCGUCGAGUCUACGACUAUCUUCAUAUGACUCGCCAAGUCACACAUGCGACUCGCCAAGUCCAUUCAGUCCCUUUUUCCAUACAGACCUGAUUUGGGCCAUGCAGUGGCUCCAAAUCACAGAUCCAAGAUUCUAGGGCAUGCUUAUCACGUAAAUUUGCAAACUUUACGUGCAUGCAUGGCUUUAAAGGCUUCAAAUGCCAACCCUAAGCUCUUAAUGGGGUUCCAAGCUCAAGAGGGACCUCAAUCACGACCAUAACCGAAACUUUACUCUUCUAGAAUGCAAUGAGAGUCUAGAUCUGAUGUUUCCAUAAAAGGGGAAGUCCAUCUCUCAAGUUUGAACCAUAAGAGGCUCCAAAGAGGGCAUAACAAGCAUAUAUGAGGUUAUAAUGGGGGAAUGCACAAGGUCAUAACUUCAUUACCUGAAUGAAAAACAGAUGUAAGCUAACUCCUAGAUUUUCCUUCCCUUCUAUGGACCUUCCUUCCUUCCCAAAGCUUCCAAGCUAUCACAAAUACCCUCAAACUCAACAAUGGGGCUAGGGUUUACAAGGGAAAUGUUAUGAGAGUGAUAGAGGCGAGGUUGGGGGCGCAUAAGUGUGUUUAAAUAGGGUGAAAACCCUUAAAAUUAGGGCUUCAUCCAGACAGGCGGACUCGCCGAGUCCAACGUAUGGACUAGUCGAGUAGCCAUCUCAAAACGCGUGAUCGUCCCGUCUCUACUUGACGAGUCAGGCUACAGACUCGUCGAGUACCCCUUCAGAAAUGAAAAUACUUUAUUUGAAUUACAUACCAGAAAUGGGGCGUUACAACUCUCCCCCACUUAUCUUAGACUUUGUCCUCGUAGUCUGCUGCUGCUGCUGAAAAUAACUCUGGGUAAUGCUCCCUCAUCUCCUACUCGGACUCCCACGUCCACUCUGAACCCUUUCGGUGCUGCCACAACACCUUCACUAGCUGAACCACCUUGUUCCUCAAGGUCUUCGUCUUCCAAUCUAUGAUCGCAACUGGUCUCUCGAUAUAAUUCAGGCUGCUAUCAACCUGAAUAUCCUCCAAGGGUACAACUGCUGACUUGUCCACCAAACACUUUCGCAACUGGGAAACAUAGAAAGUGUUGUGGAUCUGGCUAAGCUCUACCGGAAGAUCCAACCGAUAAGCAACCCGACCCACCCGGACCAAAACCCUAAAAGGGCCAAUGAACCUGGGACCCAGCUUGCCUCUCUUCCGAAACUUGAUAACACCCUUCCAAGGUGAUACCUUCAGGAGGACCAUAUCGCCCACCUGAAACUCCAAGUCCGAACGCCUCUUGUCGGUGUAACUCUUCUGCCUACUCUGUGCAGUCUGCAGUCUACUACGAACCUGCUGGAUCAACUCUGUGGUCUUGAGCACCAUUUCAGUGCUCCCAAUGACUCACUGACCAACCUCGCCCCAACAAAUCGGAGUCCUGCACUUCCUUCCGUAUAGCAUCUCGAAAGGAGGACGUUUAAUACUAGUGUGGUAACUAUUGUUAUACGGAAAUUCCGCUAGUGGGAGAUACGUAUCCCAACUACCACCGAAGUCUAGAACACAUGCCCGGAGUAUGUCCUCGAGAGUCUGAAUUGUCCUCUCACUCUGCCCGUCCGUCUGGGGGUGGAAGGCGGUGCUAAAAUGAAGACGAGUCCCCAUCUCGUCAUGAAACUGCUUCCAAAAUCUGGAAGUAAAACGGACGUCUCGGUCUGACACUACCGAAACAGGCACUCCGUGCUGUGCUACUACCUCGCGUACAUAGAUGUGGGCUAGCUUCUUAGCCGAUAUGCUCUCCUAGAUCGGUAUAAAAUGUGCGCUCUUGGUCAGCCGAUCCAUUAUGACCCAAAUCGAAUCCACUCCCCGUGCGGUCCUGGGAAGCUUGGUGACAAAAUCCAUGGUAAUGUCCUCCCAUUUCCAUAUGGGAAUAUCUAACGGCAGCAUCUUGCCGUGGGGUCUCUGGUGCUCUGCCUUGACCUUCCUGCAGGUCAGGCAUCUCCCCACAUUCCAGGCGACAUCCUGCUUCAUGCAGGGCCACCAAUAGUCGGGUCGAAGAUCUCUGUAGAUCUUCGUUGCCCCUGGGUGGAUGGAAAAUCAAGAAUUAUGAGCCUCGUCCAUCAAUACCUGCCAUACUCCGCCCCAGUACAGUACCCAAACCCUCCCAUGGAGGGUCAACAAUCGUUAACUGUCAUAAUCAAAGGAAGCUACUCGGUCCACGAUUCUCUCACACUUCUGCCUCUCCUCCUUGAGGCCCUCGACGUGUGCCUCCCUGAUCUGCUCCAACAAGGGAGUAAUCACUGUCAUCCUCAAGCAUACAUCCCUGAUCGGGGCCGCUGCCGUCUUGUGGCUCAGGGCGUCGGCCACUACGUUGGCCUUCCCCGGGUGAUAAAGGAUCUCACAGUCGUAAUCCUUCACCACAUCUAACCACCGACGCUGCCGCAUGUUAAGAUUCGGCUGGUCCAUGAGGUACUUCAGACUCUUGUGAUCCGUGUAGAUGGUGCAACGGACCCCAUAGAGGUAGUGUCUCCAAAUCUUGAGGGCGAACACCACUGCCCCCAACUCCAAAUCAUGCAUCGGAUAGUUAGCCUCGUGAGACUUCAACUGUCUGGAGGCAUAAGCUAUCACAUGCCCCCGUUGCAUCAACACUGCCCCCAUAUCUGCGAUCGAGGCAUCACAGUAGACUACAAAAUCAUCCACUCUCUCCGGCAAGGUCAGAAUCGGUGCCUCGCACAAUCGCUGUCUGAGAGUCUCGAAAGUCGCCUGCUGCUCAGGCCCCUAACGAAACACCACCGACUUCUUGGUUAGUCGGGUGAGUGGAACUGCUAUCUUGGAGAAAUACUGAAUGAAUCUCCUGUAGUACCCUGCCAAACCUAGGAAGCUCUGAAUCUAUGAUGGAGACUUUGGGACCUCCCACUGCAUCAUGGCCUCUAUCUUGGCCGGAUCUACCAGUAUACCCUUCUGGUUGAUGAGGUGCCUAAGGAAUUGCACCUCGCGCAACUAGAACUCGCACUUGGAGAACUUUGCUAAAAGUUUCUCCCUCCUCAAGACCUCUAGCACCUCCCUUAGGUGCUCCUCGUGCUGCUCCUGAGUCUUGGAAUAAACCAAGAUGUCAUCGAUGAAUACAAUCACAGACCGGUCCAACAUCGGCAUGCACACGCGGUUCAUGAGUUCCAUGAACGCGGAUGGAGCGUUGGUGAGCCCAAACGACAUCACCACAAACUCAUAAUGACCAUAACGGGUCCUAAAAGUUGUCUUCUGAACAUCCUCACCCCUGACCCGCAUCUGAUGAUAACCGGAGCGCAAAUCAAUCUUGGAAAACCAAGACGCUCCUUGAAGCUAAUCGAACAAGGCAUCUAUCCUCGGAAGUGGGUAACGGUUAUUCACCGUUACCUUGUUCAACUCCCAGUAGUCUAUGCACAUACGGUGCGACCCAUCCUUCUUCUUCACAAACAAGAUUGGGGCUCCCCAUGGAGAACUAAUUAGUCUAAUGAAACCCUUGUCUAGCAGCUCCUGCAGCUGCGUAUACAACUCCUGCAUUUCUGGAGGAGCCAACCGAUACGGCGCCUUGGCUAUCGGAGCCGCACCAGGAACCAAGUCAAUCUUGAACUCAACCUGUCUCUCUGAAGGUAUCCCAGGUAAUUCCUCUGGGAAUGAGUCCGGGUACUCUCGCACCACUGCUACAUCAUCUACUGUCAUCGUACUCUUAUCCCGGGUAUCCAUCACAUAUGUGACAUAACCUGCUUAACCCUGUUGGAAGUAGCGCCUCACUCUCACUGCUGAACAAAGAAUCGGUCCGCGUUGUGGGCUCUCGCCCUGAAUCACUAACUCUCCCCCGUUGGGAGUGCGAACCCUCACUAGCUGCAAUUCGCAAUCAAUCAUCGCCCCAUUGGGGCUCAACCAAUCCAUGCUUACUAUGGCCUUGUUCCCUCGCAAAGGAAUAGGGACCAUGUCCACCGAAAACUGCUCAUCGAAUAACUGCAGUGAGCAUGCCUUAUGCACCCUCGUGACCCUGACGGUCCUAUCAUCGGCUAUCUCCACCUCGAGUGGACAAUCCAGCUCCCUAGGAUCUCUGCUAAACCUCUUGCUAAGUGCAAGAGAGACAAACGAUCGGGUAGCCCCUGAAUCAAAUGACACUGUAGCUGAAAUGUCGUUCACUAAGAACGACCCUAUACAUAAACAUAUAACAUUAGAAACAAUCAAUAAUCAAUGCAUAGAUAAAAGGAAAAUACAUACCCGUCACCACGUCAGGAGUCGCUCGCGCCUCCUCUGCUGUUAUCUGAAAAGCUCUACUCUUCGCCACUGGCACCUCGGCCCGCCCCUGACGACCGUUCGUAAUCCUCAAUGUAGCAGGGGCAGGUGCCGACACCUUCCCUGCUGCUGCUAAGCUUGGGCACUGGGACUUUUUAUGUCCCCUCUGAUUGCAAUGGAAGCAAAUCAGAUCUGAUGCUGCGGUAGCUGUGGUAGAAACUGUACAAUCUCUGCUCAUAUGCCUAGUCCAACCGUACUUGUAGCAGCCGGAACUCCCUGCCUUGCACGCCCCAUCGUGUAAUCUCCCACACUUGCCACACCGACUGUGGCUCUGCUGACCUCUGGACCUAUGAUCCGAAACCUUGGGCUUCUUGCCCAAACUCCCUGUACCCGAAGCCGCCUCCGCCUUCCUCUUAUUCUCCAUCUCAAGAUCAAUCUCUCUCUCUCUCUCUCUCUCUCUCGCCCUUGCAAUCAUAUCAUCCAGCAUCUUACAGCUGGAUCGGCUCACAAACUGGCGGAUAUCACUCCGCAGCGUCUCAUGAUAACGGGCCUUCUUCAUUUCCUCGUCAGCUGCGUACUGAGGAACAAGAAGAGCCCUCUCCCUGAACUUGGCGGUAAUCUCCGCCACUGUCUCUAUAGUCUGAGUAAGGUCUUGAAACUCUCUAGCUAACUGUUGCACCUCAAUAGUCGGUGCGAACUCGGCUCUGAACCUGGUGGUAAAAUCAGCCUAAGUCAUAGUAUCAAGUGCUAUGUCAUCCCUGAUACCAUGCCCAACCUCCUCCCACCAGUCACAUGCCCUAUCCUUCAGGAGACAGGAUGCUAAUCUGACCUUGUCCCCUUCGGGACAUCUGCUAGUGCGGAACACGUUGGCAACAUCUGCCAACCACCUAGUGCUCGCAAUGAGGUCCCGCACCCCAUGAUAGCCUGGAGCUCCACAAGCCCGAAACUCCCUGAAGGUGAGUGUGCGCGACCCCAUCAUGGCCGCCAUCUCAGCACGAAAUGUGCUCAACUUCUCAUCCAUCAACUCCAAGAUACCCUCCUUGAUCGAACCGAAGAUCACAGGACUCUGCUCAAGUAUGAUACGGGUAACCUCUGAAGUGAAAAACUCCCUAGUUUGCUCAUCCAACUGCUCGGCCCCCCAGCCUGAUCCUGAUCCUUCCUCGGCACCUGAGCUGCCGACUGCUGGCCUAGGGCGUAAAACCACCAUUCUGAAAACACAUCAUGAUAAACGUCAAAAACACUGAUAUAUCUCUAGGGAUCGCUACUACUAUAGGUUUCCUGGUCUCGCCUCUGCCUUCCUUGAUUCAAGUACAAAUCCUCAACAAAAACCAGUCCUCAACUGCUGAAGGCCUCCUUGUAAUGCCAAUUAGUCAUCACCUGAAUAUCAUCACAUGUGACGAGACUCAGAUAAUCCUUCGAGUAAAAGACUCAUUCCUACAACGGAUGGACUCAAACAAGAGCUGCGCAGUAGAGCCAAAUCCAGCACUCUGAGAUUAUUCAACCCUGAUCUCAGGCGAUGUGUCGUAUUCACCUAAUGGUUAACUCUCAUUACCCGGAGUCUCAUAAAGCACAAAGCAAGCAGCAUUCGGACACAGGAAACUAAUCAAGCCACUCUAUUCUCAUAACAAGAAAUUGUACUAGCAUACAAUGUUAAGCUCGUACUGUCAGGCAUAACCUAAACAGGCUAUCCUACUGCUGUCUACUCAAUACUAGCAUGCAGUUCUCAUAAAGCUGAAGCACAUAUAGCAUGCACAUAAGGCAUCCUGCUAGAUCCUUAGUCCUAUUCUAGCAUGCUGUUCUACUGAAACUAAAACUGAUAAUCAUAACAUAAACUUGUAUGGGUAAUUUAGGGGUACUUACUUGAGCUCGACUGAUCGCAUGCACCACACCCUUUUCUCGUUUUCAAAACUCUUUUCUUUUUAAGUCUCUUUCUCAAAAGUUCUUUUGAACACAUUUUUCUUUCGAAAAUCUUUUUUCUAUUUCCUCAGUUUGAGUUCAGUUACACCCGUAAGUGUGUCUGAAUCCCUCAAACCAAGGCUCAGAUACCAACUUGAAAUAACCCAAAAUACAACCCAAUUUUUUUUUGUUAAAAAAAUACUAAAGAUAUCAACCAUCAUAAUAUAUCAUGAAAUCGUACGUCAUAAAUCCCCAAAAAGUUAUAAUAGAUGUGUCAUGACAAAAGAGUUGUAUCAACAUAACAUAGUAUCUAAAAUAAACUCCCAUGACAAAAGCUGAAACUGUGGUGUGUGCAAUGCCGUCAUCCCGAGCUCUUCCCUUUGCUUGCGGAAGUACCUGAAACCAAAACUGAAACUGUAAGCACAAAGCUUAGUGAGCUCCCCCAAACUACCACAUACCAUACAAUCAUAUAAAACACAUAUUGGGCCUUGCCCACUGCAUCGGACCGAAGUCUAGAAAAUGCAUCGGACCGAAGUCCGGAACUAACCAGGGCCUUGCCCUCUGCAUCGGACCAAAGUCCAGAACUGCAUCGGACCGAAGUCUGGAAACUAACCAGGGCCUCGCCCUCUGCAUCGGACCGAAGUUCGGAACUAACUGCAUCCAACCGAAGUCCGGAAUUGUCUGAACAUAACAUAUCAUAAACAUCUCAACUAGCAUGAACACAUAAACUGCAUACCGCAUCGGACCGAAGUCCGAAACACAUAACACAAAUACAUGCUUGAAUCACAAAGACAUCAAGCAUUCUAACUACUGCAACGGACAGAGGUCCGGAACUUCUGCUAACUAAACGGGCCGGCAUUGUGGCCGUAGACCCGUUCCUACUGGAAGGAAAACUCACCUCGUAAUGUUGGCUGCUGAGAUGCAAACUCUAAAAGUGGCUGACCGCUGCUCCGGAACUGUCCGACUACAAAUCCCAGAAACACUAGAUUAGUUACUUGCAUAUACCCUCAGGGUAAGAUGACUAUUUUGCCCCCGGUCAAAGUCAACUUCUAGUUGACCGGACUCACCGAGUCAGGGCGCAGACUCGCCGAGUCCCUCCUUUACUAACUCUGACUUUAAUUCACAGAGUCCCUUUCCCACUCACUGACUCUCUCUGAACUCGUAGGUCGAAGAAAAAAGGGGACUCACGACUCGACUCGUCGAGUCUGAAGAACAACUCGCCGAGUCCUGCCGUGCAUAUUCCAAACAAACGAAUUCAAAACUAUUCCAGAGCAUCUGACUUGAAGAUCUGAGCCCUUGGAACUAUCUAAACACGUGAAGUUUCUAACUUUACGUGCAACUAAGAAGGAAUGAAGCUAUUUCACUCAAACACUACUUUUCUUGGGAAAACUCAUCCGACUCGCCGAGUUGUAUGAACAACUCGUCGAGUCUAAGGCGAUCUUCAUCAGACUCGCCGAGUUGCUCAUCCAACUCGUCAAGUCUACGGCUAUCUUCAUAUGACUCUCUGAGUCACGCAUGCGACUCGCCGAGUCCAUUUAGUCCCUUUUUCCAUACAGACCUGAUUUGGGCCAUGCAUUGGCUCCAAAUCACAGAUCUAAGCUUCUAGGGCAUUCUUAUCACGUAAAUUUGCAAACUUUACGUGCAUGCAUGGCUUUAAAGGCUUCAAAUGCUAACCCUAAGCUCUUAAUGGGGCUCCAAGCUCAAGAGAGACCUCAAUCAUGACCAUAACAGAAACUUUACUCUUCUAGAAUGCAAUAAGAGUCCAGAUCUAAUGUUUCCAUAAAAAGGGGAAGUCCAUCUCUCAAGUUUGAACCAUAAGAGGCUCCAAAGAGGGCAUAACAAGCAUAAAGGAGGUUAUAAUGGGGGAAUGCACAAGUUCAUAACUUCAUUACCUGAAUGAAAAAUAGAUGUAAGCUAACUCCUGGAUCUUCCUUCCCUUUUAUGGACCUUCCUUCCUUCCCAAUGCUUCCAUGCUAUCACAAAUACCCUCAAACUCAACAAUGGGGCUAGGGUUUACAGGGGAAAUGUUCUGAGAGUGAUAGAGGCGAGGUUGGGGGCGCAUAAGUGUGUUUAAAUAGGGUGCAAACCCUUAAAAUUAGGGCUUCAUCCAGACAGGCGGACUUGCCGAGUCCAGCGUAUGGACUCGUCGAGUAGCCAGCUCAAAACGUGUGAUUGUCUCGUCUCUACUCGACGAUUCGGGCUACAGACUCAUCGAGUACCCCUUAAUAAAUGAAAAUACUUUAUUUGAAUUACAUACCAAAAAUGGGGCAUUACAUAAUGCUUAGCCCAGAAACACGGACGUUACACUUCUCUCCUCCUUAGGAUGAUGCCAUCCCCAGAAUCAUACAUCAACAAACUAAUGCGGAUAGCGACUCAUCAUGUCACUCUCCAUUUCCUAGGUGAGAUUUGACUCAUUCGUAUGUUUCCGUCGCACAAGUAGUAAGUCAACCAUCUUGUGACGCAACUUCUUCGUCUUAUGGUCAACAAUCGCCUCCGGUUCUUCAACUAGCCUCUUAUUUUCAUCCAUCCUUAGCUCAUAAAUUAGAAUUAUGUCAGGAACUUCUCCCAUGAAUUUCCUCAAAUAACUCACAUGGAAAGUGUUAUGAAUAAUGUCUAGUUCUUCUGGUAGUUCUAGCUUGUAGGCUUGGUUCCCAAUCCUCUGAAGAACUUUGAACGGUCCAAUGAAUCUUGGACUUAACUUCCCUUUUUCCCGAAUCUUAUAAGUUCCUUGUAGCACCUGGUUCCUGGUAUGUAAUUUAUUUAAAUAUUUUGCAUUUUUGGCCUUGGACUCGGCAAGUUGAAGGACCAACUUGCCGAGUAGAAGCGGGAUGGGACGUGGGAUUUAAGUGAUGGACACGUCGAGUCGGGUCCCGGACUCGACGAGUAGGCUCUGACUGAAAAACCCUAAUCCGAGGGUUUGCACCCUAUUUAAUCAUCUCAUUUUCCCCUAAUGCUCCCAGAAACCCUCCCUAGUAAACCCUAAGUGUUUUGGUGCAAGAUCUAAGGCUUUUGAGUGAUUUUUGUGGGUUUUGACCUCAAGGAAUAAGGAAGAGCAUAGAAGGAUCAAGAGGAGACUGAAGGAUUAGAGUUUGGUGCAUCAUUUUCAGUCCUUGAAAGGUAUAAAUUAUGUACCUUGCUUGUUCAUUUGUUAGAUCCUUUUUUGGGGAAGAUUUAGGGCUUCUUAAGUCAUAUGAGGUGGCCAAACAUGGUUGGGGGUCAAGACUUCGGAUCUAAGUCUUGGAAGGAGUCCCAAAGCAGAUUUGGGUUGCUUUUGCACCCAAGGAAGGUCCCAUGCAACAUAAGAGCCAUUUUAGAGCCUUUUUGGGUCAAAAGUCCCAUGCAUGCACGUAAAGUUCGAAACUUUACGUUCUAGAUCGAGCUUAGGGCUUGGAUCUAUCUUUUUGUCAAAGGUUGUACAUCAGAAAUCGAGGAUUUAGGGUGUGGAUGUUAUCGAAUCGGCGAGUCAGUUCUUGGGACACGACGAGUCCAAAGCAUAGGGUCUGUUAUCUGUUGAGGGUCAAAAGAACCCAGUUGGGUGUUAGAAGGGUUGUAGAAGGUCCGAGAGAGUGACCCAACGUGUUGGACUUAGCCUUAGACUUGGAAUUCAUGGGACUCGUCGAGUGCUAGAACAGACUCGGCGAGUCCAAGGCAAUCUCCUUAUCGAUGAAGAUGAACUCGACGAGUUGUUCAUACAACUCGGCGAGUCGGGGUCAGGACUUGUUCAUCAGAUGAAGGUGAACUCGACAAGUGUUCAUCCGACUCGGCGAGUCGGAUGAAGGUUCAUUGAUGUUCGUAAAGAAAGGGAACUCGUCGACUUGUUGCCAAACUCGACGAGACGAGUCGUGGAUAAGGACGAGUAAAGGAAAGGGACUCGACGAGUUNAACUCGGGGAGUCGGGUCAACUGGAAGUUGACUUUGACUUGGACUUGGUUGGGGGUAAAAUAGUCAUUUUACCCCAAGAGUAGAUAUUAGUUUUCUGACUGAGUAUUUUGUGGGGAUUAUAGCCGGAGGAUUUCCGAAGCAACAGCAGGCAGAGGUUUCCUGCACAUAUUAUCAGCAGCUACUUGUUCGAGGUGGGUUGCCUACCAGUAGCGGUGGGUCUACGACCACAAUGUCGGCCCACCAAUAGGAGUUGUAUAAUUAUAUGAUUGUCUUUGUGAUAUCAUCUAGGUUGCUUCUACCUGAUAUGUUAUAUGCUGGCAUGAUAUGUUAUAUGUGAUAGUAGUAGAGUUCGGUUGUUAGGACCGAAGGGUAGGUCAAACACCCCAGAUAUGUAUGACAGUAUGUGAUGAUAUGUUUAUAUGCCGACAUGACAUGUUAUAUGGGAUAGUGGUAGUAGGAGGGGAACAGUCCCCAAGUUCGGUUGUUAGAACCGAAGGGUAGUUCAGACACCCCAGAUAUGUCUGAUAGUAUGUUUAUGUUAUGAUAUAUGUGAUAGUAGUGGUACGUGUGGAAUAGUCCCCGAGGGUCGGUCUUUAGGACUGACGGGUAGGUCAGCACCCCAAAAAGACUUGACAGGGGUAGGACGACACCCCAGAAUGGCCGCACGGGUAGGUCGGCACCCCAGAAUGGCCGUACCGGGUAGGCCGGGCACCCUAGAAUUGCCUGGCAGUAUGUAUGCUAUGUGAUUGUAUGGUAUGUGGUACGAUGGGGGAACUUACUAAGCUUCCUGCUUACAGUUUACAGUUUUGGUUUCAGGUACCUCUUCAACAAAGGGGAAGGAGCUGGCGCGGUAGCGGCACAUCAUACACACAUGUUGGUUUCCGCACUAGUGUUUCUUGGGUCGUUACAAGUUGGUAUCAAAGCCCUGAUCUGAGGGAUUCGGACACACCUUGGGGGUGUCUGGACUCAAAUCGAGGGAUUAAAAGACUUUUACAAGAAAAAUGGUUUCUUAAAAGCUAAGAUAAAAGAGUUUUGGGAAAGAACAAAGUGUGUGAUGUGCGCGACCGGCCGAGCUCAAGUAAGUAUUCCCCAAAGUACCCAUACAAGUUUAUGUUAUGUUUAUCAGUUUCAGUAGAAUAGCAUGCUAGAAUAGGACUGAAGAUCUAGGAAUGAUGGCUUAUGUGUCUGCUUUAUGUGCUCCAGCUUAUGAGAAUUGCAUGCUAGUAUUAAGUAGAAAAUAAUAGGAUAGUCUGUUUAGGUUAUGCCUGGUAUUAUGAGCUCAGCAUUGUAUGAUGGUACAACUUCUCGUUAGGAGAAUAGAGUUGUUUGAGUAGUUUCCUGUGUCCGAAUGAUGCUUGCUCAGUGCUUGUAGGACUCUGAAUGAUGGCCGUUAGCCAUUAGGUGAGUACGUCGCGUCGCAUGUCAUUAGGAUUGAAUAAUCUCAGAGUGCUGGAUUUGGCCCUAUUGCGCGGCUCUCGUUUGAGUCUAACCGUUGUAGGGACGAGUCUUUUACUUGAAGGAUUAUCUGAGCCUUGUUACAUGUGAUGGUAUUUAGGUGAUGGCUAAUUGAUAUCACAAGGAGGCCUUCAACAGCCGAGGACCGGUUUGGGUAGAGUCAGAGAUUUUCCCUAGGGUAAGCCUACGAUGAGAGUAGCAGAGAUCAGCAGUGGAAAAAGGGACUUGGUGGAGUCGAGGCCGUCCUUGAGGAAAGUACGGAUAGAUAUGGAAGGUAGUAUGGGCCCGUACUACAGAAAGCAGAGGAUCCGUACUCGAAUUAAGGAAGGCUAAGGCAAGACCAAGGAACUUGUGAUGGGUGUGAUCCCUAUAGAUGUACUAGUAUCACUGACGGAUGUCAUGAUGUAUUGCGGAAUGGUGGUACUAAGGCCAAGGCCAGCAGUGGGUAGCUCAGGAGAGGGAUCGGGUUCGGGUUCAGGCUCCGAACCAGUGGACGAGAGGCUACGCGAGUUCAUCGCGUCUAAGAUCACUAUAGGCAUCCUUGAUGCGACCCCGAUCAUCUUUGGGUCGAUCAAGGAAGGGAUUGUUGAGCUGAUGGAGGAUCGCCUUAGGGCGCUCAGGAGUGACAUGGCGACCAGCCAGUCAGGAUCCCGCAUACUAUCCUUUAAGGACUUCAGGGGCAGUGGCGCGCCGGACUUCCACGGGGAAAAGGACCCCAUUUCUGCUAGACGAUGGAUUGCGGACAUGGAGUCUGCACAGCUGACAAGCUUCUGCCCCGAGGGGCCGAAGGUGAGAUAUGCAGCAGGGUGUUUGAGAGACAGAGCUAGAGAUUAGUGGGAGUCUGUUGUUGACUCCUUGGGAGCCUCGGCUGUUGAGGCUAUGACCUGGUUAGACUUUGUGACCAGAUUCAGGGCGGAGUUUGCGCCAGCUGUAGAGCUUCAGCAGCUGGCCAGAGAGUUUUUGGAUAUGAGACAGACUACGGAGACUGUGGCGGAGAUCACCGCCAACUUCUGGGAGAGGGCAUUGCUUGUGCCCCAGUAUGCGGGAGAUGAGGACAUGAGGAUGACCCGCUAUCAUGACAUGCAGCGAGCCGAAAUUCGGGAGCAUGUUAGUUUUUCAGCUUGCCCUACCCUAGAUUCCAUGAUUUCCAGAUCAAGGGAGAGGGAGAUCGAUCUAGAACAUGUCCAGAAGAGGAAGGUAGAGGAGGGGCAGACGAUUGGGGCUUCGGAGAAGAAGCCUAAGGGAUCAGAUGGUAGGCCGAAAGGCCAGUCAGGACCAGGCCACUGCAGGAAAUGCGGCAGGCCACAUGAGGGGGCGUGUAGAUUGGGAUUGUCGGGCUGCUACAAGUUCGACAAGACGGGGCAAUUCAGCAGAGAUUGUACCGCCCCUACACCAGUUAUUCAGACGUCUGAGUUGCUGUGUUUUCAAUGCAACCAGAGGGGCCACAAGAAAGACAACUGCCCCCAGUUAACAGCAGCAACAGUGCCAGUGAAGGCGCCAGGUCUAGCGACCCUGCGAAUUACUGAUGACUGGAAGGCCAAGGCUGAGGCUCCAGUGGUGAGGAGUCGGGCCUUCCAGUUGACUACCGAGGAGGCACGCGCUGCACCCGAUGUGGUAACAGGUAUGACUUCUUGUUUAUGCUUUUAUGAUAUGCUGCUGUGAUUUUGAUAUGUUAUGUAUGUGCUCUGUUUAGGAUCGUUCCAUGUGAACGGUAUCCCAGUUCAAGUAUUGUUUGAUUCGGGUGCUACCCGAUCAUUUGUCUCUCUUGCGCUUAGCAAGAAGUUUCCUGAGUCUUCGGGCAUGUUGGAUUGCCCUUUAGAGGUUGAGAUUGUAGACGACAGGUCGGUACGAGCAUUAGAGGUCUUCCGAGAUUGUGUUUUGAGGUUGUUCGAGGAGCGUUACAUGGUAGACUUGAUUCCCAUACCCUUGCGGGGGAACAAGGUUAUUAUCGACAUGGAUUGGUGGAGCCCCAAUAGGGCGGUGAUAGAUUGCGCACAAUAGUUGGUGCGAGUCAGGACCCCAGGAGGGGGAGAUUUAGUGAUUUAGGGUGAGAGCCACAGCGAGGGCCAACCUUAUGUUCGGCAACGAGGACAAGGCGUUACCUUCAGCAGGGUUGCGCCGGAUAUGUCGCUUAUGUCAUGGACACCCGGGAGGAGGGAAAGGCGACAGUGGGCAAUGUGCCUGUGGUACGAGAGUUUGCGGACGUAUUCCCCGAGGAGUUGCCUGGGAUACCUCUGGAACGAUAGGUGGAGUUUAGGAUCGACCUAGUCCUUGGUGCGGCUCCGAUAGCCAAGGCACCGUAUCGGUUGGCUCCUCUUGAGAUGCAGGAGUUGUCUACACAGCCGCAGAAAGUAUUAGACAAGUGAUUCAUUAGACCUAGUAGUUCUCCCUGGGGAGCCCCGAUUCUGUUUGUGAAGAAGAAGGACGGGUCGCAUCGGAUGUGUAUAGAUUAUCGGGAGCUGAAUAAGUUAACGGUGAAGAACCGUUACCCACUCCCGAGGAUUGAUGACCUCUUUGACCAGCUACAGGGAGCAUCUUGGUUCUCCAAGAUUGAUCUGCGUUCAGGGUAUCAUAAGAUGAGGGUCAGAGAGGGGGAUGUACAGAAGAUAGCGUUCCGGACGCGCUAUGGCCAAUAUGAGUUCGUGGUGAUGCCUUUCGGGCUCACCAAUGCUCUUGCCGCAUUCAUGGAUCUCAUGAACCACGUGUGCAGACCAAUGUUGGAUCGGUCCGUGAUAGUUUUCAUCGAUGAUAUCUUGGUUUACUCCAAGACACAGGAGGAGCACGAGGAGUAUCUGCAAGAGGUUCUAGAGACUUUGAGAAGGGAGAACUUGUAUGUUAAGUUCUCCAAGUGUGAGUUCUGGUUGCGCGAGGUGCAAUUUCUCAGACACCUUGUCAACCAGAACGGGAUAUCGGUGGACUCGGCCAAAGUGGAGGCCGUGAUGAGAUGGGAGGUUCCAAGGUCUCCAUCCGAGAUUCAGAGUUUCCUAGGAUUAGUCGGCUACUAUCGGAGAUUCAUCCAUGAUUUCUCCAAGAUAGUCAUACCCCUGACCAGGCUAACGAGGAAAGUCGUGGUUUUUCGUUGGGGGCCUGAGCAGCAGGCCGCAUUCGAGACAUUGAGACAGAGAUUGUGUGAGGCACCAAUCUUAGCCCUAUCGGAGGGCAUAGAGAAUUUUGUUGUGUACUAUGACACGCCCAUUUCAGGUUUGGGCGCGGUACUGAUGCAGAGAGGGCAUGUCAUUGCCUACGCUUCGAGGCAGCUGAAGCUUCACGAGGCGAACUACCCGACGCAUGAUUUGGAGCUGGGGGCUGUUGUGUUCGCCCUUAAGAUUUGGCGUCAUUACCUCAAUAGGGUUCGCUAUACUAUCUACAUAAACCACAAGAGUUUGAUGUACCUCAUGGAUCAGCCGAAUCUAAACAUGAGGCAGCGUCGGUGGUUAGACGUGGUGAAGGAUUACGAUUACGAAAUCCUUUACCACCCGGGGAAGGCCAAUGUGGUGGCCGACGCACUUAGCCGCAAGGCAGCGCCGAUCAGGGAUAUUUGUCUGAGGAUGAUAGUGGUGACCCCGCUGUUGGAGCGGAUUCGGGAGGCCCAACGGGAGGCCAUGAAGGAGGAACAUCGGAAGAGCGAGCGGAUUGUGGGGCAAGUUUCCUCCUUCGAUUAUGAUAGCCGAGAGCUGUUGACACUACACCGUAGGGUGUGGGUGCCGUACCACGGGGGUGUACGCCAGGUUCUGAUGAAGGAGGCGCACAAAUCUCGAUUCUCCAUUCAUCCCGGGGCGACGAAGAUGUACAAGGACCUUCUUUUGGACUAUUGGUGGCCCUGCAUGAAGCUGGAUGUAGCAUGGUAUGUGGAGUGGUGCUUGACCUGUAGGAAGGUCAAGGCCAAGCACCAGAGGCCACAUGGAAAGAUGCAGCCGUUGGAUAUCCUGCUGUGGAAAUGGGAAGACAUUACGAUGGAUUUUAUCAUAAAGCUUCCUAGGAUCGCUCGGGGAGUGGAUUCGAUAUGGGUCAUCGUCGAUCGAUUAACCAAAGAGCGCCCAUUUUAUUCCGAUCCAGGAGGGAAUUUUGGCCGAAAAGUUGGCCAACAUCUAUAUCAGGGAGGUGGUGGUGCGGCACAGGGUGCCGGUAUCGGUGAUUUCAGACAGGGACGUGCGGUUCACUUCCAGGUUUUGGAGGAAGUUUCAUGACGAGCUGGGUACUCGUCUGUAUUUUAGCACCGCCUUUCACCCACAGACGGAUGGUCAGAGCGAUCGGACCAUCUAGACAUUAGAGGAUAUGCUGCGAGCAUGUGUUUUAGACUUCGGAGGUAGCUGGGAUACCUACCUUCUGUUGGCGGAAUUCUCGUAUAAUAAUAGCUAUCAUACGAGUAUUAACCGUCCUCCCUUCAAGAUGUUAUACGGGAGGAAGUGCAGAACCCCAAUAUGUUCGGGUGAGGUUGGCCAGAGGGUCAUGAGGAGCAUCGAGGUGGUGCUCAAGAUGACAGAGAGGAUUCAGCAGGUCCGGAGCAGACUUCAGACUGCUCAGAGUCGGCAUAAAAGUAAUCUUGAUAAGCGCCGAUCAGACCUGGAGUUCCAGCUCAAGGAUAUGGUUCUCCUAAAGCUGUCGCCAUGGAAGGGCGUCAUCCGAUUUAGGAAACAGGACAAGUUGGGCGCCACGUACAUUGGACCGUUCAGAUUCUUAGCCCGGGUGGGCAAGGUAGCAUACAGGUUGGAUCUGCCAGCCGAACUCAGCCAGAUCCACAACACUUUCCACGUCUCCCAGCUGCAGAAGUUUCUGGUGGACGACUCAGCAGCGGUACCCUUAAAAGAUAUUCAGGUCGAUGACAGCUUGAAUUACAUUGAGCGGCCAGUAGCGAUCCUCAACCGGAAGUCGAAGGAACUGAGGAACAAGAGGGUUGAACUAGUGAAGGUGCAAUGGCAACAUCGGAAGGGCUCAGAAUGGACUUGGGAGCCAGGGGAGGAGAUGAUCGAGCAUUACCCAGAGUUGUUCCAGGAACGAACAGCAGACUUCGAGGACGAAGUCUAAAAUAAGUGGGGGAGAUUUGUAGCACCUGGUUCCUGGUAUGUAAUUUAUUUAAAUAUUUUGCAUUUUUGGCCUUGGACUCGGCGAGUUCAAGGACCAACUCACCAAGUAGAAGCGGGAUGGGACGCGAGAUUUAAGUUAUGGACUCAUCGAGUCAGGUCCUGGACUCGACGAGUAGGCUCUGACUGGACAAAAACCCUAAUCUGAGGGUUUGCACCCUAUUUAAUCAUCUCAUUCAGCCACCACUCUACCCUAAUGCUCCCAGAAACCCUCCCUAGUAAACCCUAAGUGUUUUGGUGCAAGAUCUAAGGCUUUUUGAGUGAUUUUUGUGGGUUUUGACCUCAAGGAAGAAGGAAGAGCAUAGAAGGAUCAAGAGGAGACUGAACAAUUCGAGUUUGGUGCAUCAUUUUCUGUCCUUGAAAGGUAUAAAGUCUGUACCUUGCUUGUUCAUUUGUUAGAUCCCUUUUUGGGGAAGAUUUAGGGUUUUUUAAGUCAUAUGAGGUGGCCAACCAUGAUUGCAAACAUGGUUGGGGGUCAAGACUUCGGAUCUAAGUCUUGGAAGGAGUCCCAAAGCAUAUUUGGGUUGCUUUUGCACCCAAGGAAGGUCCCAUGCAACAUAAGAGCCAUUUAGAGCCUUUUUGGGUCAAAAGUCCCAUGCAUGCACAUAAAGUUCGAAACUUUAUGUGCUAGAUCGAGCUUAGGGCUUGGAUCUAUCUUUUUGUCAAUGGUUGUACAUCAGAAAUCAAGGAUUUAGGGUGUGGACGUUAUCGACUCGGCGAUUCCGUUCUUGGGACUCGACAAUUCCAAGGCAUAGAGUCCGUUAUCUGUUGAGGGUCAAAAGAACCCAGUUGGGUGUUAGAAGGGUUGUAGAAGGUCCGAGGGAGUAACCCAACGUGUUGGACUUAGCCUUAGACUCGGAAUUCAUGGGACUCGUCGAGUGCUAGAAUAGACUCGGCGAGUCCAAUGCAAUCUCCUUAUGGAUGAAGAUGAACUCGACGAGUUGUUUAUACAACUCGACGAGUCGGGGUCAGGACUUGUUCAUCAGAUGAAGGUGAACUCGACAAGUGUUCAUCCAACUUGGCAAGUCGGAUGAAAGUUCAUUGAUGUUCGUAAAGAAGGGGAACUCGUCGACUCGUUGCCAAACUCGACGAGUCGAGUCGUGGAUAAGGACGAGUAAAGGAAAGGGACUCGACAAGUAGAUGACCCAACUCGGUGAGUUGGGUCAACUGGAAGUUGACUUUGACUUGGACUUGGUUGGGGGUAAAAUAGUCAUUUUACCUCAAGAGUAGAUAUCAGUUUCUGACUGAGUGUUUUGUGGGGAUUAUAGCCGGAGGAUUUCCGGUGCAGCAGCAGGCAGAGGUUUUCCAAACAGAUUAUUAGCAACUACUUGUUCGAGGUGAGUUACCUACCAAUAGCGGUGGGUCUACGGCCACAAUGUCGGCCCACCAAUAGGCACUACUAGAAAAAAGGCGUUUUACGAUGCUCAUUGCGCGUCGUAAAACGCUCAGACAACGCGAAAAUGCGUGUCAAGGAAGGCCCUGUCAUAACGAGAGACGACACGCAUUUACGACACGCAUUUACGACGCUCAUUUACGACACGCAAUGCGUAUCAAGGAAGGCCAUGUCAUAAAGGAUGACGACACGCAUUUGAGUGUCGUAACCUUACGACACGCGUUUAGGACAUGCAUUGUGUAUCAUUAAAGCCCCUGUCAUAAAUGAAGAUGACACGCAUUUGCGUGUCAUAAUCUUCAGCAACCAUUUACGAUAUGCAUUUACGACACGUCUUUACGAUACACAUUUACGCAAAAUACAAAAAUAUGGAAAUAAAUAUAUAACAAAACAAUCAAUUUCAUUCAUUAACAUCAUGUCAAAAAAUUGUAAUACAUAGCGGAAGUAUUUGUUGAGAGCCCAAAAAGUUACAUAAAUCAAUGAAAGUAAAAUUCAUAACUUUUCUAGUUUUCAUAAUCCUAACAAUAGCUGCAUCAACCUGCGAUAUAUUUAUAAAAAAAAUGUGAUUAUAAAUUUAUAAUUACAAAAAAAAAUAAAGCAAAAAAAAAUUGGACCUGAUAUUGACGAUCUUGGGAAACUCUCUCUGUGGUGCUUGCGUUUUCUUCCACAGUUUCCUUCAGCUGGAUAUCAUUCACAUGUACAUGGAAUGGAAUGGAAUAAUGAAAUAAGCAAAGGAAUGGAAUGAGUCAUUCCAUUCCAAUUUCAUAUGAACUUCACAUUAUAAAAAAUUAAUUGAUCUCACCUUUAUACGAUAAAGAGGAGCAGUAAAUACAUCAUUAAACAUGAAGGAAUCAUUGUCAUCCACAUCAGUUUGAACCUAUUCUUUUGUCUCCUUUUCUUCUUUCUCUUUCCCUUGUUCUUUUUUGUCUUGUAUCUUUUCAAGUGGUUGGUACAACAAUAGAGGUAACGGGACAUGUGCCAGUAUUGGGUCCUGAAGAUCUUGUUGCUUUUGUGCUAAGUGUUUUGUGAUUGAGAAGCAAAUGGUCACAAAUUGCAUAUGGGUUCUGGACAUGCAAAUAAACUUAACUAUCGAUCACAUAACAAAAGCAAAUGAAAGUAUGAUGUUAUAAUAAACAAUUCAAAUGCUAAUACCUUUGACAUGUUUGUAUCUACAACAUUUUGGGAGCUUUCGAUGCUUCGAAGAAUUAAAAGUAUUGAAAUAACCUCUUCCUUCUUUAGACUAUUAUGAGGCUUCCCAUCUUCACAAUCACCACCAAUUGCCAACAUAGAAAGAAAUAAAUACAAUUUUCCGGAAAAUAAUAAAAAUUCAUAUAUAUUUUUUUCAUUCAAAGAAUCAAAAUCAACAGGUAUAGUAUGCAUUCAAUUUAUAUUUCAGGAAAAAAAAACUAAUAGUAUACCUACCUGUAUGUGGGUUCAUAGCAAGUUUUCUCUCUUGGAUAAAACAUUAUUUUUUUAUUUUAUUUAUACUAAAUGUUUUUUUUUAUAUUUUGAUAUAAUACAAAUUAAUUUAUGUUUUAGAUAAGCUCUCUUUUACUUNCCUGUCUUUUACUUAUUUACAUUGAAAAUUGACAAAUAGUUCUUUUUCCACAAAAACAGACAAACUAUCUACAAUGAGUUUUUUGCCCUUUGCCACUAUUUAAUCACCUUACCUUAGUUUUACACACAAAAUCCAAUAAUGGAAUAAUGCAUUGAACAUUACACAUUUGCAAAUAAGAUACACAUUAGCAAAAAAUGGUCUUAGCACUAACUUUCACCACCCACCCACCCGAUAACAAAAGAAAAUAUAAUCCGCCCACUCAGUUUCACUUUAUUUGCAAGUAAGUAUAAACAAUAAUAUUGCAGGGUUUUUUUUUCAGUAUGAAUGAGUAUUCAGUCACUAUUCAUCCAUACCUCUUUAAGUAGUUGAUACCAAAUGCUACCAUUAUUCAAUCUCCAUCUAGGGGUAGGGCUAGGUGUUGGUGUUGUUGGAGCAGAAGAAGCAUCAAUGAUAUUGAUAACAAUGAAAGGGGAACUCAAAUCAUCAAGUUCAUCAUCACUUGUGUUUGACUUUCUCAACACUGAUGAUCCAGUGCGACCCAAGUGUUUUAUACAUACAGCCACUCCCUCUCCUCCAACCAAAAUGGUUUUUAUUAUUGAUGAUGCUGAUGGCGGAUCAUAAACAACCGAACCAGCUACACAUGGGACACUGCUCACACAGUCUUCGCCACCCUCUGUAGAAUAUAAAGCCAAAAGAAACCUGUGUUUGUUUACUACUCAAAAUGAAGACAUAAAAGAAGAAAGGAAUAUGCAUUGUAUUGGAAAAAUGAAGACUAAAAACCUCUUAUAUUAUCCAUAUCAAUAAAGCUAUAUUUAUAGCUUCUUAGACACCCACGAUGAAGUAUGAAAACAAUCCAUGCUCUUGACUCCACCUAAUUAGCUUAAGAAUUAACUAUUAUAUAAAACAUAAAACACAAAACAAUAAUAAUUAUCAAAUCUAAAGUUUCAGCCAUGCACGUGAGCUAUGACUAACAAACCGAUUAACCCAACACCUUCCACCCCCAAAUCCUUAGCAUAUAUAAACAAACACCCUCUAAAUGCAUGUUAUUAGACAUACCAAAAUAUCUUUAAUUGGUUGGCUUGUGUGUCCUUCACAUCAACAUAAUUACUUAAUUAAUUAAUUAUACUGAACUCACCUCUGAGUCUAAGGCUUCAAGCACAACUUCAGGAAUAGCAUCUGGACAAAACUCAUCUGGAACAAAACUAUCUAGUAUCCCUUUUAUUAAUGCUACACCAAAACUCAAACAUACCUUCAAAAAAUUUUAAAUAACUUUAGCUUUGUGGAUAACUACACUACUAUAAAAGAAAAAGAGCCCAAUUUUAGAGACCUCUUUUCUGAUUGUGCUAUCUAACAACAUAUCCUUAGGAAGCAUCAUCAGGUCACUUAAUGCAUUCAGGAGAUGAAAAGAUUUGAAUGAUGAAUCAUCAGCAUCUAUAUCAAAUAAAUCAGUCAGCCACCUCGACCAAUUUUCAAUUUGCACAUUGCCAAAUGAACNNNNNNNNNNUAUAUAUAUAUAUAUAUAUAUAUAUAAAGGAUCACUUGCCAUGGGAAUUGGUCGCCUAUGAUUCAGAUCAGAGGCCUGGAAUCGUCAAGGUAGAAAACACAAGUCAAGAAAAAAAAUAAAAUAAGAGACUUUUAGGCAUAAAUGGUAUAUACCCUGUAAUAGGGAUAACAAACUCCUUGAGUGCUUUUUCACUUGUUACUCCAAUUAAUUCGCCAAGACCUUGAGCAUCCUGUUCUCUCAAUUCUGCAGACCUGCUUAUUAGGCCCUGAAGAUAUAUGGGAAGCAAUGGUUGAAGAGCCUUUGGGAGACAUAACCUGGGUAUAACAAUUGGUCCACCCUAUAUGUCCAUCAACAAAUAUUUAAAUAAGAUAAACCUUAAUCACUACUAAAUGCUGAUUAAAAUACACAUAGUUGCCCCUCGAGUUCCAAAACAUUAAAACAACUCUAUUUUGUGCUUAGAUUCCAAAAUAGGACCAAAACAAAAUUCAUACGCAAGUGCUCAAUGGAUGAAAAAACUCAUAUGUACAAAUUCUAAGCCAAAAUACAAGAAUACAUUAGUUCUACAUAAACCCUAUCAACUCGAAAAUAAAAUUUUCUCGUAUAAUAAUUACAUAACCAAAUUAUGUAGUGAAAUCACACAUUAAAGCAAAUGUCUUUGUUAUUGUGAAUUUUGAUACAUCAUAUAUUAUUAUAUUUUUACCUUUAUUAUAGAUUGGUUACCCAACUUUACAUGCAUUUGUUGAGUUUAUUUCUGGAUUUGACAUGCCUUCUGACAUUCACUCAAAGAAGAAAGACAACAUUCUUCUAGAAACUGGGAAACCUUUUCGAUGGCUCUCUUCCAUGAUGAGUUAUCGUUGCCACUAGCUCAUAUCUUCGACCGUAUUUAUUAUAAUUUUUUUUAUAAAUUAAUAAAAAGAUGAAAAUGAUAUAUANNNNNNNNNNNNNNNNNNNNNNNNNUAUAUAUAUAUUAUAUAAAUACAUACCUCUGGUGAUGAUAAAAAAAGGAAAUCACGAUUCAGAGUAAGGUGAAGAGGAAUGUGGAUUGGUUUGAGUAAUUUUGUGCUUCCUUGACUUACAUAGCUAAACCUCAUUAAGUGUAGUAUUAUUAUCUCUGGAAGCUCUAAUAUUUCACUGAUUUACUUGCACAUACUAAUUCACAUAAUAAUAAAAAGAAGUAUACAUUUCCUGCUGAUGAAGCACGAUACCCUUCAAGUGUCUCUGGAGCUGAAAAAAGAUGAAGUGCAUCUUCUAUUGUAUGCAUAGGAUCUGGACAUAUAUUCAAAUGGAGCAAAAGAAAUGGCUGAAUAGUUGCAGAUGCUUUGUUACCUAUUUUUGUUUUACAUUAAAAAUAUAUAAAUGAUGAAUUAAUGAUAUCAUGUUAUUGAGAUGAGUGAAAAAUGUUAAAAGAUUAAAAAAAAAUACCUCUUGCUUUCAUUACACUUUUUAUUUGGCCUUCGAAGAUCUGACUUAAUUUUGAAGGAAUAAAACUUUGUGUUCUUGUGAUUGUAGUUUUGUUCUUUGGUCCAACUGUUUCCCAAAUAUCAUCAUCAUCUUCAUCACUUAAAGAUGAAACCAGUGAAACUUUUCCACCAUUAAAAUUACAAACUUCUCCUUCAAGUUUAAGAAGUUCAUCAUGCAUUUGGUGCAUUACAAAGCUUAAAAACACCUGAGCAUCUUCUUGCCUUUUUAAAAAACAAACUUCAACUCAGCAUCCGAAAUUCCAAACAUAACAUAUAUAAAAUUUGUUGAUUAAUUUUAUAACAUUAACACAAACCUUGGUCUUCCAGAGAAGCUAUUUGGCAUAUCUGGAGAGAAAUUGUUGAGAACAGAUUCAAACAUGAUAGGUCGAAAAGGUUUCCCAGUUUCUAGAAGAAUGUUGUAUUUCUUCUUUGAGUGAAUGUCAGAAGGCAUGUCAAAUCCAGAAAUAAACUCAACAAAUGCAUGUAAAGUUGGGUAACCAAUUUGUAAUAUAGGUAAAAAUAUAAUAAUGUAUGAUGUAUCACAAUUCACGAUAACAAAGACAAUUGAGUCCAACUCCAUCGGCGUUUGCUUUUGAAUGAAUUCCUUGGGAUAAACCUUCCAUAUACGCUCUGCUCCCUUUCCUUUUGGAACAAAACACCAUAGCAAGACUCCAAAUAUGUAAUAAUAAUCGAUCGAUAAAGUUUCUACAUAAGUUGCAGGUGAUCAAAAAUGGCGGAAAUCAGGAAAUGUAAAUUGUACCUUUAGCGAGAUUAGGGUAAAGCCAUCACAAGUUAGAGCCAUCAUCACCUGUGGGAGACCUAGGGGAAGUUGAUCGCCUCUAUCCACCUGCCAAAAAAGUGAAUCGUCUUCCCAUAAGUUUUCGUCACUUUCUCUCGAUCUUGCCGCUCAACCGGACCAAGGACGCCGGGAAGGAAAAGGACGUCCCUCUUCACCUCAUACUCGUGGAUGUGCCACAUUGGCUUUUCUGAAUCCGGCAAGGUGAAGAACAAUUUUUAUGUUACGAUGUUUUCAACUCCGAUUAAAAAAGCCCUAGAAAUUAUCCCAGUGAUUUUGUGAUAUAUGAGUUGUUGAGGUAUACAGCAGAGGUGGUAUCGUGAUUAGGGUUUGCAGAGAAAAGGGGGAAGAAGAGAAUGAAGGGGAUCAAGCGGGGUAUUAAAAAAUUUAAGAUUUUUGAGAGGAUUUCAUUUCCCCCUUUCAAGAAGGCGCGUUUUAGUAAAAAUUAUAAAGCGACAAUCACAGAGGACGCAUAUUUUAGAUAAAGUGCCCUCCGUGUUUUUAUUUUUUUUACAUUCGACACUAAUUUAAGGGCAUGCAAUAAUGCGUGACCUAAAUCCUCAAAUUUUUUGAAGAGACGACACUUUUUUAUUGUCACUCUCGUUUGCGUAACAUAAAUCAAUAAGUGUCGUGAUUUGCACAUCGUAAAAGGGUCUUUUUCUUGUAGUGAGGAGUUGUAUGAUUAGAUGAUUGUCUUUGUGAUAUCAUCUAGGUUGCUGCUACCUGAUAUGUUAUAUGCUGGUAUGAUAUGUUAUUUGUGAUAGUAGUAGAGUUCGGUUGUUUGGACCGAAGGGUAGGUCAGACACCCCAGAUAUGUCUGACAGUAUGUGAUGAUAUGUUUAUAUGCUGGCAUGAUACGUUAUAUGGGAUAGUGGUAGUAGGAGGGGAACAAUCUCCAAGUUCGGUUGUUAGAGCCGAAGGGUAGUUCGGACACCCUAGAUAUGUCUGAUAGUAUGUUUAUGUUAUGAUAUAUGUGAUAGUAGUGGUAGGGGUGGAAUAGUCCAAGAGGGUCGGUUUUUAGGACUGACGGGUAGGUCAGCACCCCAGAAAGGCUUGACACGGGUAGGACGAUACCCCAGAAUGGCCGCAUGGGUAGGUCGGCACCCUAGAAUGGCCGCACGGGUACCUAGAAUGGCCGCACGGGUAGGUCGGCACCCCAGAAUGGCCGUACCGGGUAGGUCAGGCACCCCAGAAUUGCCUGGCAGUAUGUAUGCUAUGUGAUUGUAUGUUAUGUGGCACGAUGGGGGAACUCACUAAGCUUCGUGCUUGCAGUUUACAGUUUUUGUUUCAGGUACCUCUUCAGCAAAGGGGAUGGAGCUGGCGCGGUAGUGGCACAUCAUGAAUGGUUUUCCGCACUAGUGUUUCUUGGUAUUGUACUAUGACAUUAUUCUUAUUUUUGUGAAUGGUUUUCAGACAUGAGAUGUGGUUUUAUGAAAAGUUAUGAUUAGAUGGUGUUUUCUUAUAAAUGUUUUUACAAGUCAAUUUUAAAAAUGAAAUUUUUGGACUUGUAAAUUGGGUCGUUACAUUCCUUCCAUGGUAAGACUUUAAGCAAAACCAAAUCUCCAACUUCGAAUGCCAUCAGUCGUCUUUUCUUGUCAGCAUAGCUCUUUUUACAAUCCUGAGCUGCUAACAUCCUUUCCCUAAUCACUCUUAACUUUUCAACAGUCUGAUGGACUAUCUCGGGGCCCAUAAACUGCCUUUGUUCAACUUCAAGCCAACAUGACGGCGUACGACACUUUUUUCCGUACAAAGCUUAAUAAGGUGCCAUCUUGAUGCUUAAGUGGAAACUAUUAUUGUAGGAAAACUCUACCAGAGGUAAGUGUUCAUCCCAGUUACCUUGGAAUUCUAGGGUACACACUCUUAGCAUUACUAUAGUGUUUGAAUCGUCCUUUUUCUCUAACCAUCGGUCUGUAGAUGGUAGGCUAUACUUAAACACAGCUUCGUACCCAAUUCUUCUUGUAGACUCCUCCAAAACCUUGACGUGAAACGGCUAUCAUGGUGUAACGCCCAUGUUUCUAGGCUAGGCAUUAAUGAUAAUGUAAUAGUCUAGGUUAACCUUUGUAACCCGUCUUGAAAUAAUAAAAAUGUAUUAUUUGAGUAUUAUGUGUUUUGUGCUUAAUUGUGUGACUUAAAUGAAUUAAGGAUAAAAAUAAGCAUCAAAAUGAAAUGUUAGAUAAACUCGAUAUCUAUGAAGGAUGUGGUAGUGGUCGUGGCAAGGUUUCCAAAUAUAUAAAGAAUGCCAAAAUCUGAGUUAUAACGAAAAAGUUAUGAUCUGUCGAAGUUUCGUUACAGAACCGGCACGGCACUGCGUGACGUAAAUAGUGAAUUUACGAUAGAGCGAUAUUUAGUCUUAGUGAUCUAAACAGAAGUUGUAGAAUAAGUUUAACCGAGAGCGUGCAUAAGAAGAACGUCUAAAUUUGACUUCGUAUGAGGAAGUUAUGAUUUUUCGAAGUUUCGAUUUAGCAGUAUGCAACCCAAAUCUCGAAUUACAGAUCGAGUGAUACUUGGCCGAAACAAUCUAAACGGGAAUCGAAGAUCUCGUCGAUAGUAGUCCAAAAGUGAAAAGACAUACGAAAACGGACGUCGGAUGAAGAAGUUAUGAAUUUCUAACGGAGUUUUCCUGUCCGACCUGCUAAAAAUAAUAUAAUAAAAAUAAGUUCAAAAUUAGCCGACGCAGUCUAAACGAAAGUUGUAGAGCAUAGUCUCACCUAUGUGUGGAUAUAAAGAACAUAAAAAAUGGAGCUCGUAUGAGGAAGAUAUGAUAUUAUGAAGUUUUUAAAUAAUUAAAAUAUAUAAAUUUUAUUAUAUAUUCGGAUAAUAUCCGAAUCCAUGACUCAGCCGAUCUGAUCCGAAGAUUACGCCCAACGUACUGCUUGUAGAGGCAUUACGCCCAGCAUAAUCAGGAUUUACGCCCAACGUAAAUCGAGGUUUCAUCCCCUAUAAAUAGAAGUCGUGGGCAGCCGAGUUUUGUUGCUCAUUUCUUCCUCUCUCUCCCGUUUUACCUCGUUUUACGUGCAAGCUUUACCCCCGAAGCCGCGGUAUCAUUCCCGAGACCCGAAGCCCCGGGGAUCCCGAGAAGUAAAGUUUCUGAGCCGAAACUCUGCCCGUGUAAAGCCCGGUUUUGGAGAAAACGUCCUGGUUUUAUCGGAAAAUAUUAUUUUAAUAUAUGAGGUGAUGUCCGAUCAUCUUCUUAUCAAGUGAGUGUAUAUUCCCUUUCUUCUAACACAUAGAUAUGAAGUAUCUACUUUAGAAUAUGUGUUACAUGUGUAUAAAUAUACGUGUAUAUAUAUGUUAUCUGUUUAUUUGGAAUGAGUAUCUUAUUAGUUUUUAAGUUACAUAUGAAUGCAUAUGUAUGUUGUUAUCUACAAAAUGUUGGGUAGAACUUGUGUAGAUAGUUGAUGUGUGAUAAACUGAUGAGAUGCCUCGAUGUGAUUGUGAUCUAGUCAUUCAACAGAAUAUGGGUGACGACCACGGACUCUUUCUAGACUGUCCCGUGGAAUGCUGGCAGGCUCAUAACCUGUAGGUGUUGGUGAACUUGGGUGUUCAUUUGUUGUAUUCUAUCCCCCUCAUGGUUGCCUUAGGACAUUCAUUGUUGAGAAAACCCCUCUGCAGUAGUGUCCGUCCUGAUGAAAAUCCUAGAUUAGGUCCCUUGUAAUAGUUAUUGUCAUAGUGACGUAAAGUGAGGAUAACAGGAAUGGGUAAUCAGGUUAUUGUUGGUUGGUGAAAUUAAAUAUAAUUAGUUAUUGUGGGUUGAAAACCCUAUAUGCUCACCAGGCUCCCAAGCUUGACCCACUCAGUUUUUUUGUAUUACAGGUAGUGGUGCGAGGGCAUAAGUUGGAGAACUUAUGAAGAUGUUUUUGUUUAUAGACCAGUAGUUGUAUAUAACAGUGUAAGGUCUAUGUUUUACUGUUUAUGCUUUUGUGUCUGUAUCGGAACAUGACAUCCUGAGUUUUGAUAUAUAAUGAAAAUACAUUUCUUUAAGAAAUGUUUUGAUAAACUUUAUUUUAUCAUGUUUUGUUUUAGGGACAAAUUCUGCAACUCUUUUAAAUCAAUGGAUUUACUCUGAAAUUAUUUUAAAAACAUAAAUGAAACCGGCCUUUUCUGGCCGUGAUUUUGGGGAUUUCACACAUGGUCUGAUACUAUCUUUAAAGGAACACCAUGAAGUCUUACUACCUCCUUCACGUAAGCAUUUGCAAGCUUAUCUGUAGACCAUCUUGUUGGAUUAGUGUCUAAGUCCAUAACUAUUUUGGUAUGUACUUGACCCGAUGGUGCAUGGUCCUUUUGGGUUGCCUUCACCAAAGCAACUUGAUUGGAGAAAUAAAUAAAGAGAGAGAGGUUAUUAUGAUUUAUUAAUAUGUUAUAAGAAUAAUAUAUUAAAGGAGAAAUCAUAUUUGUUUAAUUAAUAUUGGUCAAUAAUUAAUUAAGAAUUAAUUUUGUGAUCAAGUGUAAUUAAUUAAACUAGAGGGGCUGAAUUGUAAUUAUGUGAUAGUUACAAAAUAAGGUAAGGAUUAUCUUAAAUAUAGGGUGAACGAAUUUAAGGAGAUAAUGCCUUAGAAUUCGACUAGGAUAAGGGUUUCUAAGACUUAUCUUAUGGUUGCUUGGUGGGCAAGCAACUAGAUAAGGAUAAGGACUAAAACCCUAAUCUUUACACCUAUAUAAACCCCCUAAGGCUCAUGAAUUCGUCUAAGCCUUCCCAAGAAGUCCUAAGGACGAAUUCCUACCUCUAUCCUCUCUCUUUAUACCUUCUCCAUUUGCUCUUGGUGUUUGUGAGCCAUUAGAGGAGUGACACUUGUGACUCUAAGCCUUCCAAAGUCAAUUCAUGGAGAAUUGGGAUUGUUAUUACUACAUAACAAUCAAGGUAACAUCUUAAACCUAAUUAUAUGUUAAUAUUGAUUUCCAUAUGCUAGAAUUAGGGUUUAUAGUCUUGGAUUCAUUGCAUGUACAAUAGAGAAACCUAGAUCCAAGCAUUAGGGUUUGUAUGAGCACAUAGGAUGUCUUAUGACCAAAACCCAUCAGUGGUAUCAGAGCCUAGCUUGGUUUCAAUUGUAUUGAUGCAUUGUAUAACUGGAAAAUUCGUUUUUUGGGUUUCUGGAGGCUGGACUCGCCGAGUCCAUAGAUGAACUCGCCGAGUCCAUGCUGACUCGACGAGUCCAUGCCUGACUCGGCGAGUCGGCUCGUCAGAAGGAGGGAAAACCGGGAUUUCUUGCUGUUUUUGCUUAAGGAUAGUUGCCUUAUCAUAUUAGAUCAAUAUAAAUCCGAUUUUAUGAUAUAUUUGACUAUAUUCUUGAUCUAAUUGAAGAUAUUUAUCAAUUAAUAAAAUAUUUGUUUCCUUAUGUGAUAAUUGAUUAAUUAUUUUGAUUAAAUUGAUAAAUUGUUUUGCAAGAAAUCAUUAAAUAAAUCAAAUAUGGAUAAUUAUGUGAUUAAAUGUUAAUUUAGAUUAUUUGUUAUUUGAUCCUUGUUGUUAUGAAAAGUUUCAUAUUUUCCCCUUUAGGUUUUAUAGUUUAAAUUUGAACCCAAAAGUUUUGUUGUUUUGAAAUUUAAAUAGUUGAAACCCUAAUGUUUUGAAAAAGGUUUCAAAACUUGCCCUCAAGUUUUGGAAUUUAAAUUUUGAUUAAAUAGUUUAAUUUUGAUGUAUAUUUAAAUUCUAAACCCUAAUGUGUUGAAAUGUUUCAAAACUUGCCCUCAAGUUUUGGAAUUUAAAAGUUGAUUAAAAGUUUAAUUAGGAAUGUUAAAUUCUAAAACUCUAGUAUUGUUUUGAAAAAGUUCAAAUCACACCCUUAUGGUUUUAUUAAUUAAUUAAGGUGUAUAAUUAAAAGAGGUUUAAUAAAUCCAUAAAAGUUUUGGUUUACAAUUUAAUUGAAUUAAAAGUAUAAUUGUUAAAUUUGACCACCUAGUAUUUUAAAAGUGUAAAAUACACCCUAUACUAUAUAUAACAUUAAAAGUCUAACAUUAUAUAUAUGUAUGAGUAAAAGUCAGUCUUACCGUUAGUAGGCCUCAUUCACGAAGCUGGUCUAUAAGGGGUGUUUAAGGAAAUUGCCUAUAAAAUGGCGAUUGAAUGGGUAUCCACUCUUACCCACCGCACUCUUGACUAGUGGAGGGUCGUUAGCCGAACGGGUAGGAUAGGACGAAACCUUCCAUUAUAAGUAUAAUGAAGUAUAAAAGUAACUAAAUGUUUUCAUAAAAUUCCCAAUCUUAGUUACUUAGGCAAAAGUGAAUUGAUGCAAUUCCAUGAAAUUACACUUUGUGCCCUUGCGAAGACGUUAGUGGAGCGUGUGUGGUUUACCGGCACACUAAAUGGUUCUAAGCAAAGGUAGCAAAGGGUGACUCAAUGUUUGUCAUAGUUCGGUGGAGCGUGUGUGGUUUACCGGCACAUCGAAUAGGUGACUGUAACAUGUGAGGGCACCAUGUAAGUUUGCAUGGUUAUUCACACCCGCUUUGUGAUCCUCGGCAUCCCAGUCACAAACAAGAGGGGCAUAUCGAGAUUUAAACAUGCCAUUGAAAUGUUCAAUGAAUCUCAAAGGAUCUAGGAGUUUUCAUAGAUUUAAAACUUAAAUUUCUUUUUCGUUUUUCAUGGUGGAAAUUAGUGAAUCGUCAUUCACUUACCUUCAAAUGUUCUGCAAUUUGGGUUACGGCAUCCCUCUCCCGAGUUGUAGAAUAUUGUGUUGGGUCCUAGCCUUAGUAUCUCAUUUGGGUGAUUUACUAAGGACUCAAUCAAUCAACUAACUUGAAUUCUUUUUCUCCCGUUUUGUAGAUGUCAAAGUUCGACAACUAUGGUCUUCCCAAAUCCCGUGGAACAAGCAUUCCACAUGAAGAUGAUAUUCCACGAUUCGAUCGAGGAACAAGAAAUCAUGCUUCACUUCCUCCACCUCCUCCAAUUAUUCUCCCUAACCCACAAGUUCAAAGGCUUGAAAAGUUCAAGAUCACUCAAGCCCUUUUGGCAAGUAAACAUAAAGAAGGAAAGUCGGUGUGUGCACACGUCCUAGGGAUGAAGUCACACAUUGAUAGGUUAAGAAUGUUGGGAUCCGUUGUCUGUGAGGAAAUGGCUGUUGAUUGGGUUCUUCAGUCACUUCCUAACUCAUAUAGUGAGUUCGUAAGAGAGUACUAUAUGAUGAACCGCGACGUGACCCUUAUAGAUCUCACCUAUAUGCUUAUUGCUGCUGAAUCAGCAAUGGUUUGGCGCAAUAGAAAAGCAAAGUUGAUUGGUGAAUCUGCCUUCAAGACCUCUAUGGAUAUAGACAAUGGCAACGAAAGACAUGCUAUGAUCGAAAAGUUUGAUCAUAAGAGAAAGGCAAUGUCUGAAGUAGUUCCAUGUCAUGUUCCAAAAGAGUCAAUUUGCUUUUAUUGCCAAGAGAAAGGGCAUUGGAGACGAAGCUGCCCCAUUUACCUAAGAGAUCUAAGAGAUGGGAGAGUCGAAACGUAUGGCUCUAAUAUAGGUAAAAUCCAUUAACUAACUCUUUUAAGCUUCUAUUCUAGAUUCUUAAUACAUAAUGUGAUAAGAUUACAAUUGAUGUUUUGUAGGAUCGAAGAAAAGAAAGGAAGCUUAAGGGAAGAAGUGAGCAGAAUCUAACCGUGAAGGAAUGGAUUUCGAUCGCAUUUCUCGAAGAUUAGAUUCUUGAGCUACUACUUAGAGUUAGAAUUAGAUUGCUAAGAAAGAUGUAUUAGCAUAGUUUUUCAAUGAAUUGCAUUGUAAGGACAAAUUUUUCCGCAAUAAAAUAAAUUUUGAUUUUAAAUUUUAUUUAUUUAUCCUUACAAUGGCGUGUAUGAAAAAUUGAUGUUAAAAUGUUUCUAUUAUUAGCAAUAAUGGAUUUGGUUCUUAUUAUGUUAUUUAUGGAAAGUCGAGAAUUUACCAAAUAGGGAGAGUUUCUCAUCGCCCAAGUUUCAAUUGGACAGAAACUUGGAAUCAUGCAACUUGGUUGCACGAUGAAUGAGAAAUUUCAUAUUUGGAAAUUAGACUAAUUCAUUGACAAAGUGUCAAGUGAAGGACUAGGAGAUCGAGUACACAAAGUUGCGUGUUGAUCAAGUCCACCAUAAGAGUAACAAAGAUAUUCGUCAUGAUUUACUAAAGGUUUAGUAAAUAUGAUUAUACUUAUAAGAUUAAGUGUAAUUCUGAAUUGAUUGAAAAGGUUUAAAUCAAUAGCAGAACGAAUAAGAAGAAUCAAGUAGGCAGAAAGAUAAAAGUUUCUCCAUUCUAAGAAGAAGGGAGAGUACCUUUUAUGCUUUAUGAUAGGUCUUAAUGAUUAAGAACCAUAUCUCAAUUGAUCCUCUAAGUGAGUCUUAGUACAAUUGUAUGUCUAAGAAGAGGAAUCAAGAAUUGAAGAAAUGGUUAAAUCAAGAAGUCAAUCAUACUUCGUUCCAAAACAAGUCUUAGAGUUAAGAUUGUGACAUUGAGUGAUAAGUAUAAAGAAGGUUUAUAACAUUCAUUAAAUGUGGAAAGUUGUGAUGUCUUGGAUAAGACAAAGACCAACUAGGACCAAUUUAUGAAGUGUUUUGAUAAAAGCUACACUAACUCUUGAAUAUUUGUUUGUCAAGAAAUGGUUAUUGACAAGAGAAUCUUAUAUGUCAAGGAGUCAGUGGGAGUCUUAAUGGUCUUGAAAGGUUUCAAGAACAAAUCAAAUAAACCUUAUCGAUCAUCACUAGCACACGAGUUGAGGUUUACAACCUAUCGUGUUGACAUUAUUUUGAUUCUGUGCCAAUCCAAUCGAGUUAAUUAUGCAUGUGAGUUCUAUGAGUUCUCAUUUUGAACGCAUAAAAGGCAAAGCACCUUAAUCAAUGAAAGGUACAUUGAUAGGAAAGGGUGAGCUGCUUAACUACUUGGAAGACAUGGUGGGCAGCUGUGCUACCAUAAAGGCAAGAAAUCGAGAUCAAGAAAGUUCGAUCCAUAAGAGUUUGAAUUUGUCGUAAACUUUGGUUUUGACAAAUUCACAUGGAUAGGAACAAAUACACCGUUUAAAUCUAAGUGUCAUAAGAUUUCCUCCUUCAUGAAAAUGAUUGUGAGGAAAUGCUUUCACUAAGACAGAUUUUAAGAAGAUAGUGAUUGUAAAAUUGCAUUCUCGAAUUCAAUUAUGGUUACGGCAUCCCUUUCCAUAAUUUGAAUUGUGAGGUUUGGCAAUUAGUCUUAAUUGUUUAGACACACAUAUGAACUAUCGAAGGCAAAGGUGUAUAAGUUCAAGAAGCCUUGAUAAAAGAUUAUCAAAGCACUAAGUAUUAGAAACAUGAACUUAAGAAAUUCAAUAAGCAUUUUUUUUCUGAAAGUUAAGAUGUUUAUGAAUACAUGUCGAAGCUAGUGGGAGCAUAAGUGUUAUGUUUUAUAAUAAUCAUCAAGAUAGUGGGAGCAUAAAAGUUAUGAUUGUAUGAUUAUUAAGGAAAGUAUUGCAAGGUUAGCAAUAUUAAUUAUAGAAAACAAGAGUCAUACUUUGCAAAGUCGCAAUAGUUGAAGAGUUGUUUUGCUAUAAUUAAGGGAGAGAAUAUUAUGCUUCAUUUCAAAUCUAAAGGUUUAGGUUGAGAAAUGUUAAUAAAAUUUAGUCAAAGGUACAAAGUGUGUUCUUAAAAUUUCGAUUAUGAUUACGGCAUCCCUCUUCACAAUUCGAAUUUUGAGAACAUAGCAAAUAAAACAUUAUGCGUCGUGUCCCAUACGCUUCGGGUAUAGGAUCGAUUGCAAAUGCUUUAAUGUUUGACCAUUCUAAAAUUUUCCAAAUGUCGAGCGCAUUUAGAGGGAAAAGGGACUAGAAUUGGUUUUGACUAAAAUAAUUAAACAACUAUCAAAGGACAAUCCAAAGUUCGACGAGGAUUGGUCGCUUGUGAGUAGUUGGAAGUAUAGUAUUGGAAAAUAUGGAAAUGUUUCCAUAUUGGAUGGACCAUAUCGACAUCAUUACGAAUAGAUAAGAUUCUAUUAAGAAUGAGUUGUCAUAUGGAACAUAUGGAAGUGUGUCCAUAUUGGGAAUUGAAUAUUGAGAAAUCUAUGACUAGAUUAGAAACUUCUAUGCAAAAGGAUGUUCAAAGAAUGUACUUUGAGUGAGAGACAUCACAUCUAUGGAAUUGUCUUGUAACAAUCUCCGAUAGAGGACUUUGUAAUAUCAUUGGCAAUAGUCUUUGUGACUUUGGUGCAGUGACAUUACGAAAGGAUCGUUGCAUAAAAUGUUAGAAUCUAGCAUAUUCUAUAAGUAGCAAGAAUUUGAUAUUCUUUCACUUAUGAAAAGGAUUUGGAGUUGUGAAAUGAGAAUGAUUGGAAAUGUGUUCAAUUUGAUCUAUUUCACAAAGUAAGAACCAUAGGUAAACAUUGUGUGCAUGCUAGGAGCAUGGGACAAGUGUAAUAAUUCAAGUAAGAAGUUGAUUACCCGAAACGACAAAUAAUGAGUAAUCGAUAUGGUGAUAAAUAAAAGGUGUUUUAUUUAUACUCAAAGGUUUGAGGCCAUAUGGGAUUAGUAUUAUUCUUGUGUUUCACAUUUGCAUGUUUUGACUUCCAGAAUAAUUGAGUUUAUUAAGAAUAAUCGAAUUAUUCGAACGGGCCACAGUCGUUCAUAUGUUGGAAGUAGAUAUGAAUGAAGACUGUCGUGAAUUGGUGUGUGGAUUGUCUAAAAGAGUAUUAGACAUAAGCAAAUGUUUGCUGCAACGUUCAUGAGUGCUUAUGAAUAUGAUUUGAGCAUUGGAUUAAACCCACGCUCACUUGGAUCACUCCAUGAAUUGUAUCACGAGUGAUUGGUGAGACGAUAACAUCUUAUAUUCUUGAAACCGAGAUGUGUGAGUUGUAUCUUGCGAAUCGGUUGCACAUUGAUAAUAUGUAAACGCACUAGUAACUUGGUGUUAUAAAACAUAUUGUUGUGUGUGAUUUGGUUAGUAAGUGCAAGCAAGCAUUGUAUCAAAGUUUAUCCGUUCCUUUUAUCCAAAGUAGGAUAAAAGCGAUAUCUUUGGGCCCCUCGAUGAUUUAGUGAUGACAAACGUAAAUGCUCGGCCGGGCUAGGGCUAAUUUGAUUUGUUCAAUUAGUCAGUCGUCAUAAAUCGGGAAUCGAGAUAUAGUACAAAGAGAAUGAUUUGAAAUCAUAUCUCAUAUGAUAUCUAGAAUGGAGGAAUAUAUGAUCCCUUAUCUAAGGACACGCGUAUCUGAUAUGAUCAGAGUUGACAGCGGCUUUGGAAAGCUACGAUUGCAGAUCAGGAUCUGAAGUCAUACGCAGAAUAGUUGUUAGACUUAUCCAAGUGGGAGACUGUUGGAUUAGUGUCUAAGUCCAUAACUAUUUUGGUAUGUACUUGACCCGAUGGUGCAUGGUCCUUUUGGGUUGCCUUCACCAAAGCAACUUGAUUGGAGAAAUAAAGAGAGAGAGAGGUUAUUAUGAUUUAUUAAUAUGUUAUAAGAAUAAUAUAUUAAAGGAGAAAUCAUAUUUGUUUAAUUAAUAUUGGUCAAUAAUUAAUUAAGAAUUAAUUUGUGAUCAAGUGUAAUUAAUUAAACUAGAGGGGUUGAAUUGUAAUUAUGUGAUAGUUACAAAAUAAGGUAAGGAUUAUCUUAAAUAUAGGGUGAACGAAUUUAAGGAGAUAAUGCCUUAGAAUUCGACUAGGAUAAGGGUUUCUAAGACUUAUCUUAUGGUUGCUUGGUGGGCAAGCAACUAGAUAAGGAUAAGGACUAAAACCCUAAUCUUUACACCUAUAUAAACCCCCUAAGGCUCAUGAAUUCGUCUAAGCCUUACCAAGAAGUCCUAAGGACGAAUUCCUACCUCUAUCCUCUCUCUUUAUACCUUCUCCAUUUGCUCUUGGUGUUUGUGAGCCAUUAGAGGAGUGACACUUGUGACUCUAAGCCUUCCAAAGUCAAUUCAUGGAGAAUUGGGAUUGUUAUUACUACAUAACAAUCAAGGUAACAUCUUAAACCUAAUUAUAUGUUAAUAUCGAUUUCCAUAUGCUAGAAUUAGGGUUUAUAGUCUUGGAUUCAAAGCAUGUACAAUAGAGAAACCUAGAUCCAAGCAUUAGGGUUUGUAUGAGCACAUAGGAUGUCUUAUGACCAAAACCCAUCACAUCUUUCAUUGGCUACUAUGAAGUGUGCACUCUUAGUAAACCGAUCAACGACCACCCAAAUCAUGUCGUGACCGUCCUUCGUUCUGGGCAGUUUAGUGACAAAAUCCAUGGUAAUGUCUUACCACUUAUCCAUGGUUACACAUAAAGGUUCUAAAAUCCUAUAUGGUUUCUGAUGUUGUGCCUUAACUCUCACAUAGGUCACACACUUGGCCACAUACUUUGCAAUGUUGAGCUUCAUCUUCGGCCACUAGUAGUAGGGUUUCAGAUCCCUAUACAUUUUUGUGCUGCCGAGAUGAAUCGAGUACAUGGUCUUGUGAGCUUCUUCCAUCAGAAGAUCUCUUACUUCGCCCAUCUUGGAAUACCUUUAAUCCUUGAUUAUUUGUACCGAAAACCAAGUUUUUGCUUAAACAUUCUUCCUUUUGGUCAUUCUCCUCUAAAACUUCCUCCCAAGCUUUGUUGAUGCUUUCCACAAUCAUUGUGACAACCUCUAUUGAUUGUUUUGAUUAUAUUUCUCUUCAAUCUUCUGUCCUAACUCAGAUGCUACAUGAAACUUGGUUCUCUGAACCAUGUAACAUACUCAUCUUAGUUGGACUCGAUAUGAUACGACCACUAGGGUCAGAAUCAGAAUCAUCUUCUUAGUCAUUACCAAAACGAUGGUAAUGAAGAACUUGAACAAAACAGAAUCAAUUACUAGCUUCUUAGUAACCUUGCGACUUUCACUGAUCCAAGUGCAAGUCCUGUGCUUCCGGUAGUAUAGGCCUCUACUACCAUUCACACCUACUCAUACUCGUUCAAGGUGCUAUCUCACAGUUUUCCAAGUCAUCAUUCAAGAGUUUCACAUAAUCAUUUAACACAUCAGAUAACAAAAUCAAGGUUUUAUAUUAUUUCUUGAAAUGAUUACAUAAAUGUUCAACUUCGUCCUAUACUAUGCCUCUAAUAAGUUGCGCUACAUGAUGCUAUCCACAUGGCCACUUCAUAACUUGAUCUUCGGAUAUCAGUCCUCACUCCUGCUUCCUUGCAUUGUCAGCUGCUUCGUUAAGGAUCAUUUGGAAUGCCCUUGGCUGGGGCGGUGCGUUUGGCCUUGCCGCUUUAUUCUUCCUUGGGCGGUUCUUCAAAAUAUGCCAUCCUUCAUUGCAUUCAUAGCACACCCUCUUGCGGGAUGUACACUCAUUGGCGUAGUGCCCAGGAUUUUCACACUUAAAACAAGUGACCUCCCGUCACAUUUCCCAUGGUGCUUCUUUUUGUACUUUUCACACCAUUUCGCUUCAACUCCUCCUCCUCUCGAACCAGACUUCGAGAAAUUACUUUUCUUGUUGGAUUUCGAAGAUCCAUCAAACUUCCUUUUCUUACCAACCUCUGCCCUCUCCAGACCCUUCUCCCUUAUCCGUGUCUCAACAAUCUUCAUAGCUCUAACGACUGCCUUCAACGUGCUUGCCAUUUUGACUAUUGGGCCAAAGUCUGAUGGCAAUCCGUUAGCAAAUUUCUCUAUCUUGGCGAGUUCAGUCGACACCAAGUAUGGAAAUAACUUCAUCUUCUCAGUGAAUGCAGUAGCAUAAUAAUCAAUGCUUAUUCUCCGUUCUUCAAUUUCUGGAACUCAUUGUUUAGAUCUAUCAUAUCUAUUUCGGAGCAGUACUGCAUUUUCAACUGCAUUAUGAACUCUUCCUUAGACAUUUUCAGAGCUUUUCCUCGUGGCAUCGUAUCCGUUAAUAACUUCGACCAGCUUAAAACUUUGGUCUUUACUUGUUUGACCGCAAAGACAAUUUUUUGUUUGUCGCUAUAGUUGCAGCUUUCAAAUACCAUCUCUAUUUCGACAUGAUCUUCAUUGUGAUUUGACGAAACAUAUUUGGACGGUUAUGCUUUUCAUGGCCAAUUUUCGAAGAAGUACUUCUUUUAAAUUGACGAGUGUGACAUCCACCAUUUUCACGGUCAGAAAAGACUGAUUUUGUUUAUGCUUUAUAAUAAAAUCAGAGUAACCUUUUUAAAGAAAAGUGUUGUGGAAUUUGUUCCUAAAAUAAAAUAUGAUAAAGAUUUAUCAAAACAUUUCCAAAGAAAUGUAUUUCAUUGUAUUAAAACCUUGGGAUGUCAUUAUUAAUACAAAUCAGAAACAUAAGCAGUACAACAUAGGCGUUACAACAUUUAUUUAAAUCUACUAGCCUAUAAACCAUAAUCCUCUCGUCAAGUCAUCCAACUAUGCUCUUGCCACUACCUAUAAUACAAGAAACUGAGCCGGUCAGGCUUGGGAGCCUGGUGAGCACAUAGGGUUUUCAACCCACAAUAAAUAAUUUUGUUAAUUUCAACAAAUGAAAUAAACCAGAUUACCCGUUUCUAUUUAUCCUCACAUUACGUCCCUAAAACAUCUAAUAUAAGGGACAUAGCCUAAGGAUUAUUGUAGCACCUGGUUCCUAGUACGUAAUCCUUGUAAUUAAUAUUUCUUAAUUUUGCAUUUUUGCCUUGGACUUGGCGAGUUGAAGAACCGACUCGUCGAGUAGAAGCGGGAUGAGAAGCGGGGUCUGAGCUUUGGACUCGGCGAGUAGACCCUGUUUGGGCAAAAACCCUAACCAAAGUGUUUGCACCCUAUUUAAACGCUCUAACUUGGCCUCCUUUGUCCCGAACACUCCCAGAGAGCUGAAGAGCGAAACCCUAGCCCCCAUUUUGUUCUUGAGAGUGAUUUUUGGCUUUGUGAAGAAGGUUUGGAGCUUAGAAGAAGAAGAAAUAGGUUGUAGUGUGCAAAGAGGGGAAGUAGAUCCGGAAUCUACACUACAAGAGGCUUCCAUUCAGCCGGAGGAUUACCGAUUCAGCAGUCAGGCGCUUAGCAAGCAGAUUUUCAGCAGCUACUUUUCGAGGUGAGUUACCUUCCAGUAGCGGUGGGUCUAAGGCCACAAUGUCGGCCCACCAGUAGGAGACGUAUGAUAGAUGAGUGUCUUUGUGAUAUCAUCUAGGUUUGUUACUACCUGAUAUGUUAUAUGCUAGCUUGAUGUGUUAUAGUAGUAGAGUUCGGUUGUUAGGACCGAAGGGUAGUCAGAUACCCCAGAUACGUCUGACAGUAUGUGAUGAUAUGUUUGCAUGUUGGCUUGUUAUGUUAUAUGCGAUAGAGGUAGUAGGGGGUGAAAUAGUCCCCGAGGUUCGGUUGUUAGGACCGACGGGUAGUCAGCACCCCAGAAUGGCUUGACAUAGGGAGGGCGGCACCCCAGAAUGGCCGUACAGGUAGGUCGGCACCCCAGAAAUGCCUAGCAGUAUGUAUGUGAUAUGAUUGUAUGGUAUGUGGUACGAUGGGGGGGACUCACUAAGCUUUGUGCUUACAGUUUUCAGUUCUGGUGUCAGGUACCUCUUCAGCGAAGGGGAAGGAGCUGGCGCGGUAGCGGUACAUCAUACACACACAUUGGAUUUCCGCAUUAUGAGAUGUCCUGGGAUUGUACUCUGACAUUAUUAUUAUUUUCAUGUUUUGGGUUUUCAGACACGAGAUUUGUUUUAUGACAUGAUAUGAUCGGAUGAUGUUUUACUGCAAAUGUUUUACAAACCACUUAUUUUAAGUGAAAUUUUUGGGCGUGAAAAUUGGGUCGUUGCAAUUAUCAUCGGGGUAACAACAUUGCUUAGGGGAUACUGUGACAUCCCCAAAAUCUUGGCCAGAAAAGACCGAUUUUCAUUUAUGCUUUUAAAAUAUUUUCAGAGUAAAUCCUUUUGAUUUGAAAGAGUUGCGGAAUUUGUUCCCAAAAACAAAACAUGAUAAAACAAUGUUUACCAAAGCAUUUCAUAAAAGAAAUGUAUUUUCAUUAUAAUCAAAACUCGGGGUGUCAUGUUCCGAUACAGACCAAUAAGCAUAAACGAAUACAUUACAAGUCAUAUAACAAAUAUAAACAUAUGCAGACUUGUAAACAAAACAACUUGAUGGUUCAUCCAUCUCAUGCCCUUCCGCCACUACCUGUAAUACAAUUUAAAACUGAGUGGGUCAGGCUUGGGAGCCUGGUGAGCAUAUAGGGUUUUCAACCCACAAUAAAUAUCAUAUUUAAUUUUCACCAACCAACAAUAACCCAAUUACCCAUUCCCGUUAUUCUCACUUUAAUGUCCCUAAAACAACUAACAUAAGGGACCUAGUCUAAGAAUAUUUCAUCGGGGCGACAACACAUGCUUCGGGGGUACCUCAGCAAUAUAAGUCAAAUAAGGCAACCAUGAGGGGGAUGGAGUACAGCGAAUGAACACCCAAGUUCAUUAACACCUACAGGUGGCGAACCUGCUAAUGUUUCCACAAGACUAUCUAGAAAAGUCCGUGGUCGUCAUCUAAACUCCGCUAGAUGACUAAAUCAAACAACAACGAGGCCUCUCAUCUGUUUAUUACACACCAACUAUCUACCCAUGUUCUACCCAACAUAUUAGUAGAUAAAAAUAUACAUUUUUAUACAUAGUUUAAAAACCUGUAUAGCAUGCUUUAAUCAACACAUAUUUCACAUAACAGAUGAGGCACACACACACAUAACACGUAUCUCAUAGAGAAUAAAUCAUAUCUAUGAGAUAGAAGAAAGUGAAUACACAUUCACACACAUAACCACAAAAUUAUACACAUAAUACGUAUUCCGUAUAAAAUACUUCAUAAUUAUGCGUUAGAAGAAAGUAACUACACACUCACUUGAUCAGAAGAUGAUCGGACAGCACUACGACUUGCAGAAGUAGUAAUCCUCAGCAGAUCUGGAAGAUCUUCACAAAAAUCGAACUUCUCGCGGGCAGAGCUUCGGCUCGGGAACCGCACUUCUCGGGAUCUUCGGGAUCUCGGGACUUGCCUCGGGGCUCGAGUAUGAUACCGGGGCUUCGGGGUAUUUCUGGCACGCAAAACGAUGCAAAACGGGAGAGAGAAGAGAGAAAAUGAACAAAAGAAUCGGCUGCCUUCGGAUCCUAUUUAUAGGAGGCUGAAGCCUCGGAGUACGCGAGGUGUACUGGUCCGAAAAACGUCACUGCUUACGUAUCCGAAGACUCGAGUGCGAAUGUCGACAUCCCUCGGUGUACGCGGGGCGUACUUCGGAUCGGAUUGCUGACUCCCCUUCGGAUAAUACCGGAUUUUCUAAUAAAAAUUAAAUACAAAUUAUUUAAUAAACUUCGGAAAUUCAUCUCUUCUUCAUACGAACUCCGUUUUCGACGUUCUUUAUAUCCACGCGAAGGUGAGACUACGCUCUACAACUUUCGUUUAGACUCCGUCGGCUAAUUUUAACUUUAUUUUUAUUAUUUAUUUUUAAUAGGCCGGGACAGAAAAACUUCGUUAUAAAUUCAUAACUUCUUCGUUUGACGUCCGUUCUCGCCUAACUUUUUAUCGCUUCGAGACCAACAACGAGACCUUCGAUCCUCGUUUAGGUUGCUUCGGCUCAAAACCGCUCGAUCUCAAAUCGAGUAUUUCGGGCUGCACACCGCUAAACCGAAACUUCGAUAAAUCAUAACUUCCUCAUACGAAGUCAGAUUUGGGCGUUCUAUAUAUACAUUCGUAAACCUCGUUUCAACUACUACAUCAUCAACCAAAGAUAUCAAGUUUAUUUUACACUUUAAUUUUGACGCUUAUUUUUAUUCUUAAUUAAUCAAACCACAUAAUUAAGCAAUUAAGCACAAAACACAUAAUACUCAAAUAAUACAAUCAUAUUAUUUCAAAACGGGUUACAAAGGUUAACUUAGACUAUUACAUUGCUAAAAAUGGCAAGCCCGGAAACACAGGCGUUACAGAUACCUCAACAUUUUAUGUCAAAUAAGGCAACCAUGAGGGGGAUGGAGUACACCUGGUGAACACUGAGUCCAAAUAAACACCUACAGGUUGCGAGCCUGCUAGCGUCCCAUUGGACUGUCUAGAAAAGUCUAUGGUCGUCAUCUAUACUCCGCUAGAUGACUAGAUCAUCGUCAAUAUCGAGGCCUCUCAUCAUUUUAUUUCAUCACACGCCAACUAUUUCAUCUACCCACGUUUUACCCAACAUAUUUGUAGACAUAAAUUACAUAUACAAUUCAGAUCUAAAAAACAAAAUNUAUAUAUAUAGUUUAGAUCUGAAAAGAAAAGUCUAGAUCUGAAAUGAGAAAGUUUGGAUUUGAAGGAAACAGUUCAGAUCUGAAAGAAAGAGUUUAGAUUUGAAAGAAAAGUUCAUAUCUAAAAAGAAAAAGGUUUAGAUCUUUCUUCCAACAUAGAUCUCAGGUAAACAGAUAAUAUAUAUACACAUAACACGUAAUUUAUAUAAAAUAGUUUAGAUCUGAAAAGAAAAGUCUAGAUCUGAAAUGAGAAAGUUUGGAUUUGAAGGAAACAGUUCAGAUCUGAAAGAAAGAGUUUAGAUUUGAAAGAAAAGUUCAUAUCUAAAAAGAAAAAGGUUUAGAUCUUUCUUCCAACAUAGAUCUCAGGUAAACAGAUAAUAUAUAUACACAUAACACGUAAUUUAUAUAAAAUAUUUCAUAUUUAUGUGUAAGAAGAAAGUAAAUACACACUCACAUGAUAAGGUGGCGAUUCGGACAACGUUUUGCUUCUUAAAAUAAUCUCCAUUGAUGAAACCGGGAAGUUUGGUUGAAAACCGGGCUCUGCGGGGGGGCAAAGUUUCUAAACCGAAAAACUCUUUUUCUCGGAGACUUCGGGCGCUCCGGGGCUUUCUUCUAGUGCUAAGGAGGUCCCCUAGGCUUCGGGGGUGUUUAGGGUGGAUAGAGAGAGAAAGAGAGAGAGAGAGAGAGAGAGAGAGAGAGUAGAGUAGAGAGUGAAAGAAGUGUGAAAUAUGUGAGAAAACAUGGCUAGCCUCGCAUCCUAUUUAUAGUCAGGAGGUCUCGCAUUACGUUGGGCGUUCCUCGGUCUACAUGGGGUGUUCCUCGGUACGCAGGGCGUACCCUCGUACGCGGUACGGUUUGCGAGGUUCGGAUUUGUCACCCUUCAGAUGGAGCUAUGUGGCCAAUUCCGGACCUAGCCUUUGCGAACGCGGGGUGUUCUCUUCGGAUAGCCUCGAAAUAUGUACCUCUUACUUCAAAAAUUCAUAUAUUUUGCAUACGAGCUCCGUUUUCGACGUUAUUUAUAUCCACGCGUAGGCAGGACCGUACUCUACAACUUUUGUUUAGACUCAGUUGGCUAAAUUUGACUUUAUUUUUAAAGUUAUAUUUUUAACAGGCCGGGACAGGAAAAGUCUAUUAAAAAUUCAUAACUUCUUCAUCCGACGUCCGUUUUCGUUUUUCUUUUAACCGUUGAACUACUAUUGACGAGAUCUUCGAUUCUUGUUUAGGUUGUGUCGGAUAAAAAUCCCUCGAUUAUAAUUCGAGCUACGGGCUGCACACUGCUAUGCUAAAUCUUAGAAAAUUCAUAACUUCCUCGUACCAAGUCAGAUUUGGACCUUCUUUUUAUGCACGCUCUUGAUUUAACGUAUACUAGGAUUUUCAUUUAGAUCGCUAAGGCUAAAAUGCACUUUAUCGUAAACUCACUUUUUACGUCACGCAAUAUCGUGCUAGUUUUGUCGUGAAACUUUAACAGGUCAUAACUUUUUUGUGAUAACUUGGAUUUCGGCAUUCUUUAUAUGUCCGAAAUCCUUGUCACGACCACUACAACUUUCUUCAUAGAUAUCAGAUUUAUAUAACAUUUUAUUUUUGAUGCUUAUUUUCAUUCUUAAUUUAUUAUAUCAUUAUAAAUAAGUAUAUAAUCACAUAAAAUCACGUAAUUCACAUAAUAUUCAAGUAAUUCAUCUUUAUUACUUUAAAAUAGGUUACAAUAGUUGACCUUGACUAUUACAUCAUCAUACUAAUGUUUAGCCCAGAAACAAGGGCAUUAGAACGAGUAUGUUACUAGGGAGAAGAGAAAGAAAAAGAGAAACGGAAAACAUGAAGGUUUCACGAGAACUUCUCACUGAUAUCACUAUUCCCGUCGGUAACGUCAUGGACAUUGCCGGUGAUAAGGUUACCUCGUUACCAGAGGCAUUUUCGGUGAAAAACGACAUGAGUGAAGCUUUUCAUCGGAGUUGAUAGAGAGAAAAAGAGUAACACGGAAGAGGGAAGAAUGAAGUCGCUAAGGGUAUUAUUCGUGUCACACUUUAGCAACGAUACCAUUUAGUGGUGUCGAAAGACAUUUGUGGCAACUCGAAACGUAAUAGUCGCGACACACUUUUGAGGGAAUAAUUGGCAGAGGGUUCGAGUAUUAGCGGUGACACCGUUGCUGGUAUUAGUUAGUGGUGUGUAUGGGGCGGUUUGGUUCGGUUAUUGGUUAAAACCGAACCAUAACGAUUAUGAUUGGUUAAUGCAUUUUGGUAGCCAUUGGGUAUGGUUAAUAUUGGUUAUGGUUAGUAGUUUUUAUCGGUUAACGGUUUUGGUUAAUGGUUAAUAUUGGUUAACCAUAAUGUUCAAAAUAAUAUAAACGACGAAAGUAUUUUGGCAUGAAAAAUGAAAAUAAAAUACCAAAAAGUCCUCGACGCCGAUGUUUGUAACCUAACUUAUAGUAAUAUAAUAAAAUGUGUAUCUGUAAUACUUAGAGUGAGAUAACACAUAGUCACAUUUAAAAUCAAAAAUAUUUAAUAAAAAUAUAAAACAUUAAAAAAAUUGACAUUAAUAAUUUCAUAUAUUGAUAAUUGAUAUUAAUAUUAAAAUAAAGUCAAACAUUCAUACACGUUCAAUACGAUUAAAUUAAAACUAUUAAAUAAAAAAGCCAAACAUUCAUAUUCUGUGUUAUUAGAUAUAAAAAAAAAAAAAAGUCAAUCACUCAUCUACAUUCAAUGUGAUUAAGUCAAAAACACUAAAAAAAUUCAAAAAAUUAAAAAAAAAUACAUUCUUAAUAUAUCACAUAGUUAAAAAGAACCAAAAACUUAACUUACCUAGAAGUCUUGAGUAUAAAGUCAAAAAAAUCCUUCGAAUAGGACUAUAAAGUCCAAACAAUCUUUGAUUAUGAUUAACGGUGUGAGAAGCCUUCGAUUAGGAUUAUGAGUGUGAAGAUUAAACUAAUUGUGAAUAAUGUUUACAAAUUGUAGAAUUAGCCGAUUAUGAAUUACAACAUUAAUUAAUAAUCUAACUCAAUGUAUGAUUGGAAGAUUAUGUGUGUCUGAGUGAUCAGUCUUUGAUGAUUUGAUUGCUCGUUCGUCUCCUGGUAAGUGAAGAUUAAUAGAUUAUAUUUUCAAAAUUUUAAUGGAUCUUAAAUAAGUUUGACUAUAUNUCUCUUUCUCUCUCUCUCUCUCUAUAUAUAUAUAUAUAUAUAUAUAUAUAUAUUAAAAUAUAAAGUUAGCGGUUCGGUUAAUAAUGGUUCGGUUAACCUAUAAAACCAUAACCGAACCGUUAGUUAUUGGUUAACAAAAAUUAGAAACCGAACCAACGGUUUUUAAAAUGGUUCGGUUAUAACGGUUAAUUUGGUUUUGGUUCGGCUUUUCGGUUAUUAUGCUCACCCCUAGUAUUAGUUUCGCCGUUAUUGUUAUGUACGAAAUCAUUUUUCAAGUGUUGGAUUAUGACAAAAUCGACGAAUAGGGUUUAACCUCAGAUUUUGACGCGGAUCGGGGUUGAUGAGUUUCGCCUUUAGCGGUGACAACCACCAUUACAACGAGACCUAAUCUAAAUGUUGGGUAUCGCUUGUAAUGGUGGUUGUCGCAACUAAAGGAUUCGCCACUGAAGUCCUAUAUUGUUGUAGUGAUAAAUGUUAAACCUAAACACCAAUUUAAACACACCAACCACUAGAAAUUGGUGGCGACAAGUUCAUGGCAUUAAGAGCGAUAACAAAUGGUGUAUAAAUCCAUUAUGAUCUUCGUUGCGAUUUAACAGAACAUAUUUGGACGGUUAAUGAUUUUGAAGCUCAAUUUUGGAACAAUUUUUUUUUUGAUCCAUCAUGUUAUUAAGUUUUAAGUUUUUAAUUUUUUGAGUUGUUAUGGUUUAGUUUCUUGUUGUGUAAUUUUUAUUUUGAUUUAAUAUAAAAUUUAGUUUUUAAAAAAUUAAUUGCUAAAAAAAGUACUGAUGUUAAAAAAAUGAUGUUAAUCCGCCUAACCUAAAUGUAAAUGGUAUGUUGAAGACGGUGUGUAGCAAAAUCAAAUAUAAGCUGCUGGUUGAUGCAUCGGGUAUUGUAUUACGUGAGGUUGAUAGUUUGAUUUGUUGAAAUUAUCUUUUGUGUGUUUGAGAAUUCUUUUAUGGAAGUCCCUAUAAAAAGGAGUUCAAACUCAAAUGUUGGUUGAAAUAUUGCGAGUACACUUCACUUAAUUUGAUUGCGGUUAGGAAGCAAUUUAAUUUCUCAAAAGAUUAAAUGCCACUAAUAAAUUAAAAAAAUAAACUAAAAAUCAACACCAAAUUAAUGCCAAAGCUUUAAACCAUAUAUUACUAAAUUAAUUCACAUACGCCAUCAAAAAAAAAUUCAUGUCACAAACCCAUACUCAUAAAACUCACUUUCCAGGUACAAAGUUUGUAGCAUAUGACCAUGCAUUGUUUGCAACAGGGUCAGCAAGGUGGUCAGCGAGGUUCUCCAAUGGUCCCUUUCCGGUAACAAUGGCUUGAACAAAGAAUCCAAACAUAGAGAACAUGGCUAGUCUACCGUUCUUGAGCUCCUUCACUUUCAGCUCAGCAAAUGCCUCUGGGUCAUCAGCCAGACCCAAUGGGUCGAAGCUACCACCAGGGUAAAGUGGGUCAACUACCUCACCAAGAGGUCCACCAGCAAUUCUGUAACCUUCAACUGCACCCAUCAAGAUCACUUGGGUAGCCCAGAUGGCUAAAAUGCUUUGUGCAUGGAUCAAACUUGGGUUCCCCAAGUAGUCAAGACCACCCUCACUAAAGAUCUGGGAUCCAGCCUUGAACCAUACAGCCUCACCAAACUUGACACCAUUACGCGCCAAGAGUUCGGGGAAGACGCACCCAAGAGCUCCGAGCAUGGCCCAUCUGCUGUGGAUGACCUCAAGCUCACGGUUCUUGGCGAAUGUUUCAGGAUCAGCAGAGAGCCCAGCAGUGUCCCAACCGUAGUCACCGGGGAACUCACCGGUCAGGUAAGAUGGGGCUUCGCCGGAGAAUGGGCCAAGGUACUUAACACGGUCGGGGCCGUACCAUGGACUUCCUGAUGGUGCGACUUUCUUGACUGCUGUCUUCCUCAUGGAAACCCUUCCAUUUCCGGUGAUUUCUGAACCAGAUGGUGUUAUUUUCACUGCUUGUCCGAUGAAUGAAGAAGAUACAGACAUAGUGGAAGCUGCCAUUCUGUUAAAUUUGGUUGAAAGAUGUUGUGGAGAUAGGAGAGUUUGAGUUAUGAAGAUGGGGAGAUCUGCAAGUUUAUUUAUAAGGUGGUUUUUUGGUCAGAUAGAUAUGAUCGAUGCUUAUCUAGAUACAAUCUUCACCUUCAUUUUGAUUGGCAAACAACAUUCUAGUUUUAUCUAAGGGUCAGUAAUCUGCGUGCUGUGAGUUCUCUGGUCCACCAGAGAUUUUUGAAGGGGCUGCGGUAUAUUCAUGGCUCUGGUUUAUUGAGGGAAUGUAAUGGCUCCCAUUCUCAGCCACAAGCUGUUCUUGGUGGGGUUUUUCAUCUUUAACCAUUUUACAUUUUCACAAAGUUACAUAAAUAGUCAUCAUGCUUUACAAAGUCACCGGUUCAGCAACAAACUUUUUUUCCAUGAUUAAAAAUUCAAAACGGUCCGUAUGGUUUUAAUAUUAUUAGUAAUCAUCUUAACAUUUCUAAUUUUUAAAGACAAAUAUUCAUAUAAAUGGUUAUGUGAUUUUCCAGAAUAUCAAGUGGAGCACAUCAUUUUUUCGGUCUUAUGGAAUGACUAUUUGGUUUCAAUUCCUAUCAUAAUUGAUCUUAGAGCAUCCACAAUAGGGGAGUUUAAUGGAAGAGUUGAAUGAGGUGUCAUGCCUACUUGUCAUUCAAUGGAUACAACUCCACCAUUGUGAAAUGCCACCUUGGCAUUCAAUGAAUUUGGAGUUCAAUGGUCAUUGAACUCUUCAAUGGGAAAAAGGAAAAUCUUUAAAUCUUUAAAUAAAUAUUUUUUAAUAUAUUCCAUUGAACUUGUAGAGUUUAAUGCAUUGUGGGAUAAAAAUGAAAAGAGUUGUAUGGAAUAAUGAAUGAUGACGUGACACUCCAUUGAACUCUAUAGAGUUCAAUGCAUUGUAGAUGCCCUUAGUCCCACAUAAAUAAACUUUUAUACCCUUCUAUAUUAUAAUUAGUUUAUUUAAUAUAUAAAUAGCUAUGUUUUAUAGUUAACAAUAAAUUUUGUUCAUNNNNNNNNNNNNNNNNNNNNNNNNNNNNNNNNNNNNNNNNNNNNNNNNNNNNNNNNNNNNNNNNNNNNNNCUCUCUCUCUCUCUCUCUCUCUCUCCCAUCACACCCUCCUAAUCUUUAUUUCUUUCACUCGAUCGGUCAACCUCUUUUCUUUCUACAUAAAAAUUAAUCCAAAAUGCAGCCUUUUCCCAUACUCUGUGCUUGCACCGCCACUUUACCUUCUUGAAACCAAAUUACUAACCAUACACAAGUCUACAAAUCUACUAAUGUGUCUUCCAUUUCUCAAAAUCGAAAAAUAGAGAAGGUGUAGAACAUUGAGCUCACUUCUGUGCAUCUCCCACCUCUUUUACACAAAUAUGAAAUUAAAAUUGAAGAACAACUUUGUGAAGAACCUAGAUUGUGGAGAUGAUGAUGAAUAAAGUCGAUAGUUGGUGGUGCUCGGUGAUGUUUGAUGUUAGCGGCAGUACACUAGUGUUGUGGUGAUCGCCUGUUCAGUUGGUUAUAUUCUGGUAGGGUGGACGAUGGUGACCGUAGAACAGUUCAUAUAUAUAUNNNNNNNNNNNNNNNNNNNNNNNNNNNNNNNNNNNNNNNNNNNNNNNNNNNNNNNNNNNNNNNNNNNNNNNNNNNNNNNNNNNNNNNNNNNNNNNNNUAUAUAUAUAUAUAUAUAUAUAUGUGUGUGUGUGUGUGUGUGUGUGUGUGUGUGUGUGUGCGCGCGCACACUACAAGAAAUUUAGGUGUUUAUCCACACACGUUAUAUGUGGCUAAAAGACCUUUAUGUGUAGUUAUCUUUAGCUACACACAGAUUAAGUGUCAUAAUGUAUUGACUCAUGCCUAUAGAUAUAUAUCAUUAACUAUACAUUCAUUAUGUGGAAGUAUAGUGCAAUUAGUACACACAUACAUGUGUGGUUAAAACUAGUAAGUAUGUGCAUAUAGAAAGGGAGCUGAUCCGUUCACAACAAUUUUUCUCCAUACACAAUAAUUGAUGCUUUAAAAUGUUGUAUUAUACAACUAUAUAAUGCAUGAAUUGUUGUGUAUGGCAAAAAACUGUUGUGUACGAAUCACUUCCCAUAUAGAAGUACUAAAAAUUGUUUGAGUUGUCAACGAUGUGGCUGAUGACAUGUCAAAUUAUGUGGCAAGCCCACACAAAGUGUUGGUGAUAUGUGUUAUUCGAUAUGUGUGGGUAAUAAUUGUUAUAUGUGUAGGUUAAGAUAAGAUAUAUGAAAUAUAUAAAACACAAUAAAUGAAAUAUAAAAUUUAACAACACAAAUUGUUAUUACUUUUAAUAAGGAGUUAACGAUAUAUAAAACUUCUUUUGGAAUGGAAGUAUGUAGCACCCAAAGUCAGAAAGGCCAAGAAAGGAAAGGAAACCCUAAGUUUAAGGGACGACUCAGCAAGUCCAAGGAGGUACUCGGCGAGUCCGAGCGGGAUCCGGGUCGAGGAGUAAAUGACCGACUCGGCGAGUCGGCCAAGGAGACUCGGUGAGUCUGGUCUGUACGAGGAAAUCCCUAAAUUCGGGACUUGGAGCCUAUUUAAGCGCCUCAUUCUCUUCUCUAGGGUUCCUCUACUGCCUCUCUAACCNCUCAACCCCACCCCCGCCCCGCCAUAUCCAUUGUUGAGCCAAUUAUUGCUUUGAAGAGUGCAUUAAAGCUUGGAGAAGGAAGAAGGACCUUGGAGGUGCAAGAAGGAGCUAUAGAUCUGGGCUUGGGAAGAUAUUUCUGAACAUUUGGAGGUAAUAAACUAGUUCUUGGACUCCUUUGCACCUAGAUCUAUGUGUGAGUUUUGGGGCUUUUGGCCAUGAUUGGUACCCAUUUAAGUUAGAAGCCAGAUCUAAAGUUGCUACUUCGGAUAUAAGCAUAUUAUGGGCUUGUGAAGCAUAAAGUAUCAGCCCUUGAGUUGAUUAUGGAGCCUCUUUGCAUUAAACCCUAUUUUAUGGUGUGUCUAGCCUAGAUCUCCUUCUCUACACGUAAAGUUUGCAACUUUACGUGAGGAAUAGGCUUGGGAAGGGUAGAUCUACAGUUUGGGGUCCAUGCAUGACUCAAAAGUCCUCUACAUGUAUGUAGAUCUGAAUGGACUCGGCGAGUCCUUUGAGUGGACUCGGGGAGUAGCAUGAAGAUUAGGAGGAACUCAACGAGUGGGAUGAACAGCUCAUCGAGUCGGAUGAAGUUGGGCAGGAACUCGGCGAGUUGGAAGAACAACUCGGAGAGUCGGUUGAAGAUUGCCUUGGACUAGGUGAGUCUGUUCUUGGACUCGGCGAGUCAGGUCGCGAAACCCUAAACCCUUCGACUUGAGACUCGAAUCAGUGAGUCGAGUGGAGACUCGGUAAGUUGGACAGGUCAGGACUCGGAAAUCGGUAGACUCGGCGAGUCAUGGACUGACUCGGUGAGUCGAGUCGCGAUUGGAAGGACUUAGAGCAUAUGAACUCGGCGAGUCAAUAGGUAGACUCGGCGAGUAGGGUUGACCUGGAAGAUUGACUUUGAACAGGACUUUGACUUUGACCAGAGUUGACUUAGUUGACUGUUGGGGGUCAGUUAGUCUAAGUGUUUCAUUGAUAUUGGUAGCUCGGGGAGCUAGUGGAGCAGGAGUUCAGAGAGUUUCCGGGCAGCAUCCAGAAGGUUAUCAGCAUGUUCAGCAAGUGCAUGUGAGUUUCCCUUUGUGCCAAUGGGUCUACGGUCACAAUGUCGGCCCAUGUAGUUAUGAGUAGAAGACCCGGGGGUUAGCCCUAGGCACAGUAUGCUAGUAUGAUAUUCAGGACGAGGUCCAAUGAUAGCGGGCGGGUGCCCAAGGAAUGGUUUAUGUGAUAGUUUAUACUUGUUGUAUGUGUGAUACUUGUAUGUGUCUGGUAGGGAGGUGAGUGUGGGCGAGGUCCCGUAUCUCACCAAUAGCAGAGUGUGGAUGGUGUUCCACAUCUCAGUAGCAGCAGAGCAGGGGCGAGGCCCAAGUUAGGGAAGGAGUGAGGGUGGGCUGGGCCCGUACCUCACUAUCAGCAGGAGUAUGGACGGGGUUCCAUGACUCAUCAGUAGCAGGACAAGGGCGGGGCCCAGAGAUAGGCGAGGCCUUAGGACAAGAUCCGUUAGUAUGUGUUUAGCUUAUGUGAUGUGAUGUGAUAUGUUUAUGUGCUAUUAUAUGUUAGUGGGCGAGGCCCUGUGACAGGCGAGGCCUAAGUGAAACAGAUCUGUAUCCGAGCGGGGCUCGAAGCCAGGCGGGGCCUGGAGCGGCGGGGCCGUUGUAGCGGGCGAGGCCCGAGGUAGGGGGGGAGGCCCAGGAUAGCGGGCGUGGCCCAGCGUGUGCAGUAUGUGGUUAUGCAUGGUAUGUGGUAGGGUGGGGAACUCACUAAGCUUCGUGCUUACGGUUUUCAGUUUUGGUUUCAGGUACUUCCGGUAGCGGAGGGAAGAGCUCGGGGGUGAUCGCAUGGCACACACCAUAGAUUAGACAGUCUGGGAAUGUUUUACUCUGACAAUGAACAUGUGUUUUGGAAAAUUAAUACUCUGAUUAUGUUUUGAAUUGGUGACCUUGCUUAAAGAAAUCUUUUAUUAAAAGAAAUUUUUAGUCAUGAAUUUUGGGACGUUACAAGUUGGUAUCAGAGCCUUGGUUUGAGGGAUUCGGGCAUACUCUCGGGUGUGCCUGAACUCAAACUAAGGGGUCGGAUAAAAAGUUUUCAAAAUGAAAAGACAGUUUUCUAAAAAGAGAGUUUUGGGAAAGAAAACAGUUUUAGAAAAGCAAAAAGAAUUCAGAAAGAAAAGAACUUUGAAAAGAAAAAAAUGGUGUGGUGCAUGCAAUCAGCUGGUCUUAAGUAAGUACCCCAAAUUACCCAUACAAGUUUAUGUUAUGAUUAUCAGUUAGUAGAACAGCAUGCUAGAUUAGGACUAAGGAUCUAGGGAGGAUGCCUUAUGUGCCUAUUAUAUGUGCUUUGAGUUGCAUGAUAGUGUUGAUUAGACAGUGGUAGGAUAGCCUGUUUAGGUUAUGCCUGAGUAUAUGAGUUUGUGUUGCAUGCUAGUUCAGAUUCUUGCUAUGUGGAUAUGAUUGCUUAUGUAUGUUAUGGUUAGAUUUUCCCCUUGUCUGAAUGCUGCCUGCUUUGUGCAAUAUGGGAUUCCGAGUGAUGGGAGUAACCAUUAGGUGGAUACGUCACGUCACAUGUGAUCAGGGUUGAAUAAUCUCAGAGUGCUAAAUUUGGCCCUAUUUCGCAGCUCUCGUUUGAGUCCAACCAUUGUAGGGAUGAGUCUUUUACUCGAAGAAUUAUCUGAGCCUUGUCACAUGUGAUGGUGUCCAGUUGAUGGCCAAUUGGCAUCACAAGGAGUCCUUCAGCAGCUGAGGCCUGGUUUGGUGUGAGUCAGAGGUUUCCUUAGGGUAAGCCUAGGAUGAGAUAGUGUUGGGAGCAGUAGUAGUGGAUAAGGGACCUGGUGGAGUCGAAGCAAUUCCNGAGGAAAGUACAGAUAGAUAUGGAUGGUAGUAUGGGCCCGUACUACUGAAAGCAGAGGAUCCGUACUCGAUUCGGGAAAGGCUGAGACAAGACCGAGAACCUAGUAGGGUGAGUGUGUGUCUGGUCUCACAGCAGUGAUAAGUAUUCUGAUAGAGGAUGUAUUAUAUAUUCAGCAUGGUGACAUUGCGAGAGAGACCAGUGGGUGGACCAGGCGCCGGAGAGGGAUCGCUCGGGGUCNAGCAGCUCGAGGAGCGGAUGAGGGAGUUGAUAUCAGCUGAGGUUACGCGCAGUAUUCUAGAUCAGACUCCUGUGAUCUUUGGCACGGUCAAGGAGGGUAUAUUGGAGAUUUUGGAUGAGAGGCUGGGAGCCUUCCGUACCGAGAUGAUGGCAUUGAUGGGAGCACGUACCUUGACAUUUCGAGAGUUCAGGGCUUGCGGGGCACCAGAUUAUCAUGGGGCUAGGGACCCCAUCGCUAGCAGCAGAUGGUUGGUUGAUGUUGCCAAUGCAUUCCGUACGAGCCGGUGUCCUGAGGGGGACAAGGUUAGGCUCGCUUCUUGUCUUCUGAAGAACAGAGCAAGGGAUUGGUGGGAGGAGAUUAGUCAUGCCUUGGGGGAUGAUGUCGCGUUGGAUGCGAUGACUUUGAGCGAUUUCUCGUCCAGGUUCAGGGCGGAGUUUUCGCCGAUUAUUGAGGUGCAGCAGUUGCCACAGGAGUUUCAGGAUUUGACGCAGACCACUGAGACUGUGGCGGAGAUCACCGCCAAGGUCAGGGAGAGGGCUCUUCUUGUACCGCAGUGUGUCGCGGAUGAGGAGAUGAAGAAGGCCCGAUACCAUGAGAUGUUGAGGGAUGAUAUCAGGGUGUUCGUGAUCAGGUCCAGCUGUAAGACGCUAGAAGAUAUGAUUUCUCGAGCUAGAGAGAGGGAAAUUGAUUUGGAGCAGAUCCGGAAGAGGAAGCCGGAUGAGGUUUAGGUAGCCACAGGUUCGGGCAAAAGGCCUAAGGGAUCAGAUUCGAGAUCGAGGGAUUAUCAGGACCGCAGUCGGUGCGGGAAGUGUGGCAGGGCGCACAGGGGUGCGUGUAGGAGUGGUAGCGGUGGUGAUUCUGGCUGCUUCAAGUGCGGUCGGACUGGUCAUUUCAGUAGAGAUUAUACUGUUACCACCACACAGGGAUCAGACUUGAUAUGUUUUCACUGCAAUCAGCGGGGCCACAAGAAGGCCCAGUGCCCCAGUUUGUUUUCAAUAGGACGGGUGAUGACACUUGCCCCUGCAACUUUGAGGAUCACAGACGGCCGUCAGGGCCGUGCAGAGGCGCCUGCGGUAGGAGGCAGGUCUUUUCAGAUGACUACCUUGGAGGCGCGAGCAGCACCGGACGUUGUAGGUAUGCGAUUUUGUUUUCAGUUCUUUUAUUUGUGCAUGAUUAUAUUGUUAUGGUUCUGGAUCAUCAUUGGUUUGAGUAUUUUAUUUUUUGAGCGGUUGAUUGUGAUCGAGUUAUAUGCCAUCUUAAUACCUUGGAUAUUUGAAUGGUAGUUAGGAGAUGUGCUCUAUUAGAGAAGGUUUCAUAGGAUGCAGUAAUUGUAGCAUGCCUGGGAGGGACUUGGUAUGUCUCGCUAGAUCGGAGUUGUAUAAUGUUAGAGAUGGAUUGGUUAGAUCCCUAGCUAUGGUGAGCUUGGGUUCCUCAGCAGCUUGAUUAUGGAAUGGUAGCAAGGAUUGGGAUUCUUUUGAGUAUUGAGCAGCAAGGGGUAAGCAGGAUCGAAGUGGGGGAGAAUCCUCCGAGUGUGCAAAGGUAGGAUCACGCAGACCCAAAAUGAGUGCGCGACCUCCGAGAAGGAAAAGAAGUAGUUCAGCGUUUGAUGGAUUGAGGAUUUCAGGGUUGGGAUUUUGAGAAACUCCCCAUCAGCUAGUGCGUGUGAUGGUGAUGGUUAGUAUGUGGUUGGGAAUUCAGGUUGUGGAUCGCCCGUAGGACUCGAGGGAGUCGGAAUGAGGAUCUUGAGAGCUAAUGGCACAUGGGUGCCUUCGUAUUAGCAGUCAGUGGUAGAAAGUGAUGUAAGACUACGGGGCAGCCGUAGCAUUCACUAACAGUUAGUGGUAGAAAGUGAUGUAAGACUACGGGGCAACUAUAACACUCACUAGUAGUCAGUGGUGGAAGUGUUGUAAGACUACGGGGCAACCAUAGCAUUCACUAGCAGUCAGUGAUGGAUGGUGAUGUAAGACUACUAGUAAGCCGUAGCAUUCCUUAGUAGCUUCGUUAGCGGAGUUGGGGCGAGGCCCUUAUCUCCUAGCGAUCAGAUAGGGAUCAGGAAUGGGUAGUGGAUGAAAGUGAUAGGAAGUUUGCUUGUAUAGCCCUAGAGAGGUGAGACCUUGGGAGAGGCCGCUCCAGGAUAUAGUUGGGUGAGGCCUGUGGGCGAGGCCCGUAUGAGAGUAGCGGUAUAGGUGAGACCUGAGAGUAGGGUUGCUCAGUAGUAUGGCCGGGUGAGACCCGUAGGCGAGGCCCGAGAGAGAGUGGUUAGACAAGUAGGACUAGAAGGAUAGAGGCGGGGGGGACCCGUGGGCGAGGCCCGUGUGUUUUAGCGGCAUAGGGGGGACCUGGUAAGGACCUUAGUGUCAAGAUAAGGGAUCGGGGAUCCAUGGAUUGUAGUGACUGAAUGGCAGAAUAGAUUGCGCAGUUAUAGGUGGUCAAAGUUCCUUCGAAAGUCGCUGGGAGCGACUAGGAGUAGUGUUGGGACUAGCGACCGGUGGGAUCCGGUAAUCCAGAUAUUGGUAGGACGGUAGGGAUUAGGGUGGUCUCAGUUCAUCCGGAAGGCAGAUAAGGAAUAGCAGAAUUUUCAGUCAGUAGUAGUGCGGGUAAGCAGUGUAUGGUGGAAUUCAGUUAGUUGUAUCGAGGGGUGCUCGACACCAAGUUUUGACAGAGAGGAGUGUCAGUGGUUACUGGCGGUGAUGACCUGUACUGGAAGUAGCGGGGGUGAUGGAGUUGGCGAAGGAUAUGACCUUCACAGUGACAGAGGAAAUAGUUGGUUAUGGAGCAUUGCCUUGGGAAGGCAAGGAAUUCGCACAAGGAAAGAAGGGGUGAACCCCUAUAGGUUCAGUACAGUACUCGGUGAGUACCGGAAGGAUUGUCGGUUGAGUAAGUUGUGUUUCCAGGAUGUUCAGGGUCAGGGUGACCUGAGUCUAUUAUCCGCAAGGAAUGAUGUUAGUCAGAAUGACCGGGCGGAAGACCAGCGAAGGUAGGCAGCUGGUGUUGGAAUGAUUAGUUGGGUAUUGAAAGCAUAUCGCAGGCAGUGGCCCAUAGCAAACUUCGAGGAUGAAGUUUAGUUUAAGUGGGGGAGAGUUGUAACACCCAAAGUCAGAAAGGCCAAGAAAGGAAAGGAAACCCUAAGUCUAAGGGAUGACUCAGUAAGUCCAAGGAGGAACUCGGCGAGUCCGAGCGGGAUCCGGGUCGAGGAAUAAGUGAACGACUCGGCGAGUCGGCCAAGGAGACUCGGUGAGUCUGGUCUGUACGAGGAAAUCCCUAAAUUUGGGACUUGGAGCCUAUUUAAGCGCCUCAUUCUCUUCCCUAGGGUUCCUCUACUGCCUCUCUAACCCAGAACACCAAACCCUAGCCGCCAUAUCCGUUGUUGAGCCAAUUAUUGCUUUGAAGAGUGCAUUAAAGCUUGGAGAAGGAAGAAGGGCCUUGGAGGUGCAAGAAGGAGCUAUAGAUCUGGGCUUGGGAAGAUAUUUCUGAACAUUUAAAGGUAAUAAACUAGUUCUUGGAAUCCUUUGCACCAAGAUCUAUGUUGAGUUUUGGGGCUUUUGGCCAUGAUUGGUAUCCAUUUGAGUUAGAAGCCAGAUCUAAAGUUGGAACUUCGGAUCUAAGCAUAUUUUGGCCUUGUGAAGCAUAAAGUAUCAGCCCUUGAGUUGAUUAUGGAGCCUCUUUGCAUUAAACCCUAUUUUAUGGUGUGUUUAGCCUAGAUCUCCUUCUCUACACGUAAAGUUUGCAACUUUACGUGAGGAAUAGGCUUGGGAAGGGUAGAUCUACAGUUUGGGGUCCAUGCAUGACUCAAAAGUCCUCUACAUGUAUGUAGAUCUGAAUGGACUCGACGAUUCCUUUGAGUGGACUCGGCGAGUAGCAUGAAGAUUAGGAGGAAUUUGACGAGUGGGAUAAACAGCUCGUCGAGUCAGAUGAAGUUGGGCAGGAACUCGGCGAGUUGGAAGAACAACUCGGCGAGUCAGUUGAAGAUUGCCUUGGACUUGGCGAGUCUGUUCUUGGACUCGGCGAUUCAGGUCACGAAACCCCAAACCCUUCGAGUUGAGACUCGAAUCAGUGAGUCGAGUGGAGACUCGGUGAGUUGGACAGGUCAGGACUCGGAAAUCGGUAGACUCGGCGAGUCGAGUCGCGAUUGGAAGGACUUUGAGCAUAUGAACUCGGCGAGUCAAUAGGUAGACUCGGCGAGUAGGGUUGACCUAGAAGAUUGACUUUGACCAGGACUUUGACUUUGACCAGAGUUGACUUAGUUGACUGUUGGGGGUCAGUUAGUCUAAGUGUUUCAUUGAUAUUGGUAGCUCGGGGAGCUAGUGGAGCAGGAGUUCAGAGAGUUUCUGGGCAGCAUCCAGAAGGUUAUCAGCAUGUUCAGCAAGUGCAUGUGAGUUUCCCUUUGUGCCAAUGGGUCUACGGUCACAAUGUCGGCCCAUGUAGUUAUGAGUAGNGGAAGGUUGACUUUGACCAGGACUUUGACUUUGACCAGAGUUGACUUAGUUGACUGUUGGGGGUCAGUUAGUCUAAGUGUUUCAUUGAUAUUGGUAGCUCGGGGAGCUAGUGGAGCAGGAGUUCAGAGAGUUUCUGGGCAGCAUCCAGAAGGUUAUCAGCAUGUUCAGCAAGUGCAUGUGAGUUUCCCUUUGUGCCAAUGGGUCUACGGUCACAAUGUCGGCCCAUGUAGUUAUGAGUAGAAGACCCGGGGGUUAGCCCUAGGCACAGUAUGCUAGUAUGAUAUUCGGGACGAGGUCCAAUGAUAGAGGGCGGGUGCCCAAGGAAUGGUUUAUGUGAUAGUUUAUACUUGUUGUCUGUGUGAUACUUGUAUGUGCCUGGUAGGGAGGUGAGUGUGGGCGAGGUCCCGUAUCUCACCAAUAGCAGAGUGUGGAUGGUGUUCCACAUCUCAGUAGCAGCAGAUCAGGGGCGAGGCCCAAGUUAGGGAAGGAGUGAGGGUGGGCUGGGCCCGUACCUCACUAUCAGCAGGAGUAUGGACGGGGUUCCAUGACUCAUCAGUAGCAGGACAAGGGCGGGGCCCAGAGAUAGGCGAGGCCUUAGGACAAGAUCCGUUAGUAUGUGUUUAGCUUAGGUUAUGUGAUGUGAUAUGUUUAUGUGCUAUUAUAUGUUAGUGGGCGAGGCCCUGUGACAGGCGAGGCCUAAGUGAAACAGAUCUGUAUCCGAGCGGGGCUCGAAGCCAGGCGGGGCCUGGAACGGUGAGGCCGUUAUAGCGGGCGAGGCCCGAGGUAGGGGCGAGGCCCAGGUUAGCGGGCGUGGCCCAGUAUGUGCAGUAUAUGGUUAUGCAUGGUAUGUGGUAGGGUGGGGAACUCACUAAGCUUCGUGCUUACGGUUUUCAGUUUUGGUUUCAGGUACUUCCGGUAGCGGAGGGAAGAGCUCGGGGGUGAUCGCAUGACACACACCAUAGAUUAGACAACCUGGGAAUGUUUUACUCUGAUAAUGAACAUGUGUUUUGGAAAAUUAAUACUCUGAUUAUGUUUUGAAUUGGUGACCUUGCUUAAAGAAAUGUUUUAUUAAAAGAAAUUUUUAGUCAUGAAUUUUGGGACGUUACAAAGUACAUUAAUCCUUGGUACAAAUAUUACAUCAACAAAAGUUAUCUCUAAGCUUUCAUGAAAUUGAAGACCUUAUGCCUAACACAACCAUUGUAUCUAGAUAAGAUUUUCCUACUUAUUUACUUUGUUGUGUGCAAAUAUUAAUACACUUGACUUAAGCAUCACCAACAUUUGGACAUAAUUGUUGACGUUGAGGUGGUUGGUUAGAGCAUUAGUCAACUUUAAUAUUCAAGUGAAGACGUAUCAAAUACAAGUGAUUGUAGUUCACUCCUAUAGCAACAAGAGGAGCAGAGGCUUUAAGUAGUUUAUCCAUUUCAACAUGAAACUCUUUUCACACAUGAACGAUCUUAUGACACCUGUCAAAUGCCUCUUAAAAUAUACAAUCAACACUUGGUCAGUAGCUUUCUUCUCUGUGGCCAGAACCAUGACCUCUUCAUUUCCCUAUAUUAAUGAUGACAGGUUCAUAAACUAAAAGGACUGUAAAGUCAAAAUAGUUGACAUUAUGUUGACAUACCUAGUGGUGUGAAGAGAAGAAUAAAUAGAAUGUUUGUAAUAAACCCGCUUUCUUGGGUGAGGAAACCAUGACACUUGUUCAGAAAUGAAACAUCCCAACUAGCACCUAACGACUUUUGCUACAUUGAGAUAUACUAGCAAACAACAUAAGCAAAUCACAUGGAAAAUUAUUACAAUUAAUAAAACUCAUAAAUAAAGUGGUAAAAACAGCCUUGCACACACUCUUGAUUAAAAAAAUAGUUUAUAUUAGUGUAACAUCCCGAUUUCUCGAUAUCAGUUUAAAGUUCUAGAGUCAUGUUUCAAAGACAACUCGACGAGUUGAUAGGCCAACUCGUUGAGUAGUGACCAAAUCAGCCAUGUGGAUUUUAGACCCUACUCGUCGAGUUGGAGGACCCGACUCGACGAGUAGGUGCUGGAAAGUGAAAACCAUAAUUUUUAGGGUUUGCACCCUAUUUAAAGGUCCUUAACUUUCCUCCUCAGCCUCCCUUGUCACCUUCACGUCCAAAAAAACCAACUAGUCUCUAUUCUUGAGUGUGUGAGACCAAAAGAGAGUGUAUUGGAGCAUUCUUAAGGAGUUAAGAGCUUUGAACAAGGGAUAGCUUGUAGAUCCAACUUUUCCAGUGUUGUGACAACAAUAUUGAGUUAUAAAGCUACCACCUUUAUAUUUCAUUGCUUAGAUCUUCCUUUUUGGUAAAGUAAUUGUCAUGUCUAGGGCAUGAUGGGGUCACACUCGGAUUUAAGCUUGCCACAAGGGCAUAGUUUUAGAACUUGACUUCUUAAGGCCUUAUGAACAUAAAUCCUUAAGCUUUAUGAAGCCCUAGCCCUCCUUCAUGUCCAAAACCUUCUCCUAAUGCUAAUUAUGAGUGUUUUAGCUUCAUAGAACCAUGCAUGCAUGUAAAGUUAGCAACUUUAUGUGAUAACAACACCCUAGGAGCAUAGAUCUACUGUUUGGAGCUUUGGAGCAGCUUAAAAUAGUCUGAAUGAGUGAUGGACUGAAGGAGACUCGACGAGUUUCAUGGUUGAAUCGAAGAGUCGGUUGAAGAUUGCCCAUAAUGGUUUUGCAUGGACUCGGCAAGUCAGUAAGAAGACUCGACGAGUCAGUUAGGGUUCUUCCUGACAUUUAGACACGCGUAGACUCGCCGAGUUGGUGGGGAAACUCUGCGAGUUGGCCCAGGGAUUUCACGGUUUUCUGAGUUUUGGAGGAACUCGAUAGGUCAGUAGUUGGACUCGACGAGUUGGGUCAACAUGGACUGUUGACCUUGACUGUUGACUUGGAGUUUGACCAGGGUUAACCAUGUUUGACUUUGGAGGGUAUUUGGUAAAUGGGUAUUUAAGGAAAUGGAUCAUGGGUGGAUAUAGGUAAUGGAGUUUGGGGCAGUAUUUUGAGAGCGUGAUUUCGUGGUUUAGUUCGGCAUUGCAAGGUGAGUUAUCCUCACUAUAUCAACAGGGUCUAAGGCACCAAGGUCAGCCCUUUAUCUGAUUUGUAUUCGGGUAUUUGCUUGAUAUGUUUUUUGAUCUGCUAGAUCUGCAUCCUGGUAGUUAGGAUGGUAUUAUGUUUAGUGACCUGGUUUAGGUCAGUAUCCUGGUAUAUGGGAUGAUGUUAUGUUAGUGACCGGUUAGGUCGGUAUCCUGGUUAUAGGACGGUUGUUGUGUUAGUAAUCAGUUAGUUUGGUAUGAUUAUCUGUUGUAUACAUGCUCGCGUAUAAUAUUUAUGUGCACAUGAUUGUUUGAUUGUUAUGGGGGUUGGGUUGAGGCGGGUCCUGCUUCGUGUUGUAGGCCAACAUACCCAUGGCGGACCGGAAAGACUACAGGCCCAGGAAGGCACAUUGUCCAACCAAUGGCCCAACGAGCGGUCCGGAUAGGCUGAAGGCCCCGAGAGGGUGGUCCAAACGUGCCGAGGCUCGGAGAGUGGGCCAGGUGGACUGAAGGCCCGGUGCGGGCGGUCCAGUCAUACUGUAGACUCAAAGAGUGGACCAGGUGGACUGAAGACCCAGUGCGGGUGGACCAGUCACACAGUAGACUCGGGAUGCAUGGCUGUUCAGUGUUUGUUAUAUGAUAUGAUUAUGGAUUGUAUGAGGUUGGUAUUUUGGGGGUAACUCACUAAGCCUUCGAGCUUACGUUUAUCAAUUUAUGUUUCAGGUACAACGAAUUAACCCAGGAAGACGAAUGUGUGAUCGUACACUUCCCCAUAAUAUGUUUUGGAUUUUCUGGGAUACUCUGAUGUGAAACUAUUUUGGAAACCUUUUUGUAAUAACUAUUGGCAUUUGAAAUGUUUUUAAAAGUUUAAAUUUGGCUUGGAUUUUAUGGGUGUUACAAUUAUUUCAAUUAUCCAAGACGAUUUUAUGUCGAGAUUUUAAGUUAACAUUAAAUCUCAAUUAUUUGUUUGAAUGAUUUUUUUCUUUUAUCUUAGAGAUUUGUUUGAAAUUUAUUAAUUUUUUUUAUAAAUUUGAAUUAAUCAAAGACACAUAUAAAAAUAUCUCAUCAAAUCAAAUAAAUUUAAUAUAUAAAAAAGAUAGUAUCCGAUUAAGUCAAUCUAAAAAUACCAACAUAUAAAUAUAACUCACAAAUCUUGAUGGGAAUAAGAAUCAAACUCAAAAUCAAUCAAAUAAAAAAACCUUUGAUUUGUGUUAUAAGUAUAAAAUAAAUCAGGAUUCCAAAUAAAUAUUACAAUGAAAAAAAACCUAAAAUGUUUGAAACAAAAUAUGAAAUUCGCCAUCACUGUCAAUUUAAAAAAAAAACCUUUAUUAAUACUAAUGGGCUAUUUGGUAGCAUCCUGAUGAAUCAUAUCUGAAUGAUCUAGAUGCCUGGAUGAUCUAGAUGCUCUUUAGGAAUUUCUAUCGGAAUGAUAAAAUAAUGUUUGGUUAGGCAUCUAAAUAUCUGCCUCUUAAUGAGGAAAAUAACCAUUUUAGCCCUCUAAAUUAUUUUUUGAAUACAAAAUAAACAUUAUACAAUAUCCAACAAAUCGGUUAAAACAAAUUGGCUUUUGAUAUUCAGAUUCAUGUGUUUCUUCAUCAACAAUCUCUUUGAAGAGGACUCGUUUUGUUUCUGUUUUUAGAUCAUUAGGCUUUCUUGCUUCUGGAACAUUGAUGGGCCUAUUUUCUUGCUGAAUAUCUUCCAUCACUAGCAACUUCAUCUUGCUCCUAGAUCACAUAUCAACUAAACAAGUUGAAAAAUAACCAAACACAUAUUUUCAUAUAGAACAUUUCAAGCAAACACAAACACAUUUUCAAAAAAAAAAAAACAAAUCAAUUGUUAUUUUCAGAUUUCCAAAGGACAAAAACAACAUCAACUGAACACAUAUAUAGAGCAAGAAGAACAAAGCACAAAAAUCGAUUUCAUACAAAAUCGAGCAGCAAGAACACGAUUGACACCAAUUUCAUGCAAAAUUGCUCAACAAUAACACGAUUGAAGCAACAGAUUCGAGAAAAAAAACCAUACCUGAAAACUUACCGACGACGAGUAGGCGGAGAAGUAGGAGCGUUGUCGAAGGCAUGCAAGGGGAGGCGGCGACGGAGCCAAUAAUUGGAAGUUGUCAACGCUUAAUGAAGAUAAAGAAUGAGGGAUGAAAGGUCGAUCUCUAGAAAGAAGGAGAAGAAAAAAGAGUCGGCCGCAAUUUGUUGUUAGGGCAAUGGUAGAAGAUGAAAAUUUUUUUAUUCAGACUUCUCCUCAUAUCUUAACGAAUCAGAUUAGUUUUAGCUACAUCUGACCGAUUAAGAGCGUAAAAAUGUUUCAACCAAACACUCUGAAUCUUAAUGAUCCAAAUGCAACCUCUUAAUGAGACCAUUAAGAGGCAAAACAAACAGCCCCUAAAUAAAAAAAACAAUAUAGUUUCCAUAAAAAUCGAUUUAAAUAUUAAAGAAGAGAAGAAAUCAGCAUUUAUACGACGUAAUAGUUUUUUAAAAUUAAAAAAAAAAAAUUAUUCAUAUUAUAAGUAUAAAAUACAUUUUAUUCUUAACUCUCAUUUGUAAUUUGCCAUAUGUUUUCAUAAGAGUUUAUGGUAAUAACUUAAAUUUUUAUUUUUCCAUAUACCAUUUUUCAUUUACAAAAUUGUUUGUGCUUAUUUUUUUUUGUUAUAUUAAAAUUUAUUAUAUUUUAUUAUAUAAUAUAUAUCAUAAUUUUUUUCAUUAAUUUACAUAUAUCUUAUUUUUACGUGUUUAUUUGAAACAAUCGUUAUAAUGCAAAAUAAAUACCACUUCUCCAUAUUAAUUAUUAAUUUUUAUUAAAAUACUUUAUUAAUUAUUAUAAUUUUUAUCUAUUGAUAUUCGUUUAAUUUUGUAAGUUUUAUUUUCACAAAGUAUAACCUAAUUAAUUUCUCAUCAUCUAUAGUAAAUGAAAGUUUUUUUUUUCACAUGCAAUCACUAAUUAAUUUUGACACUUGUCAUUUUAUAAUAUUUUUUAAAUAAAUAAUAUCCACAUAUCAAUUUAUGAUUUUUNNNNNNNNNNNNNNNNNNNNNNNNNNNNNNNNNNNNNNNNNNNNNNNNNNNNNNNNNNNNNNNNNNNNNNNNNNNNNNNNNNNNNNNNNNNNNNNNNNNNNNNNNNNNNNNNNNNNNNNNNNNNNNNNNNNNNNNNNNNNNNNNNNNNNNNNNNNNNNNNNNNNNNNNNNNNNNNNNNAUCAAAUGUAAUAAAUAUUAUUUUAAAAUUUCAUUUUAAAAAAUAUUUAUUAUUACAUUUUAAUAUUUUAUAUUCUUUAAUCAACCGUGUAAUACAUUUUAAUACAUAGAUUUUCCAUCUAAUAAAUAAAUAAAAUGUAACCAUUUUAAUCACUAAAUAAUUAAUCAACCAAAGAUUAAAACCCACUGAUAAAAAGGAAACUAAAUCAACACCAAAUUGAAAAUUAAACCAUAUAUUACUAAAUUAAUUCACAGAGAGUUCGACAUCAAUCAAAUAUUAUCUCGCACUCAAAUUCACAAAACUCACUUUCCAGGUACAAAGUUUGUAGCAUAUGACCAUGCAUUGUUUGCAACAGGGUCAGCAAGGUGGUCAGCGAGGUUCUCCAAUGGUCCCUUUCCGGUAACAAUGGCUUGAACAAAGAAUCCAAACAUAGAGAACAUGGCUAGUCUACCGUUCUUGAGCUCCUUCACUUUCAGCUCAGCAAAUGCCUCUGGGUCAUCAGCCAGACCCAAUGGGUCGAAGCUACCACCAGGGUAAAGUGGGUCAACUACCUCACCAAGAGGUCCACCAGCAAUUCUGUAACCUUCAACUGCACCCAUCAAGAUCACUUGGGUAGCCCAGAUGGCUAAAAUGCUUUGUGCAUGGAUCAAACUUGGGUUCCCCAAGUAGUCAAGACCACCCUCACUAAAGAUCUGGGAUCCAGCCUUGAACCAUACAGCCUCACCAAACUUGACACCAUUACGCGCCAAGAGUUCGGGGAAGACGCACCCAAGAGCUCCGAGCAUGGCCCAUCUGCUGUGGAUGACCUCAAGCUCACGGUUCUUGGCGAAUGUUUCAGGAUCAGCAGAGAGCCCAGCAGUGUCCCAACCGUAGUCACCGGGGAACUCACCGGUCAGGUAAGAUGGGGCUUCGCCGGAGAAUGGGCCAAGGUACUUAACACGGUCGGGGCCGUACCAUGGACUUCCUGAUGGUGCGACUUUCUUGACUGCUGUCUUCCUCAUGGAAACCCUUCCAUUUCCGAUUAUUUCUGAACCAGAUGGUGCUGCUUUCACUGCCUGUCCGACGAAAGAAGAAGAUAGAGCCAUGGUGGAAGCUGCCAUUUUUGUGAGAUUUAUUUUGAAGAUGUUGUGAUGGUUAUACUUAUGAAGAUGGGUAGAACUGGAAGUAGAUUUAUAGGGUAGUUUUUGGAUCAGAUAGGUGAUCAAUGCUUAUCUUGAUACAAUCUUUAGCUUCAAUUUGAUUGGCUACAGAGAUUCUUGUGGGUCCGUAAUCUGUGGUGUGAGUUCUCUGGCCCCCCUGAGAUAUUUUGAAGGGGCAGGAUAUUCGUGGCUCUGGUUUAUUGAGCCAAUGACUGGCUUUCACUCACUACUCUUAGUGGUGGUUUUUUAUAAUAUGCUGUAAGCUUGUAACCAUCCAAUCGUCUAAGUUUAUAACUGACCUAUUAUUACAAAUAUAUACUAACCAGGCAAAACUUUUGGUUAUAAAAGUUAAUGUGACCGAGAGACUAACACAAAAAAUUAUAACAGGAGUAGUUAAUAAUCCGCGAUUUACCGCUAUGCCGAGAGCCGUAGGGAGGAUCCACCAUUUACCCCUAAGUGUGCAGAAUGCCUUUUUUUUUUUAGUAUUAAAAUAUCAAGAUCGGACACGCGUUGUAAAAUUCUUGUUCGAAUUGUUUGCAAACUCUUCGUCACAAUAAGGGGAGUUUAAAUAUGCGUUUUAAUAUAAUAACAUUGGCAUUGAUUAAAUGUUAAUAUUCAAUUAUCAUCCCACAUGAGAAUGAAAUAUAUUAAUGAUUUAUUAAUCUAAAAACAUUAUCAUCCCACAUGAGAAUGAAAUAUAUUAAUGAUUUAUUAAUCUAAAAACAAUUUUUUUAUGUCAUUAUUUUUUGGGGUUACAGUCGAGCUUGGAGGAUCUCGACUUUAGGUAUGCCCAUUUUAUUGAGAGGAAUUACUAAUAAAUUUCGGAAAGAGGAAAAAAAUAUGAUCGUGGACAUAUGGUUUAGGAAUAUUUUCAUGUUCGUUUGACACAAGUAAAGUUCUUGAAAUGGGUGCUUCAGUUUGUACGAGCGGCUAACUUGAUAAAGUUCAAAGACAUAAAGGCAAUUUUCAAAAACUCACAUGAUCAGUUAUCGAACAAGCAUGUCGUACUAGUGUGCCCACUACACAUGUUAGUUAGCGGUUUCAAUAGGAAAAGAGCAUCAUUAGCUGUCAAUGAUAAUAUUCUUUCUCUAGUACUCGAUCCUUACGACUUUUAUAUUUAUAUCAUGUAAUUUAGAAUUUAAUUUAAUUUCUAUUAAUCUUCGAUUACAGUUUAUGUGAUCUAAUUCAUGGAUGUUUUGGCACUACAUAUCUCAAUGGAGUAUGCCAGGGAAAUUUUGGUCAUAACAACAGCCUCCAUGGGUUUAUAUAUAUUUUUAAGGUACAUAUAACAUCCUAUUUUUAGGCUUAGAAAUUUUGGUCAUUUAUAGUGAAAAUAAUUUUUUUUAAUAAAAAAAUAAAAAAGGAAAAAUAAAAAUAAAAAGAAUGACUGAAUGAAUACAUGAGCUAAUAAAAGGUUUAGAUCAAAUGUUUAAAGAAAAUAGCGAAUUUAUACUUAAAAUAGGAAAUAAAUAAGGAAGGGUCAGUGGUGGCAACUUUGGAAAACUUGUUUAAUUUAGAUCUAACUAGACAAUUUAUUUGUAAAGAGUUAAAAAUGUAACGAAAUGAUACUUAUAAGCUUAAGAGGGAGUUUUUCAGUUGGAAAUGUUGUUAGAAACCCUUAUUGGAAAAAAUUAGGACAAAAGGACUAAAAUUGUCAAGUUGAUGAAACUUGUGUUAACCUUAAUGUAACGACCCUAAAAUCUUAAAUUAUGUGUUUAAUUACUUUGUAUCAUUUUGUUGAAAAAUGAACAUUAAUGAUGCAAUAAUCAAUUUGUUAGUAAAUUUCAUUGUAUAUCCUUACAUUUAUCAUGUUAUAAUCGAAAAUAUAGGACAUUUCAGCAAAAAAUAACCCUGUAGGAAAGUCGCAUUACACCUCGAUAUAUUCGUGUGGAUAUAAAUUCUAUGAAAAUCCAAAUUUGUAUGACGAAGUUAUAGUCAAUAUAAGUUGGAAGUACAAAUUUUAAUGUUUAAAUGUGUAUGUUNNNNNNNNNNNNNNNNNNNNNNNNNNNNNNNNNNNNNNNNNNNNNNNNNNNNNNNNNNNNNNNUAUAUAUAUAUAUAUAUAACAUCUCAAAACCAUAAUAACCAUAACAUAAAAUCAGAGUUUCAAAACAUAUUAUCUCUCUAAACCAUAACAAUCACUGGAUGAUGUGUAGAGUCACGUGUAACAUCUCGUUUAAAAUUAGAUAAAUAAAAUAAAAUAAGUAAAUAAAUUAGAUAAAAUAAGUAAAUAAAUAAUAAACCCUAAAACCUCAAGAUGAAUUUUAUAUUUUUAUGUUAGCCUUAAAUCCAUAAUAAUUAUCAGAGUAUUAGCGCAAUAAGUUAAAUGUUAUUAAUUCUGGAAAUAGGGGUUUAAAAUGUAAAUUUCGAACUAGUUAAGAAUAGAUUUGUGGAAGCUGGGGAUUGUUUGGUAAUUUGGACUUGAAUUGAAAGGAUUAUUGGAAACAGGUAUAGAGUAAAUUACAGAUUUAAUUUGUAAAGGAAUUGAGAUGGAGGGACUGAAAAUAUAAGAAAGGGACUAAUGUUUGAAGAGAUAGGCAUGACUUAAACCCAUUCCCCCUCCACCCUCUUGCUACUCGGUUGCACCCAUAUAAACCCUAACCCUAAUAUCUUCUCAGCCGCCACCUUAUCCCUCCAUAUCUCCAGUCGCUUCCAUCACCUGUGUCGCCGUCAUGAACCACUGAGCACCACUGCCGCUGCUCCCACUGCCGAUGAAAACGAAGAUCAACGUUUGGACACCGUGACAGUGGGGAAGUAGGAAGAAAGGAAGCUCGUGGUUGUUAUUGCUGUUAUUCUCGGUUAGGGGUCGCAAAACCUUUCUCUUCUCCGUUUCCUUUUGUUGCUACGUUGUCAUCGUCAUCGCUCCAUGUGAGGGUGGUUGUGUUUGUGUUUUGUGAGUGUAGGUGUGUGUUGCUGCUGUGGCAAGUUGGAGAGGUGUGUGUGUCUUUUGUUGGCCAGAAAAACGAAGAGAAUCACCAUGGCAACCAACCAUGGUGGUUUUCACCGUUCUGGAGCCACUAGCCACCACCCUAGGUGGCUGUGUGUGUUGGAUUGACAUUUCUUCUGUACCAGGAUGCUUUUGAUAGUGUUUGGCCUAAAAUUAUAACUACCACCAUUAAAAAGUGGUGGCUGUCGCCUCCUACCGCCAUGGACCGCCGCCGACCACCAAUGCCCGAGGUGGCAGUGGGUGGUGUCUGACUUACUAAACAUUAAAUAACCUAAACAUCUAACCUUAGACCGAGUGGUACGUGUUUGGGUUGGAAACUCUUACUAGGCUUUAGAAAAUCCUAAGGUCAAGAAAACCCUAGUUUUGGAGUUUUGUCGGGACCCGCGUUGAAGUGUUAAUUGAACUUUAAUUAUACUCGAUAAGGCCCUACGAUUAACUUAAUGCAGUAUUGAACUUAAUGAAUUAAGUCCUUAAGGGGUUAUGUGUGGAGCACUAACCCUAGUUAUCAUUUUAUGUGGAAACCCUAAAAAUCAAGAAGCCUUAUUUUCGGCAAUGAUCAGGGCACAUAUUUGGGAUAUUCCUUGGAUUAUUAUUAUACCCGAGAAUGAAUAUGUCAAACCUUAAUCACUCCUACUUUUAUUUGAUUAAGUCCUUAAUGGGUUAAGUGUCCUUACUUAACCCUAAUCGUCAUUUUAUGUGGAACCCUAAUCACUAUUUCAUGUGAGGUAGUCACUGCUGCAAUUGACGAUGACUUGUGAUCGAGUAUUGAAUCAAGUAUCUUCCUGUAGGUGAUUGGAAGUGAGUUGAAGCUGGUAGAGUUCUUCGUUACUACGGUGGUUACCUACUAGCAUAUCGAGCUGAGUUUCACCUCACUGUGUUAGAUCUAUAUGCACAAGAAUCAUUAUUCAGUGACAUUGCUAAUAACAUAUGAUCCUAUAAGGUCACACUUUAAUCAAGUUGGUACUUAUUGAAUAUUUAUUAAGUAUUUUAUAAUUAAUAAUAAAAGUUCAACUCAUGUAUUUAAUUAAAGAAAAUUUAUUGUUUUGUGAAAAUAAUAAUAAAUGAAAGACUAACUANAUAUAUAUAUAUAUAUAUAUAUAUAUAUAUAUAUAUAUAUAUAAGUCAUGUACAAAGUUUUGGACACUUUCACCAAAGAUUGACAAACUAGCUAGUUAAUUAAGUGACUAAACAAUAAACUAGAAAAUCCAAUGGACCAUUUUAGUCCUUAAAACCAUGGGUUAUCAAGGCGAGGAGGUUGAAAGUCAACCUCCAACAUUCUUGUCCCCCAUGUUUGUUCAUUACCUUGCAUGUAAUACACACCAUGAUCAUAUUAUAUAAGGCUAGUUGUUUUAUCACUAUAUGACUAGAAGAAAAAAAUCAUUUACACUUUCAUCCAUAGAAUUGUAGGUUCUCUUGGCUUCUCCCUAUCUCUCACUUGAAGUUAGUUCUUGGUUUUUUAGAGUUCGUCUUUUGUGUCUUCCUUUUACACUUAUUAUCUAUGUGCUUAAGGCUUAAAGAGAAAAAUAUUAUACAAGAAGAAAUCUAGCAAUUUUGGUACCUUAUUCUUGUUGGUGGAUUACUUGUAGAGAAGAUCAGACUUGUUGUUCUUGCCAUCUACUUCAACACCCCAAAUCUAAGAGGGUCCAAAGUCUACGAAGGUUGUAUUUUCUAAACUCCCUAUGGUUGUUAUAAUAUCAUUCUAAGCACUUUAAAAGGAUCCUUGAUGGUUUGUUUUGUUUUCAAAUUUAUAAGAAAUUUUUAAAGCUUCCGUUGCCAGUUUUUGUGAAAAACUAUUUAUUUUAUGCAACAAACCCCUUCAGUUGUAACACUAUAAAUUUUCAAACAAAAUUUCCAUUUUUAAAACACACAAAUCUUAAAAUCACAUUUCUCAAAAAUCACAAAUGUAUCAAUUGUAAGAAUAUCCCAGAACCCUCAAACAUAAUCUCGAACAGGUGUGUACAAUCAAGUCGGCGCCUUACCGUGAUUCUGAGAAGUACCUGAAACACAUAACACACAACAUAGUAAAAACGAAGCUUAGUGAGUUCCCCAAAAUACCACAUACACAAAUAAUAAGCCACUCAUAGCUAUAGCUCGGCAUGGACCUUCCAGUCAUGCGUCUCGGUGAGGACCCUCCGGUCUCACGGCUCGGUGUGGACCCUCCGGUCAUGUGUCUCAGUGAAGACCCUCAGGUUUCACAGCUCGAGUUGGACCCUCCAGUCCUGUAUCUUAGUGAAGACCCUCCAGUCUCACAACUCGGUUUGGACCCUCCGGUCCUAACUCAGUAAGGCACAAAAUAAUAUAGCAUAUAUGACAAAGACAAAAUGCAUAAUAUCACAUAACUCAGUAUAAGCACAUAGGACCAUCCGGUCGAUAACUCAAAUAAGACCCUCUGUUCACAUAGUAUUACCACUCAGGUAAGUAUAGUGAUAAGACUCGUCUCGGAAGUAAGCAAAUAGAUCUAGUACCCCACGAACAGUUUAGACUCCGCCUACAUAAUAUAAUUAUCUCUAAUAAGCAAUUUGUAAUAACCAUUCCGAGAUGUUAAGCUAGCUCCCCCACUAAAUCUCAAAAAUGGUGAAAAUACCAUUUUACCCCUCCAUGGUCUCUAAGGUCCACAGUUGACCAAACCCUAAAACUCAACGUAAGUCAACGCUCAAGUCAACAGUCCAUGUUGACUAAACUCGUCGAAUGCAUCCAUGCGACUCGUUGAGUACCGUCGUUUUCUCUGAAGUAUCGGGAAAAUCCAACUCAACUCGUCGAGUUGUCUCAUCAACUCGCUGAGUUGUAACGCAUUUAGACUAUCAGGGAAAACCCUAGCUGACUAGUCGAGUUGUCUCAUGCACUCGUCGAGUCCCUCUAUACAAAUUCUCAUUUAGACUAUUCUAAGCAGGAAUAAGGUCCCAAACUCUAGAUCUAGCCUCCCAAGGCUGAAAUACCAUGUAAAGCUGCAAGCUUUACGUCUAUGCAUGGAAUCUAGCGCUCAAAAUGCUAAAACAAGCUCUAUAUAGGGUUUAAUGCAUAAAAUCUUGCCACUAGCUUGAUAAAGCUUGGACCUUUGGGCUCAAGGGACCUCAUAUUGUCCAUAUCUGAAGUCUCAAAUUCAUGGCAGGCUCAAACAACUCAAGUACUCAAAGAAGGAUGGAAAAAGGCCCUAAAACUCCUUAGAAAAGAGAUCUAACCAAAUAAUGAUCAAGGUGGUAACUUUUUACCUUCAAACAGAAGCUAGAAAUGAAUAAGCACCAGAUCCAAGAGCUCCCUCUCGUCCCAAGCCUUUUGUUCCUCAAUCUUUCUCCAAAAAUGCACCAAAAUACACAAUAUUAUCCUCUCCUUCUCUCACACAUAGAUAUAGCUCGAUUAGGGUUUCUCUCAGAGUUUUAGGAUGAUAAGGGAGGAUGAAAUGAAGGCUUAAGGUCCUUUAAAUAGGACACAAACCCUGAAAAUUGGGGUUUUCUCACUCUGCUCCUACUCGUCGAGUUGGGGUCCUCCAACUCGUCGAGUAGACUCUAAAAAUCACGCAACCUUUAACUCCUCUACUCGGCGAGUUGGGGCAUCCAACUCGUCGAGUUGCUCUGACAUCAUAAAUGCAAAUUUAUUAAAUGUUAUAUAUGGGAGCAGGAUGGUACAUGUAACGACCCAAUUUUCAUGACCAAAAAUUUUGUUUUAAAAACAUUACUUUAGAAAAUAUUAAAAGCUAAAAACAUUGUCGGAUCAAAUCAUAACACAAGUGAACCAUGUCUAAAAGCCAAUUCAUACAUUCAAUCAAAAUAUCAGAGUACAAAUCCCAGUGAAGCUCGUAAAUGCGGAAACCGGAGAGUGUGUGUGUGACAUGCUGCUACCGCGCCGGCUCCUUUCCCCUAGCUGAGGAGGUACCUGAAACCAAAACUGAAGACUGUAAGCACAAAGCUUAGUGAGUCCCCCCGUCGUACCACAUACCAUACAAACACGUAACAUACAUACUGUCAGGCUAUUCUGGGGUGCCUGACUACCCGGUACGGCCGUUCUGGGGUGCCGUCCUACCCGUGUCAAGCCAUUCUGGGGUGCUGACUACCCGUGUCAAGCCAUUCUGGGGUGCUGACUACCCAUGUCAAGCCAUUCUGGGGUGCUGACUACCCAUCGGUCCUAACAACCGAUCCUCGGGGACUAGUCCCCUCUUACUACCUUUAUCUCAUAUAACAUAACAAGCCAGCAUGCAAUCAUAUCAUCACGUACUGUCAGACAUAUCUGGGGUGUCCGACCUACCCUUCGGUCCUAACAACCGAACUCUACAACUAUCACAUAUACAUAUCAUGCCAGCAUAUAACAUAUCAGGUAGUAGCAAACCUAGAUGAUAUCACAAAGACAAUCAUCUAACAUACAACUCCUACUGGUGGGCCGGCAUUGUGGCCGUAGACCCACCGCUACUGGAAGGUAACUCACCUCGAAGUAGCUGCUGAUCUGAUCGGGAACUGACUGCCUACUGCUGCUGCUGCUGCUCCGGAAAUCCUCCGGCUGCAAUUCCCACAACAUACUCAAUCAAACACUGCUCACUGACCUUUGGGUAAAAUGACCAUUUUACCCCUGAUCAUGCCCUAAGUCAAAGUCAGAGUCAACUUUCAGUUGACCCGACUCGCCGAGUUGGCUUUCCAACUCGCCGAGUCCCUACCCAAACGACUGCCCUGAAACCCGAUCCUACCCGUCGAGUUAGGCGACGACUCGACGGGUUCACCUUCUUAACCAAUAUUCAAGUCCUUCAUUCUACUCGCCGAGUUGUAUGAACAACUCGCCGAGUUCAUCUUCAUCCGAAGAACACUUAUGCUAAGACUCGCCGAGUUGUAUGAACAACUCGCCGAGUCUGUUCUUGAUCUAAGGAGAUUGCCUUGAACUCGCCGAGUCAGGGCAUUGACUCGCCGAGUACCUCCAUAGAUGAGUUAAGCUUCCGACUCACUGAGUCACACCCCGUGACUCACUGCUCACUCGACACUACGAAAAGGGGACAAACUCGGAGACUCGCGAACAGACUCGCCGAGUCAUAUGAACGACUCGCCGAGUCGUUGCCAUGCAUCCACUAAAUACACAGAUUUGCUCGAUUCCAGUCCAUGCCAUUCAUAGAUCUGGGCUUCUAGGACACGAAUCACACGUAAAGUUUCCAACUUUACGUGUGGAUAUUCACCAAUAUGGAUUUUAGGGCUCAAAAUGUCUCAAAAGGGUAGAUCUAGGGCUAACAAGCAACAUGGGGCCAUAAAGCUAACAGAUCUGAGCUCCUGGAGCUCAAUCUUGCCUAGAUCCAGAGGCCAAACAUCUUAUUACGACAUACAAUGCACAUACAAGCUUGGGGAUUUGACCAAGAAGGACCCAAAUGAAGUUUUAAGCAUAGAAUCAAGGGGAAAACGGGUUAUACCUCAAAGGAACUGCUGGAAGAACACAAAUAAUGCCUGGAUGGCUUCCCUUCUUCUGGAUCUACUUCCUUCCUCCUUCCAAACCUUCAAAAACACACACACUAACCUCAAACUCUCAAGGAAUAGCUUAGAACGAGAGAUACAGGGCUUUAAGGGUCAAUGGGGGCCGGCUUGGGGCUGAUAAGUCCUUUAAAUAGGGUGCAAACCCCUGAAACUUAGGGUUUCAUCCAACAGCUAUGACUCGCCGAGUCCAGGAUAUGGACUCGCCGAGUCGCCAACUUAAACGUGUCCCGGGUCCCGCAUCCACUCGGCGAGUCGGACCUAUGACUCGCCGAGUCCAAGGCUAAAAGAAAGGAAAUACUCAAAUAACAUUUACGUACCAGGAACCGGGUGCUACAGUACAUCAGUUGUAUCAAAACCAUCUUUUAAAUGUUAGAAUGAUUUUUAUGUUAUGAUAAUCUUUGGUUUUUGGGAAACAAGCAUGGAUUUCUUUUUAGCUUGCAUCAUGUUAAUGAUUCGACCGAAGUGGCUUGCAUCAUGCUUGCAACUAUGACUCCUGAACUUCAAAAAACUUUUGAGUUUCAUGAAGCAUUUGAAAUGAUUGAACAACUGAGUCAUGUUUCAAGUUCAGGCUAAGCAAGAUAGGUUUGAGACCUUGAAUGCUUUCAUUGGUUGCAAGAUGGACAAAGGAUCUUUUGUGAGGUCACAUGUACUAAAAAUAAAAGCUUAUGUUGACCAACUUUCCUGCCUCAGAUUCUAAUUUGGGGAUGAGCUAAAGACCAAUGUGAUCCUGGCCUCACUGCCUAAGUCAUUCAACCAAUUUUUGAUGAACUUCACAAUGAAUUAUUAGGAGAUGAGCAUUAAUGAGCUUCAUAACUUGCUCAAAAUUGUUGUGAAAAACGUCAAGAAGUCUGGGAACAAUCAAGUGCUGAUGAUUCAUGAGGGUCUAAUCUCUAAGAAGAAAACUAGUACUAAUAUCGGUUAGGGGAAAGGAAAAGCUGCCAAGAAAGGCAAGGGCAAGGGAAAGGGUAAAGGGAAGCCUCCUUCCACUAACCCAACUCCUAAACCCAAGCCUACUGCUAAUGUUGAUUGCUUUAAAUGUAAUGAAAAUGAACAUUGGAAGCGCAACUGUCCCAAAUACCUAUAGGAACUUAAGAAGAUCAAAGCCAACUAGUUUGGCACCUCAGGUAAUAUGUGAUUGAAUUACAUGCAUUCCGUACUAAUUCUUGGGUAUUCUAUACUGGAAGUGGUACUAACAUCUGGAAUGAUUUGCAGGGACUAAGGAAUGUUAGAGAACUAAGAGAUGGCGAUUUGGAACUUCAUGUUGGCAAUGGCAAUCGAGUAGCUAUCAAAGCCAUAGGACAAUAUCAUCUUUUUCUUCCAAAUGUCCUUAAUCUUAUUUUUAACAAUUGUUGUUAUGUACCUAGUAUAACUAGGAAUAUUAUAUCUACUUCUCGCUUGUAUGAACAAGGUUGUCGUUAUAAGUUUGACUUUGAUUUUGAAAACAUUUUCGUGUUUAAGGAUAAUGUGUUCUAUUUUGAGACUAGUCCCACAAAUGGAAUAUACGAAAUCGAUUUAAAUGGUUCAUACACAAAGGAUAAUUCAAUAUUCAACUUAAAUAAGAAAACAAAGUUAGACUCAAAUAAAACUUUUUUUUGGCAUUGUCGACUUGGGCACAUAAGUAAAACUAGCAUUACUAAGCUCCAAAAGGAUGUGAUAUUAGAGUCAACAGGCUCAAAGUCUUUUGAUGUAUGUGAAUCAUGUAUAUGUGGCAAGAUGACCAAAGCUUUGUUUACCGGUGUUGGUGAAAGAGCUUCGGAUCUAUUAGGACUCAUACAUACUGAUUUAUGUGGACCUUUUAGAACAAUGACCAUAAGCGGUGAAAGAUACUUCAUUACACUUAUUGAUGAUUACAGUAGAUUUGGAUAUGUGUAUCUCAUGAAACACAAAUAUGAACAUUCAAUGUCUUCAAGGUUUUCCAAACUGAAGUACAUAAUCAACUUGGUAAAAAUAUUAAACCCAUACGAUCAGAUCGUGGUGGUGAAUAUCUGAGAUAUGAGUUUGAUGAACAUCUGAAGAAUUGCGACAUAGUGUCACAACUCACUCCACCGGGAACACCUCAGCAUAAUGGUGUCUCAGAAAUAAGAAAUCAUACUCUACUUGAUAUGGUGCGAUCAAUGAUGAGUGAUACUUCCCUUCCUCAUUUAUUUUGGGGUUAUGCCCUUGAAACCGCAGUUCGAACUGUAAACAUGGUCCCAACUAAAAAGGUUAGUAAGACUCCCUACAUGUUAUGGCAUGGAAAGGAUCCAUCAGUGUCUUUCUAAAAUAUAUGGGGUUGUGAAGCAUAUGUUAAAAGAGAAACUUCUGACAAGCUUGACCCUAGAUUUCAUAAGUGUAUCUUUGUUGGAUACCCAAAAGAAACCGGGUGUUCAUAGCUCGUAAAACAAUGUUUCAUGUAACUGAAUUUAUCUUGCAUAAAGUAAGUGGGAGCCCCCUUGACCUCGAAGAAAUUCGAGAGAAACAACCUUUAGUUGAAAACGAUAAUCAACAAAGCAUUUUUGAACAUGAACUUAUUAUUCAGAUGCCGGAAACCACACCAAUUGUACGAUGUUCCAGUAGAACUCCUCAUGAACCUGACAAAUUUGGAUUUGUCAUUCCUGAAUAGGAAGUCUUCUUGAUGGAUCAAUAUGAGCCCAUCAACUAAAAGGAUGCUACUGCAGACCCAAAGUCUAACAAAUGGCUUGAAGCCAUGAGAACUAAAAUCCAAUCCAUGAAUGACAAUCAAGUAUGGGACUUGGUUGAUUUACCUCCUAACAGUAGAGCUGUUGGAAGCAAGUGGAUCUUCAAGAAGAAGAUCUACAUGGACGGAAAUGUACUCAAAUUCAAGGUGUUGACUAUGAAGAUACCUUCUCGCCAUUUGCUAAGAUUGAAUCUAUUAGAAUUAUCAUGGCAAUAGCUGCAUAUUAUGACUAUGAGAUUUGGCAAAUGGAUGUCAAAACCACGUUCCUUAACGGAUAUCUUGAGGAAGAUGUUUUUAUGGAACAAUCUGAAGGUAUUGUCAAGCCGGAUAACCUAAAGAAGGUACGUAAACUAAAGAAGUCCAUUUAUGGAUUAAAACAAGCAUCUGGGGUGUGGUAUCAUCGUUUUGAUGAAAAGUGUUGGGUUUUGAGCAUUCUAACACUCCUAUGGUGUACAUGCAACCCUAAAUACCUUGGAUCUAUGUUUUCUCUAUUAUACAUGAAAUAUCAAUUUCCAAGGUAUUUAUCCUAACUAGCAUAUUAUGAAGUACAAGUAAUAUAGAAACUAGUAGAAAUACAUACCUCUUUGUUGGUGCUUGAUUCCAUGGAGCUCAAGAGCCUAGUGCCCCAAAUGUGACACCUCAAAUGGUUCACACAACAUCAUAUGCACGUGGAAUAACUUAGACAGAAAUCAUCACUUCAUGAAAUCGACUUGCCCUCCAUAUACACACAUAGUGGCCGAUUUUUCACAAGAAUAUGAUGCUUAUAUAGUUGUUACAAUUAGGGUAAACCCUAAUUGUCAUGGCUUUCCAUUUCCUUAGAUCCAUGGGUUCAAAUACACCAUGGAGCAUCCAUGGAGUAUCCUAUGGGUUUUAGCCUAACUUAACAAUCCAUGGAGUCUUAGCCCACUAUACAGGUAUGUAUGAUAUACACAACCAACCCAUAUAUUUAAUUAGUCUUCUUUUGAUCACUUAAUUAAUUCUAGAUUAAUUCUUGAUCAAUAUUAAUUAAAUAAUCUUAUUAAUAUAUUAUAACUUAUAAUAUAUUAAUAAACCUUAAGUGUUAUUUCUCUCAUUUUAUUCUAUCCAAAUGCAUGAUGCCAUGCAACCCAAAUGGACUAUGUCGGGUCGGGUCAAGUAUAUACCAAUUAUAGUUAUGGACUUAGACACUAAUCCAACAAUCUCCCACUUGGAUAAGUCUAAUAACUAUCAUUGCAAGUACGGCUUCACAACCCGACCAGCAAUCAUAGCUCUUAAAAGUUGUUGCCGAUCUCUGAACAAAUCAAUGACGCGUCCAUUAGAUAAAUGAUCAUAUAUUCCUCCAUUCUAGACAUCAUAUGGACUGAGACAUGGAUUAUAAUCAUUCUCUCUGCCAUUUGUUAUUUCCCGAUGUCUGAUUUAAGAUGAUCAACUAAUUGAACAAAUCAAAUCAGUCCAGGCUUAGCCAAGCACUUAGGGGUGCCAUCACUAAAUCAUCUAGGGGCCCACAGAUAUCUCUUUUAUCCCAUUAAGGGUAAAAGGAAUGGAGAAACUCCAACUCAUAUGCUUGUACUGACUACUAUUUGAAUCAUACAUAAAUUCACGUUUAUAACAUCGAGUUACCAAUGCGUUUUCGUGCAAUCAAUGUAUAACCAACUCGUAGUCAACAACUGAUAUCUCUAGGUUUGAAGAAUAUAAGAUAUUAUGUGGUGUAAGUGUUCUUAUCCAUGUGAAUUUGUCAUCACCAUAAUCACAAGACAAGGUGUCACACCCCAAAACCGAGAACGGCGGAAACGUUCUGGGGCGGAGGACGUCAUGUAAUGUAUCACAAUAAAUGUAAAGUAGUAAACAAGCAACAACAUCGUCCAUUCAUUAAUAGUAAAAGUUUAAUAUAUGUGUGUUCUUUCAUAGUAAUAAGACAUUACAACAAGUAAUCAAAAUAAAAGACGAGUCUUGACUGCUCUGUCUUCGCAAAACCUGGUCAUCGUACCUGUCUACUGGUGACCUGAGAAUACAAGUUAUUUUGAAAGUGUAGGUCAGCAUUUAAGCUGGUGAGUUCAUAAGUAUUUAAUGUCAUCGUUUGUAUAAGUAUGAAGAAAACAUUUGGAAUUAUUCAAUGUAAUUGUUUGUAUAAGUUUGAAGAAAACGUUUGGAAUGAAUCAAUGUAAUUUUUCAUAUAAGUUUGAAGAAAACGUUUGGAAUUAAUCAACGUAAUUGUUUGUAUAAGUUUGAAGAAAACGUUUGGAAUGAAUCAAUGUAAUUGUUUGUAUAAGUUUGAAGAAAACGUUUGGAAUUAAUCAACGUAAUUGUUCGUAUAAGUUUGAAGAAAACGUUUGGAAUUAAUCAAUGUAAUUGUUUGUAUAAGUUUGAAGAAAACGUUUGGAAUUAAUCAAUGUAAUUGUUCGUAUAUGUUUGAAGAAAACGUUUGGAAUUAAUCAAUGUAAUUUUUCUUAUAAGUUUGAAGAAAACGUUUAAAAUUGUUCUACAUUUGUAUAAAACUGAAUAAAAUAGUUUGUACAUGUUUGAAAGUUUCUAGAAAAUCUGAUAUUUUCUACUAGUAUAACCAUACUAAGGCAUUUGAUAAUCCCGUAAACCAGUGUGUUUCUAAUACUCCAUGUGAGUUUUAUAACCAUACUAAUGACCCAGACUUCCUGUAACAACGUUCUUCAGGCGUUGAAAUGUUAUGACAUUUGUCACCCCAGGCCUGCGGGCCUAGCUGUAGCUAACAACUUAGGUGCGGGAUUGUCAAUCCCGUAUAGAUCUAUACACAAGUAUCACGCUCCCCCUACAAUGGAUUAUGGUAUGUAAUACAGGACUUAAAAUGCAUACUCGAAAGUACGUGAAAUGUCUCACAAAACUUAGUAUCAAACAGAUUUACGUAUGAAAAUGUCCAUUUGUUCUUGAAUAUGAAAGUAUUUCUUUGAUAUAGUAUUUCUAGUAUGUAAAUGUUCAUGAUUUCCUCGUAAACUAUACCUAUUAUAGUCAUUCAAAGUGUGUGUUUCGUUCGUAUAGCAAAUCCUAGUGUAAUGUUCACUUGUUAUGUAAAGUAUAACAUCUAAAAUGACAUAAAUGAUCACAUAUACUUAAAGUAUAAAUAAAGGGUUUGAUUCGCAUAUCUAACUACUUUAUAAUACAUACAUCUUGGUGGGGACCACAAAAUUUAAGACAAAGUCUUAAAAACAAGGGGAAUCAAUUUUGACCUUAGAUUUUUUUUGAACGGUGGAGAUUAUAUUAUUGUUGGUGAUCCAAGUAAACAUCUUUAAACCAAUCACAAACAAGUAUUCUAGAUUUUCAAUUCUUUAAAGUUUAUGUCUUCCAUAUUUAAAUUUACAGGGAACGGGAAAGAAAUCACCUUUCAUUUAAAAUCACAUUUCUCAUCUUCUCGAAUUGCCGUCUCUCUAGAACCUCCUCACUAUCUUCAUCUUCUCCAUUAACGACUCUGGAGAUCAAUGUCAUCAUUACCUUUACUUACAGCUAAUCCGUUCACCAUUACCUUACUUCCAUCAAACCCCCACACCAACAAUAGAGUUUCUCAUGACAUUCUCCCUCUCUCUUUCUUCAACGCCACCUCCAUUCUCAAACACGGGUAGGAUAAAAUUUUUUCAAAUCUUUAUGUGUAGAUCCAUUUGUGUGUGUGUUUUACAGAAAGAGACUAAGGCCACAGGUAGGAUAAAACAUUUAAAAUCUUUAUGUGUGUGUUUUAGGGAUCUAUAUGUAUGUAAACCUAUUUAUAUGUAUAAAUUUGUGUAUUUAUGUUUAAUAUAUUUUCGAUUUUGAUGUUCUAAGAGUUUUAUAUUUCAUAUUUUCAGAUUUGAAUCUGCAAAUUCUACACAAAAAGACAAAAAGUUGGAUCUCUUAUAAUCUGUUGUAGAUAUUUGUAGGUCUUACUUACUCAAUGCAGUGUAGAUAUGUGUUUUAGAUGUGUUUUUUGUUGUAUUUUGUAAGUAUCUAUAUUUUGUUUAAAGAUAAAUGAAUUAAUUAGUUCUAUGUUUUUUAUUAUUAUUAUUUAGAUAUGUAUAAUGGAUUUCAAUGAUUUGGAAUAAGAACUAGGAACUGUAUGUCACAGAUUAAGAUUUGUAUUGCAUAAAUUACGUUUGAUUUUUUACAUCUAGAUUUUUAAUAAUUUUAUAUUUUGAUGCAUGAGUGAAGGACAUAAAAACACAACAAAACUAAUUUCCGGUUUUUGUUUUUCUCUUUAGAUGUAAGGUUUUGAUGGUAAAACCUAAAGGUGCAAAAUUUGUUGUUCCAUGAUUUAGUGUGAUUUGUAUAUUCUAUCUAUUUGUAUUAGUAUUGAAUGAGUUAUUUGUUUAUUUUUAUUAAUAAACGAGAAAAAUAUUUCCCUUUUUUUGUGUAGAAUAGUCUUUCUAUUUUUAAAUAUUUGGAGUUAUACUUUUUAUAUAAAAAAACUUGAAUGAGAUAUUGUAACUAUUCUAUUUACAAAUAAAAAAAUAUUUUGCUAGACAAAAAAUAAAUAACAAUUGAAAUAUUUUGAAGAGGUUGUAAAUUUUGUUUAUAGAUAAAAAUAUUAUGUUUGAGUAUAUAAUAUUAAAUAAGGAAAACUGUUUUCUUAUAAGAAACGAUUAACUUAAUUAAUAAAUGACUUUUGUAAACAAAAUUAUAAGGAAAAAAAUCAAAGAUAAAAAUGGCGUUGCAAAAAAAUAGAAAGAGUUAAGAUUCUUUCAAAUAUGCUGAUUAUCAUAAAUGUUGCGAUUGGUACAAAGUGCUUUGGGUAUUCUAACAGUUUAAAAAAAAAAAAACUUUUAGGUUUGUGAAAAGAAAUGUGGCGAUAUCAUGGGUUUGUAAAAUACGUCUUUUCGUUAAAAAAAUGAUUUUUUUAUAUUUAAUACUAAUAUUCAUUUUACAUUUAUAUUUAAUUAUAAAACUUUUUGAUUAAUAUAACAAAAUAGACGUCAUUUCAUUUUAAAAAAUGAAAUCAAUUAUGUAUAAGGUAUAUCCAAAUUUAUAAAUAGUUGUUUUUUAUACAAACAACAGUUUAGGAUGAUUAACAGUCUAGGAUGAUUAGAAAAAAAUUUGUCUAUAAGUUAAUAUGCUAACAUAAAAGAUGUUAUAUAAACAAGUUAAAAUAACAAAUAUUACUGCAUAAUAUUUUAAAUUUUUUUGAAUCUCUAGAUAUAUGAUUAUGUUGUUUUAAUGGGUUUUGUUUUGCAAAAUUUACUAUGAAUUAAGAAACCACAAAAAUAUAAACACUUGAAAGAUUAAUACAAGUGAAAAACAAUAAGUGAGUUUCCUUAAAAAAAAUGAUAUGUACAAAGAAAAAAAGUGAUUAAAUGUAUAUAACUUUGUACAUAUUUUUUAUUAUCUUUCAUAUUUAAAUAAUGGGUUAAUAACUUUUUUUGGACGGGAGUUUUAGUUUUUUCAAUAUCUCUGAAUAAAAUAUAAAUGAUUUUGAACUAUUACUUUUAUCCAAAAAUCUAACACACUUAAUUUUUUGUUAAUUUUUGGUAACAAAAGAACGAAUUAAAAAAAAAAUUCUAAUUUAUUGAAUUUUAACAUGCUAAAAAAAUUGACAACUUUAAGUGUAUUUAAUUAUAUCUUAUAAUAAUCAUAUAAUACUAUUUUAUUAAACUUAUAAUUAUUAUAUAAAUAUAUAUACUAAACGAAGCCUUAAACCAGAUCCUCCCGUUUUUACUAUUUCGUUUAUUAGAAGUAUUUAAGAAUUUUAUUUGUUGCUUAUUAGCUUAUUACUUAUUUGCUUAUUGUGGUGAGAAUAAAUAUUUUUUUAAAAUGUGUUUGGAUUAGCAUAUUGCGGUGGGAAUAAACAAUAAGUAAUAAACAUUUAAGUGUUUGACAAAAUAAAACAACUUAUAUGAGUAAAAUGACCAAUAAACAAUAAAUAAUAAGCAAUAAGCAUUCCCCCUCUUGCUUAUUAAAAUCAGUUUAUUUUGUUUAUUCCUACCGCAAUAAGUUGAUUUUUAAAGAUUACUAUCCAAACACUUAAAUUUGCUUAUUGCGGUUGGGUUUAGCAAUAAGCAAUAAUCAACUUAUUUUUUCCCUAUCAAAACACCCACGUAAUAUUAAUUCCAAAGCCAACUACACGAUUUAUAUUUGGAUUUGGAUUACAAGCACAAAGGUAACACAUCAUCAAAUAUGAAAUUUAUUAAUUUAUCAUUGUGGUCCCAUUUUUUCAACUAUUUGUAUUACCCUCAUUUUAAGUAUAUUUUAAAAACUAAAAAACACAUCUUUAUUUAAAACCAAAACAAGAAUGCAUGUAAAAUAAUUGCACACAAAGAAUAUAUUCUAGAAAUAAAUUUCUGAAUCAAAACAAAUUGCGGAAAAAACUUUUUUCGCUAUAAUUUGUAAUCCAUUNUUUUUUUUUAAUUUUUUAAAAAUUUUUUUUUUUUUUUUUUUUUUUUUUUUUUUUUUUUUUUUUUUUUUUUUUCUAAAAAUAAUAAGACUUUUCUGUUAAAAAAAAUUAAGACUUUGAUUUCUGAUAAAAAAAAAAGACGAGUCAAGAAAAAGACCUGUACGAAAAACGAACGGUCGAGACAACCCGUAAUACAUCGAAAGCAAAUUAUUCGUUGUUCGGGAAAAAUUUACUAAUCUCCGGAAUGAAAUUAAUCGUCGUCCGCUGCAUCGCGCGGGUAGCCUACUAGNNNNNNNNNNNNNNNNNNNNNNNNNNNNNNNNNNNNNNNNNNNNNNNNNNNNNNNNNNNNNNNNNNNNNNNNNNNNNNNNNNNNNNNNNNNNNNNNNNNNNNNNNNNNNNNNNNNNNNNNNNNNNNNNNNNNNNNNNNNNNNNNNNNNNNNNNNNNNNNNNNNNNNNNNNNNNNNNNNNNNNNNNNNNNNNNNNNNNNNNNNNNNNNNNNNNNNNNNNNNNNNNNNNNNNNNNNNNNNNNNNNNNNNNNNNNNNNNNNNNNNNNNNNNNNNNNNNNNNNNNNNNNNNNNNNNNNNNNNNNNNNNNNNNNNNNNNNNNNNNNNNNNNNNNNNNNNNNNNNNNNNNNNNNNNNNNNNNNNNNNNNNNNNNNNNNNNNNNNNNNNNNNNNNNNNNNNNNNNNNNNNNNNNNNNNNNNNNNNNNNNNNNNNNNNNNNNNNNNNNNNNNNNNNNNNNNNNNNNNNNNNNNNNNNNNNNNNNNNNNNNNNNNNNNNNNNNNNNNNNNNNNNNNNNNNNNNNNNNNNNNNNNNNNNNNNNNNNNNNNNNNNNNNNNNNNNNNNNNNNNNNNNNNNNNNNNNNNNNNNNNNNNNNNNNNNNCCGGGGCUUUGGGAGGGUCUCGGGGGCUUAAACGCAGAGUUUCGGCGCGAGAAAGAAGGGAACUGAGCAAUGGAACUCGGAGCCCUUGAAAUAUAUUUAUAGGGGCAUUUUUGAGGUGUGCCACGUCAUGGCAAGGGAUGGACACGUCGUGGGGAGUCAAACUUAUCCUCUUCCAUUGAUUGGACGCCCUCAGUCACUUGUCGGGUCGCGGCAAGCUUGUGCCACGUCGUAGCAAGCCUGACAGCCUCGGAUUUCGAACGUCGAAUUUGUAAAACCCAUAACUUUUGCGUACGAGCUUCGUUUUGACGUUCUUUAUAUGCAUGCGU